rnacentral:lncRNA from 1 species
UCAUAUUUAAGUGCUUAAGAUUACAUAGAGAGUCGAAAGGCAACGACACUUCUUCAAUUUGAGUGCCAGAUAAGUUUAAUUCUAUUAAGCUUCCCGGGAUUUCUGGAAAUUCGACCAGUGGGCAACCACUAAGAUUCAGUUUACGAAGGGAUUCCAAUUUGAUCGAUACAUUUUUGACCGCUGAGCUACUCAUAUUUAAAAGCUGAAGAUUACAUAGAGAGUCGAAAGGCAACGACACUUCUUCAAUUUGAGUGCCAGAUAAGUUUAAUUUUAUUAAGCUUCCUGGGAUUUCUGGAAAUUUGACCAUUGGGCAUCCACUAAGAUUCAGUUUGCGAAGGGAUUCCAACUGGAUCGAUACAUUUUUGACCGCUGAGCCACUCAUUUUUAAGUGCUGAAGAUUACAUAGGGGGUCGAAAGGCAACGACACUUCUUCAAUUGGGCAACCACUAAGAUCCAAUUUACGAAGGAAUUCCAACUUUAAAAUAUUGAUAGAUACUUUUUUCACCUUUGACUUCCCUAACCACAAAGUUUCAAGUUUGUGGUGAUCCUUAAUUGAAUCAGACACUUCUUCUAUUUUGGUUUCUGAUGAAUCUAAAGAGCAAAAGGGACGUGGGACCUUAGGAAACUUCUUUAGACUAUAACAUCCGUUAAGACGAAGACUAUAUUGAUGAAGAGAUGCCAAAUGAUUGAGGCAAGGAAGUUCAACCAAACUUUUACAAUUAGAGCAACCUAGGAAUUCAAGGUUGAUGGCUCUUGAAAGAUUAGGUAGCUUCCUUAAAUUCACGCACCCAUCAAAGUAAAUUUUCCUUAAAUGAACAAGGUCAUGUACAGAAAAAAUAAUUGUUCUACUUCUAAGCAUCCACCACUUAUUUUAGACAGUAAAAUAUGUAAAAGAAAUAAAUAAUUAUAAUACGAUAAAAAAUAAAAAUUUAUAUUUGAUGUAUCGGGCCUGAAAAUUCACUCGCAGCUAAUAAAUCAAACUAUGUCACUUAUCUAAACAAAAUAAAUUCUUUUAUAUAUAUAUUUUUAAAAACUUUUAAAUAAAAUGUUAUCAUAUGAAUAUUUGAUACAUCAAAUUAUAAAUCAUUUUUUUCAAAAAAAAAAGAGUAUAAAAAUGCAUAUCAUACGAUCAUCUUCAUUCCAAAGUUCAACCAAACGUAAAUUUCCCUUAAAUUAACAAGCUCCUGUAUAGAAACAACAUUUGUAUUGCUUUUAAGCAUCAACUACUUACUUUAAGUAGUAAAAAAUGAAAAAGAAAAUAAAUAAUUAUAAUACUAAGAAAAAUAAAAAUUCAUAUUUGAUGUAUUGGGUGUGAAAAUUAACCCACAAUCAAUAGAUCAAAUGAUUAUUUGAUAGAUUAAAUUAAAAAAAAUUCUUAAAUGAAAUAAGUAUGAAAGCACACAUACUAUAUGAUCAUCUUCAUUCCAAAGUUCAACCAGACUUUCACAGCCAAUGCAACGAAGGAGUUCAAGGUUGAUGGCACUUGAAAGAUUAUGCAUCUUCCUUAAAUUCUUGCAAUAUGAAACGUCAAUUUCCCUUAAAUUAGUAAGGUUCUGUGCAAAAGAAAAAUAUAUAAAAAUAAUUAUAUCAUUGUUAAGUAUCAUCUACUUACUUUAGAAAGUAAGAAAUAAAAAGAAAAUAAAUAAUUGACAAUAUCCUGCACAGGAUGAGAAUAAAAGUAGUUUCAUUACUUUAGAGCAUCAUCUACUUAUAUUAAGACUGUCAAAAUAAAAAUUCAUAUUGGGUGCAUUAAUUCACCCACCAUUAAUAGAUCAGAUUACUUCUUUUAGAAAAAUAGAAUAAAUUUAUAUAUAUAUUUAAAAAAUUUAAAUAAAAUGAUUUCACUUAUUCAAAUAAAAUAAAAUAAAAUAAAAUGUUUCAUAUUUAUAUUUUAAAAACUUUAAAUAAAUAUCAUAUGAUAUAUUAUUUGAUACAUCAAAUUAUAAAUCCUCCUUCUCCUUUAAAAAACUUCUCAUUUGAAGAAAGUAUGAAAGUAUAUACCAUAUCGUCAUCUUCAUUCCAAAGUUAUUCCAUGUUGCCAUGUAAUAGUUUCAACAUGACAAGAUUUUUUGGAUUAAAACCAGAUAAAGAUUUAAAAGGGUAAACAUCCCAACAGAGAAACCUUAACUCUUCAGGAAGAGACAUACUAUCAACUUGAUUUGCAUAUAGCUUCUUAAGCCAUAACAUUUUUUUAGGAAAGCUGAUGUUGAUGUAUCUAAGCUUAUGCAUCUUCUCAAAAGCAGUAGCACAAAACUGUAGACUAUCAACUUUAGUUAUGUCUACCUUUAUUCCUUUAAUUAGGUCAGUCCCCUGAUAAAAAAAAUCAUGAAUUAACACAAAGAAAUUUAUGGACAUUCUAUUAAAUCAGUCAUAAAAAAAGUUAAUUAUAUUAGGAAAGACUUUAAACUAACUUGGCAUACCUUUUUAUUAGAGGAAUUUUUAGAUGCACAAAGUUUUACUUUUUAAUUUUUUUUAAAGUAAUGCAUUAUAUACCUUUAGCAAAUUCCAUGUUGACUGUUGUAUCAUAAGACAUUUGGUCAUUAUGGUUAGGGGAAAUAAUAAAUAUUUUAUUUUUUAAAAUAAUAAUUAAAAAGGAUAAUAUUUUGUACACCACAAGAUCUAUUAAACCAUGUGAAAGAAUAAAAAGAAUAUAAAUACAAUUAAGAAUAAAAAGAAUAUAAAUACAAUUAACACUUACUCUAUCAUGCAUUAUAUAUUUAACAAACUUAAAAAACCUUUAGCAAAUUCCAUGUUGACUGUUGCAUCAUAAGACAUUUGGUCAUUAUGUUUAUGGGAAGCAAUAAAUAUUUUAUUUUUAAAAUAAUAAUUAAAAAGGAUAAUAUUUUGUACACCACAACAUCUAUUAAACCAUGUGAAAGAAUAGAAAGAAUAUAAAUACUAUUAACACUUACUUUAUCAUAGCUGAUCACUUCUUCCACAUCUUUACAAUUCCAUAAUCUACUGCGCUUUCCAGGGUAUUCAGAUUCUUGCAUAACAAUGUCUUUGCCCAUCUCUUCAAGCAUGCCAUGCAUAGAAAUAGAUUCAUAUUUGACCUCAAGUAGGCACUUGCCGACCAAUUUACUUAUUCCACAUCUUGCACCUUUAUAAUAAUUACUUAGAAUUUUUUCUACGUAAUUCAAGUGUUGCCCUUUAAAGAUGCAUGCUACGUCAAGAAAUAUAUUCUUCUCUAUCUCAUCCAGCCCAUCUAAGCUACUCUUCAAAAUAUGUGAAAGUUUUAUUUCUCCACAUUGCUUUAGUUUAGUCACCUCGCUCUUCCACUCUUUUAUAGACUUUGUAUAUAAUUUCAAACCCAGAACUUUAAGAGCAAGUGGGUUACCUUGGGCAUAUUCUACAAACUUGAAUGAUAGAUAUUUGAAAUCAACUGGAAGAUUCAACAAUUGAAAUGCAUAUGUAGAAAAAAGUUGAAAAGAGUCGUUCAUGUUUAACUUCUUUACCUCAUGUAUGUGGUUUGCUCCUCCAUUCCUAAGUACUUGUAUAUCUCUAGAUGUUACAAUGAUUUUACUUCCACGACCAAAAUAUUUAACACCCAUAAAAUCUAUUUGGUCUGGGUCACUAACAUCAUCAAGGACAAGAAGUACUUUUUUAUUAUUCAGCCUCUCGUGGUAAGGGUAUCCUAUGGAAGGAGUAUUGUUUAAUAGUUUGGAAAGAAGUUCAUUUCGUAAAGAUUCACUCCCCUGUUUUUUUAUUUUCUCACUAAUGUUUUGAAGAAACAAACUACGUUCAAACUUUGGAGAGGCUUCCUUAUAUACAGCAUCAGCAAGGGUAGUUUUGCCUAUACCACUCAUGCCCCAAAGUCCUAUUACAUGGAUGCCCGCUUGCUCAAUCAACACCAAAAGCUUCUUUUUUUGAUCAUCUAUUCCCACCAAUUCUUCAGAGACACUUCUACAAUUGCUAUUCAACUUUUUUAAAACAUAUUCAACGACAUCUUUAAUGUACUCAGUUUCAAAUCUAGAAAAUUUUUUAAAAAAAAUCAACAGUCAAAAGAAAGAUAUAUAUAUAUAUAAAAGUAAAAUAUAAGAAGAUGAAAAUAUAUAUAUUGUUACCUAUCGGAUUUGCCUCCUUCUAUAUGCCACCCUUUUGAUGCACCGAUUUCAGCGAAGGCGGCUUUCCAUCGCUUCACGUCUUCAAUUGGUCUCUUUGAUUCAUGCUCUUCGAAGGAUGUCCUAAAAGUCCCACCAAUAUUUCGCACAUCGGAAGGAUCAACAUGGUAAAAGAUGGGAAGAACAAUAUGUUUCAGUGGGCUUGCGCUUGCGAUCCAUGAUGUCAGAAAGUUCAGCUAAGCAUGAUUGUGAAGAAGCAUAGUCUUUAGAUAAAACGAGGAUGGAGAGAUACGAGGCUGCAAUUGCUUGUGAAAGUUCCUCCCCUUUCUCUAGUUUUUCUUCAUCGAAGAAGACAUUCAGUCCCUUGUCUUUCAAAGCUUGGAGUAGAUGAACGGUGAAGUUAUGGCGCGUGUCUUCACCUCUGAAGCUUAAGAAAACUUGAUGCUUCAUUUGACGAGAAGAAGAUGAAGAAGACGCCAUGAAGGUGUAUGGAUUGUGAGAUUGAGGAAAAAGAGAACAAAAUAAACCGAGGGAGCUUUGCUUUUGCUUCUAUCUUUUUAAUGGUAAGAAGAAAAAGUGAGUCAAUUAAAUGGGAAUGAGAUUGAAAGGGUGAAGCAUAGCCAAUUUUAUGAGUGAAGAAUGUGCGUGUGGACCUUAGAAACCGCACCACCAAUCAAACUCUAUCUCUCCAAAAGCCUUUAACUCCGCUGCCUACCAUCAAAAACUCGAACCAAAUAAAAUUGACUGUGCUGCUUGCUCUGCUCUUUUUUUUCUUUUUUUUGAAGUUUGAAAUUUUUUUAAUCAAAGUGGCUUUUUAUAAUUAAAAUUUAUUUUAAUUUAUGAAACUUUGAUUUGUAAUCAAGUAACUCAGCUCUUGUGUAUGUAUGUGAUGCUAUUUUUGUCUUAAAGAUUAUUAUCAACAAGAAAAAUUGUUCCAAUGAUGUUGGGGGGUGUUAAUUUCCAGGUCAAGGUCUUCCAUUGGGACAAAAUUGUUAAGUAAAUAAAUUUCCAUUCUUGAAUUUCUUUUUGGGUCCUAACAAAAAUAUUGACUUCUACACACUUUGUGAUUUGGGUCAAUUGAACUGAAAUUUCAUAUAAUUUUCUUUUAGGCAAUUUUAAGUGAAUUCAACUUAAAUUUCCCACAACUUUAUAAUUUUCACUUUUUUCCCCUAAAUGAAAAGUCUUUGGAAUGAAGGGUGUUGUGUUUCUAUUUUCCUAGGUAAAAUAAUGAUAGAUUUUCUUUCUGCUUUGGGGGUUUCCUAUUUAAUCCUUUAUUUUGAGCACAGGUAGGGUGAGUUUGGUUAAAAAGACCUCUUUAGUUUCUUUCAAUUUUGGAAUCGAAUAAAUUGGCCACUCUCAAAAAAGAAAAUCAAAGCAAUUUAAUCAUUGUUAAUUUUAAAGGUGAGUAACUAAGGACAAUUAAUUGUGAUGUUAACGUCUUUCGUUAAUUGUACAUUAUUUUGAUUGGUAUAACAAUAAAUUUAGCCUUAAAUGUUUCUAUUUUUUGUCAAUUUGGUCUUGGUUUUAAAAAAUCAAUAAAUUUAGUAUCAACAUUUACACGAAUGUUGUGGGCUAAAUUUGUUAAAUCAAGAUAAAAUUGUAAAAUUUGAGGGGUAAAUUUGUUAUUAUGCCAAUCAAAAUUAUGUACCUUUGAUGGACAAAAUUAAUGUUGUGAUUAUUUUACCUUAAUUGCUCACUUUCAAAAUUGAUGGAAUUUAAAUUGUUCUAAUUUUUUUUUAAGAGAGAUCAAUUUACUAACUAUCAACCUUGAGAGAGAUUGAAUAGAUCUUUUACCAACAAAUAUGCUUGCUUACAUUUAUUUUAAACAUAGAAUCGAAUCGGUUUUCUAAUUAAACAAGGAUUCACCUAAAUUGUUUAGCAAGUAAGAAUGAGCAAAAUUCGAUUCUAUUCGAAAAAAUCGAAAAAUAAAUCGAAGUUCAAAUUAUUCGAAUCAAGUUAAGUGAGUUAAUCAAAUUAAUUGACUCAACUUGAUUUUUUUUUUCAAAUUUCGAGUUCAAUUCGAGGAGUUUUCGAAUUCAAAGAAUCCAAAUAAUUCAAAUAAAUCGAAUACCCAAAAAAUUAAGCUAAAUGAUGUCCACCACAGAUCCUAUGAAUCAAAACCAUCCAAUAACAAGUCAAUUGCCAAAAAGAAUUCAAGUAUGAAUCUUAAUAUCUCUUCACUGCAAUGCUCAAACAACAUGAGAGGCAGUAACAUACAAAGAACUUUCAGCCCAAACUGAUAUGAUAAUCAAAAUCCAAGAUAAGAAAAUAUCAACUCCAAUGCCUCUACCAUGAAACUAACUCAAACUAGCUUGAGAAUGAAAACUGUCAAAGGUUGCCUCCAGCUCCAUGUGUUCAUCUCACAAGUUUUGAGAUCUGCUGCAAAUUCUGGAUUUAUAUAAUCCGAUUGAUAAAUAUGGGAAAAAAAAGAUUAAGGAUGCUGAAAAUCAUCAUAUGAACCUAAAAUCAUAAUAAGAAGUCAAAGUCAAAGGUAACUUACUUCUCCACCAAGACUGAAUUGCCAGAACCUAGAAAGGGCCUCAAAUGAUUACUUUGCAUUUGUGUAGACAACUCUGUUGACAACUUGCAUUUUCACCAAAUAUCAGUUCAAACACUUGUAUAAAGCAAGCAUUCAGUAAAACAAAUUGAAGCUCUUACAGCUCAGGUGUUCCUCCUUGUUGCGGAAGCGACGAUAAUAUUAAUAAUAAUAUUAUCAGAAAUAUUUAGAUAAUUAUUAUGCCACAACUAUACUAAGAAAAUUCCCAGUUAAAUUGGAGGGGUCACAAAUGGUCCCACUUAAAAACCAACAACUAGACAGAACUCACUUAGUUAUUUAUAGCAAUAAUAACUAAAUAAAUAUAACCAACAUAAAGCUAUUAAAUAUAAGAAAACAAAUGAGAAAUAAAACACCAGAAUUUUAACGAGGUUCAGCAAAUUUUGCCUACGUCCUCGGGCACUACCAAAUAUAUUUCACUCCAAAAAUACAAGUGAAAGUUUACAAAUAGGGAGAGAGAACAAUUGCCUUAAGUAGAGAAUGGCAAGUGUGGGAUGUUUGAAAUGAGGAAUAAUUAGGCCUAUUUAUAGUUGAAGCUCAAGGAUCAACUUGCAAAGUCCCUAUACAAUUAGGGACCAAAAAUUGCAAUUAUUCCAUGCCACCAUUCCAUGCCAUCAUUUCAAACCAAAUUAUUAGUGCCUUAAUUGUGGGACUUUUGGUGCCCACCAUUAUCUUUGGAGUUGUCAAAGAUGCUACUAAUAAUUAUGCUACUAAUACUCCUUGUAUGGCUAAAGCUCCAAAUCAGCAGUGGCAUUCUCAAAGAUCUGUCAUUCCCUCGGCUUACAUCAACACAAAAGCAAAGGAUAUAAGAAAAACCUAUCUCUCAAAUAACCAAUAUUUCUAAUGAAAGAAAAUAUAGCAAGUAUUGAGAUACCAGAUGAUACCAAUGCUGGAAACUAAACAAUGAAGCUGAAUCGAGUCCACAUUUGGCCCUAUGAAUUAAAAAAAACCAACCAAAAACAAGUCAACUGUCAAUAAGAAUUAAGUAUGAAUUUUAAUAUCUGAGAUUUGGUACCCACCAAAAUCCACUAUGGAUAUUUUAUCAACUCCAAAGCAGAAUCAUUUUGCUACACUGUGUUGAAAUCUCUAGUUUCCGUUCAAUUUUCCUCCAAAUUAAUUAAUAUAUAUGGAGAAUUUCGUUCUUGGACAAUAUAUGCUAUAUCUACAAAACAACACAGACAUAACGGGGGAAUGAAGAUGAGAAAAAUUAAUAAUAAGCAACUAUCACAAACUAUUGAACAUAUUUCCAAUUUUAUGUUCAUAAAUUAUGCUUUUAACAUUUACAAUGUGGAACUACAAGGAUUCAGUAUGGCAAAGCACCUUCUAAAAGACAAGUAAUUUAUAAAGCAGAGCAAGUUAGAUUCAUUCUGGUUGGUUUUAAUUAAUUAAAGCACUUCAUUUUCUGUCACUAAUUUAUAAGUUCAAAAUUUAAUAUUAACAAUUGUGGAAAACAAAAGUAUGUCAAUAUGAAAAAUGAAAUGAAAAAACUGAAAAAUUUAUGAUAAUAUGAAAAAAUGAGAUGAAAAUGAAACCCCUACCUAUGCAUUUGGAUGACAUAAUUGAUAAGUUGGAACUCCUCAAAAGCAGAGCCAAAGAUGGAAAGAAAUACAAACUAUUUCAAUCUUUUAAGUCCUCCAUCCCCUUCUUCACCAUCAUGGCUAAAGCUUCUUUUGUUCCCAGCAACUCUCUUUUCAGUAGCAUCCACGUAAAAUACAUGAACACCACAUCUUUCCACCUUGUUAUAGUCUUCUUCUUCAUUAACUUCAUCAUCAUUGUCGAUGAUGUAGAAUUUAAAUGAUGCCUUCUCAUAAUUCUUGUCUUCUUCAACCAUGUCGUUGCUAGAUAGAAUAAACACGUGAUCACCCUUGUACUUAUUUGGCUCAGAACAAUCGAAGAAAGAUAUCUUACUUAUGUAGCUUUUAGAAUCACCACCACCGGCGGCUGUAAGGUGGUACUCACAAAUACAAUUAAGAUAUUUAAAGCGAUGGCAGUGCGUGAGAUCAGCCACAAGGCAGAUAGCAAAAGCCAAAAAUCUGCUCCCACUACCCCUAUUUGGGGCUAUCUUCAAACUCAAGGAAGAAUUCAUUCUCUGACACUUGAACUUAUCUGCAGAAAUUUUGUUUCUUGGGAAACAACAAAUCAAUCUUGGAAAGUCUUCUCGCUGGUAUUUCCAAUCAUAUCUUGCUGCCCAUUUCUUAGCUAGGGAUCCAAUUUUGAGCAUGGCAUUUUCCUCAAUGUUAUCAAUUGACUCUUGAUUCAAGUUGAUGCAAUUACAGAAUAGCAUGCCAAACAAAUCAUCACCUAACGAAUCGAACUGAUAUAAAUCUUGAUCUGCAAAGGAAACUUUUUCUAAUGAUGUACAGCAUUGUACAUUCAAGUUUUGCAUAUAUGGUGGAAGCUCUGAGAGUAAUUUGAGGCUCUCGCAACGAUCCAUCCUCAUAUGAUUAAGGAUUUUAUGUUGGAAUAUUUUCAAAUAUUUAUAGUAUCCCAAUAACUAUAAAUGAAUGGGUGUAAUUAAUCAAAAGAUAAAACUUUUGGUCAUUGGUCAAAAGUUAUAUCAUUUGAUUUUUAAAAAAAGAAUUAUAACUAUUCAAAAAAUAUUAUUUGAAUAGUUACAAAAUUAAAUGAAUAAUUAUUAUUAUUUAUUUAUUUAUAGACACCUAUUGAAAGAUGUCUCUAUGAAGAGACAUGAAAAUUCCUAUAAAUAGGAAUGGGAUUUCAUUUGGAAAUCAUAUCAACAAAUUCUAAUAUUAUUUCUUCUCUUCCUUCAUUUUCUAAUAUUAUUAGAUUAUUCUAUAAAGUAUUGCUGCAGAAAUCCUUUGUAGAAAUUGAGUUUUUGUUAUACAUUACUCAGUGCAUAGUGGACUAUUCUCGUCAGUGCAAAACGCAAAUAGUCAUUGGCUUCAUUGUAUCCUCGAGUUUAAUUUGCUUGGAACUCGUUUGCACACUGAAGAUAAGUGGGGGCGAAUAUAACCUUAAAGAUAGUGGCUUGAUACACGCCUUGGAGCCUGUCCUAUUUCUUCUUUUUCUUUUCGAGUUCCGAUUGUGUGUUCGAGUUUUUUCCUUACCGGAGUUUUGUACUAACAUUUUAGACCUCAAGCUUGGUGUGGGCAAAUCGACAGUUGGAAACUCUCCGGAACCGAACUGGGUGAUAUUACACAUUAGCUUUUGAAUACUUGAGCCGCUCAUAUUUAAGUAUUGAAGAUUACUUAAAGAGUCUAACGAUAAGGCAGCUUCUUCAAUUCCAGUUCCAGAUAAGUCUAACCAUGUUAAGCUCCUCGGGAUUUUUGGAAAUUCGACCAUUGGGCAUUCACUAAGAUUCAAUUCACUAAGGAGUUCCAACUUUGAAAUAUUGAUCGAUACUUUUUCUACCUUUGAUUUGCUCAACAACAAUCUUUCAAGUUUGUGGAGAUACUUAAUUGCAUCAGGUACUUCUUGUAUUUCAGUUUCUCGUAAAUCUAAAUAACAAAAGUGACUUGGGACCUGAGGGAACUUCUUGAGGCUAUAACAUCCCUCAAGGCGAAGCUUAUCCUCAUCACGAGAUGCCAAAUGAUUGAGGCAAGGAAGUUCAACCAAACUUUCACAGUAAGAGCAAUCAAGGAGUUCAAGGUUGAUGGCUCUUGAAAGAUUAGGUAUCUUCCUUAAUUUUUUGCAAUUUGAGACGUCAAUUUCCCUUAAAUUAACAAGAUUCUGCACAGGAAAAAAAAAUGUCAUCCACUUACUUUAGGCAAUAAAAAAUGAAAAGGAAAUAAAUAAUUAUAAUACUAAGAAAAAUAAAAACUUAUACCCGAUGUAUUGGGCUUAAAAAUUCACCCACAAUUAAUAGAUCAAAUGAUGUCACUUAUUUAAAUAAAAUAAAAUCUUUUAUAUUUAUUUUUUAAAAAACUUUAAAUAAGAUAUCAUAUGAUCAUUUGAUACAUCAAAUUAUAAAUCCUUUUUUUCCUUAAAAAAAUUCUUAGACGGAGAAAGUAUGAAAGCACAUACCAUAUGAUCAUUUUCAUUCCAAAGUUGUUCCAUAUUGCCACUUCGUAAUAUCAACAUGACAAGAUUUUUUGGAUUAAAACUUGAUAAAGUUUUAAGGGGAAAAUAAUCCCAACAAAGAUACCUUAACUUAUUAGGAAGAGAUAUACUAUCAACUUGGUCUACAAGAAACUUCGGAUUUCGAUAGCCCUUCUCAAUCUUUGAAUCAUAGAAGCAAAUAUAUUUAAGAUUAAGCAUGUUCUGAAAAACAGAUGGACAUAACUGCAGCUCAUCCAUUUGAAACAUGUCUAAUUUUAUUCCUUCAAUUGAUACGGUCCCCUAAUAAUGAAAAACAUUUUAUCAAGUAUCAGUAUAUAAAGAUGCAAUGCAUUAAAUAAGUACCAACCCAGUAAAUCCUUGAGUAGAUCCCAUGUUAUACUCUGAGACAUUUGUCUUUAUUUGUAUGGUAAGUACACUGAUAUUUUAUUUUUUGAAAUAAUAAUUAAAAUGAUUAACAUUUGAUACAAUAUAAAUACAAAUAAUUAAACUUUUAACAUAUGAAAACAUAUAAUUAACUGAAUUUAUAUAUUUACAUUAUAUCACAAAUAAAUUUUAAUUAAAAUAACACAAAUAUAUAAAAUAAUAGAAAACAAUGUAAAUACAAUUAGCGCUUACUUUGUUAUAUCUGAGCACUUGAUCUUCGUCUUCAGGAAGCCAUAACCUGCUACGCUUUCCCGGGUCUUCUUUACAUUCUUGGCGAACAAUGUCCUUGCCAAUCUCUUCAAGCAUGUCAUGCAUAGAAUAACAAUCUAUGCUAUCAAGUAAGCACUUGUCGACUAAGUUUCUUAUUCCACUCAUUGCACCCAUAUAAUAAUUACUUAGUAUUUUUUCUACAGUAUCCAUUUUUUCUCCUUUAAAGAAGCAUGCUAUGUCAAGAAAUAUAUUCUUUUCUAGCUCACGCAACCCAUCUAAGCUACUCUUCAAAAUAUGCGACAUUUUUGGCUCGGCAUAUUGCCUUAGACUAUCCACUUCGCUCUCCCACUCUUUUCUAGACUUUGUAUAUAGUUUAGAACCCAAAACUUUAAGAGCAAGUGGAUUACCUUGGGCAUAUCCUACAAACUUGCAUGAUAGAUCUUGAAAAUCAGCUGCGGGACUCAACAAGUUAAAUGCAAGUGUAGAAAAAAGUUGAAGAGAAUCAUUCUCUGUUAAGAAAUGGCUUAAAAUUGGUAGUGGAUUGUUGUUGUUGGUAGUGGGUUGUUGGUGGUAGUGGAUUAGUGGAUGGUUGUUGGUGUCCAUUUUCAACCACAAAUCUUUGCCAAAGUUUUGGACAAUUAUGUCCUUGAACUCUCUUAUAAAUAGAGAGGUUCAUUAGCCAUAUUGAUCAUCCCAAACCAAGAGAGAGCAAAUCUUGUUCUUUGAAAGCUAGGAUUUUAGCUUUCGGGUUUUCUAUAGGGGUUGAGAGUUGUGAGGUUCUCGGGUUGUGUCUUGAGUGUAAAACACUUGUAAUCUUCAUCUUGUUAUAGUGAAAUUUCUUUUCGCCUCUGCCCGUGGACGUAGGCAUUAAAGCCGAACCACGUAAAUCCUUGUGUUCACUUUAUUUUUCGUUCCGGUCAAUUUACUUGUAGUCAUAUCGGAGUUCUCGAAUCGAUCCUUUCCGCAACAAAUUGGUAUCAGAGCGUAGUUGAAGGAGUGAUAAUAUUUUCUGAAUUGCCCUGUGACUGCAGCUUUGUCUGAUCUUUCACAUCAGGAAGAAAAUAUUAUCAUUCAUUCAAAGGUUCCAAAUUAUGGCUACAAGUGUUUCAUCGACUAAGUAUGAUGUCGAGAAAUUUACCGGGAAAAAUAGUUUCAGUUUAUGGCGCAUCAAGAUGCGGGCAGUGCUGGUUCAACAAGGAUUGCUAAAAGCAUUGUCUGGUAAAGAUAAAUUACCAAGCACGCUUUCGGAAGAGCAAAAGGAUGACAUGCUAGAAAGAGCACAUAGUGCUAUUCUGCUAUGUCUAGGAGAUGAAGUGCUACGAGAAGUAGCGGAUGAGAAAACCGCGUCCGGUUUGUGGCUCCGGUUAGAGAGCAAGUACAUGACGAAGUCAUUGACGAACCGGCUCUACCUCAAGCAAAGACUCUAUGCCCUGAAGAUGGAGGAAGGUACACCUGUUUCCCAGCACCUGGAUAAAUUCAAUUCCAUUAUCAUGGAUUUGAAUAAUAUCGAUAACAAAAUCGAUGAUGAGGACCAAGCAAUAAUUGUUUUGUGUUCUUUGCCUCCCUCGUAUGAGAAUUUUGUUGAUACAAUGAUGUACGGUCGUGAUGACCUGACUCUAGAGGAGGUGAAAAAUGCCUUAAGUUCCAGUGAGUUGAGGAAGAAAAUCACUGGUAAGGUGGUCGAAAACAAUGAAGGCGAAGGCUUGGUUGCUCGAGGAAGAUCCAAGGCAAAGGGUGGAAGUUCAAGUAAAAGCCAUCCUAGAUCGCAGUCCAAGAAGAGAAUACAGUGCUACUACUGUAAGAAGUACGGGCACAUGAAGGUAGAUUGUCCGAAAAGGAAGGAGAAAUCAGAAUCACAGGAGCAACAAAAUGAUCGUGCGAAUGUAGCUGAUGCAGAUUCUUCAAGUGAUGCCGAGAUCGUUCUUGCAGUAUCCGACUCUUACGCUGGUGGGAGAUGGAUUCUUGAUACGGGAGCUACAUUUCAUAUAAGUACUUCGAAAGAUGCAUUCUCAACAUACGAGAAGCAUUCUGGUUCAGUACUAAUGGGAAAUGACCACGCAUGUCAAGUCAUGGGGAUUGGCACAGUUCGUAUAAAGAUGUUUGACGGUAUUGUUAGAACUCUAACUGAUGUUCGGCACAUUCCAGAAAUGAAGAAAAAUUUGAUCUCUUUGAGUACGUUGGACAAGAAAGGCUUUCGGUACUCUGCUGAAGGUGGAGUUCUCAAGGUAUUCUCGGGUGCUUUGACUGUGAUACGUGGUAAUUUGGAGCGGGGCCUUUACUUCCUCGAUGGUUCCUCGGUUACAGGUGUUGCGGGAGUGUCAUCAUCAGAUGAUCUAGAUUCUGACACCACGAAGUUAUGGCAUAUGCGGCUCGGGCAUAUGAGCGAGAGAGGCUUAUCGGUGCUAAGCAAACGAGGAUUAUUGUCUGGGCAGUGUACAGGAAAGUUGAAUUUCUGUGAGCACUGCGUCUUCGGUAAGCAGACUCGGGUAAAGUUCAGCACUGGGAUUCACAAGACAAAAGGCACAGUGGAUUACUUCCAUUCUGACCUUUGGGGGCCUUCUCCGACAAUUUCUAAAGGUGGUUACAGAUAUCUGCUUACCUUUAUCGAUGAUUACUCGAGAAAGGUUUGGGUGUAUUUUCUGAAGAGCAAGUAUGAGGUUCUCAUCAACUUCAAGCAAUUUAAAGCUUUGAUCGAAAAUCAAACAGGAAAGAAGAUCAAGCGAUUCCGGACGGAUAAUGGCUUGGAGUUUUGCUCAGGUGAAUUCAAUGAGUUCUGCAAGAAUGAAGGAAUAGUGAGACACCGCACUGUUCGUCGAACACCACAACAAAAUGGAGUUGCAGAACGCAUGAAUAGAACUCUCUUGGAGCGAGCUCGUUGCAUGCGAUCAAAUGCUGGGCUCGGUGAAGAAUUUUGGGCUGAAGCUGUUAAUACUGCUUGUUAUUUGGUUAACAGAUCUCCGUCAACAGCUAUUGAGCUGAAGACUCCUGAGGAAGUAUGGUCUGGUUCUCCUGCUGAUUACUCUGGUUUAAGAGUGUUUGGCUGCCCUGCGUAUGCUCAUGUAAAUGAGGGAAAACUCAAACCGAGGGCGAAGAAAUGCAUAUUUCUUGGAUACGGCCAAGGGGUGAAAGGAUACAGGUUGUGGUGUCCUGAUCCGGUUUCGUCCAAGUUCAUCAUCAGCAGAGAUGUGACUUUUGAUGAGUCAUCCAUGCUUCGAUCCACCACAAAUUCCCGGGAAAAGGAGGAGUCAGAUAGAAUGGGAGAUCACGGUGUUGAGAAGCAGGUGGAGUGUCAGGUGGACGCUCCAAUUCCUACGGAAGGUACUUCAGUCCAGGAUGAUCAAGUUGAGGUGCAAGAUUCCGAUGAAGAUGAGUCACCUCAAGAAAAACCAUAUAGCAUUGCCACUGGAAGAACGAAGAGACAAAUCAAACCAAAUCCGCGUUACGCUAAUCUGGUGUCUUUCGCGCUCAGUGUGGCGGAGUCCAUUGGUAUAGAACCUUCCAGUUAUAAUGAGGCUGUCACGUGUGAUGAGUCGGCACAGUGGGCAAUUGCUAUGAGUGAGGAGAUAGAAUCUCUUCACAAGAACCAUACUUGGGAGUUGGUUAAGCCGCCAAGUAACCAGAAGAUAGUUGGUUGCAAAUGGGUCUUCAAGAAAAAGGAAGGCAUCCUAGGGGUUGAAGCAACUAGAUUCAAGGCACGAUUGGUUGCUAAAGGCUUCACUCAGAAAGAGGGGAUUGACUACAAUGAAGUUUUCUCCCCAGUCGUAAAGCAUUCUUCCAUUCGUAUAUUACUUGCCAUGGUGGCCAAGUCUGAUCUAGAACUUGAGCAGCUUGACGUAAAAACGGCGUUCUUGCAUGGUGAGCUCGAGGAAACAAUCUACAUGCGUCAACCAGAGGGUUUUACAGUUCCUGGUAAAGAAGACCAUGUCUGUCUAUUAAAGAAGUCUUUAUAUGGAUUGAAACAAUCCCCAAGGCAGUGGUACAAGCGGUUUGAUAGCUUCAUGAUUCAGCAUGGUUACACAAGAUGUGACUAUGAUGCUUGUGUCUAUCAUCGGAAGCUCUCAGAUGGUUCGCACAUUUAUUUGUUGCUGUAUGUUGAUGACAUGUUAAUUGCUUCCAAAAACAUGUCGGAAAUCAACAAGUUAAAGUCGCAGUUGAGUGGUGAGUUCGAGAUGAAGGAUCUGGGUGCUGCCAAGAAAAUUUUGGGCAUGGAUAUUCACAGAGAUCGCAAGGCGGGCAAGCUUCGUGUGUCGCAGAAGAACUACAUUGAAAAGGUUCUUCAACGCUUCGGCAUGGAUAAAGCGAAAACUGUGAGUACUCCGUUGGCACCACAUUUCAAACUCUCUGCAGAGUUGUCACCACAAUCUGAUGAAGAAAAGCAGCAAAUGUCUCACAUUCCAUACUCGAGUGCAGUUGGAAGCGUGAUGUAUGCAAUGGUUUGCACUCGUCCAGACAUUUCACAUGCAGUUAGUGUGGUCAGCAGAUACAUGAGUUGUCCUGGCAAGGAACACUGGCAGGCCGUGAAAUGGAUUCUCAGGUACUUGAGAGGUUCUGCAGAUUUAUGCUUGGUAUAUGAUCAGAGUGACUGCACCAGCAGUGUCACGGGCUAUGCGGACUCUGAUUAUGCUGGAGAUCUGGACAAAAGAAGAUCUCUGACGGGUUAUGUUUUCACUUAUUCUGGAGGAGCCAUUAGUUGGAAAGCUGUGUUACAGUCUACCGUAGCCUUAUCUACGACUGAGGCGGAAUAUAUGGCGUUAGCAGAAGCAGUGAAAGAAGCAUUGUGGAUGAAAGGUCUAGUAAGCAGUUUGGGUUUACAACAGGAUUUCACUGUUGUAUUUUGCGAUAGCCAGAGUGCCAUACAUCUGACUAAAAAUCAGAUGUUUCAUGAACGGACCAAACACAUUGAUGUCAGAUAUCAUUUUGUUCGGGAACAUGUUACGCAAGGUGACAUUGUUAUCAGCAAGGUUGCUACCGAGAAGAAUCCUGCAGAUAUGUUAACUAAGGUGAUCCCUGCAUAUAAGUUCAAGCAUUGCUUGGACUUGAUAGGUAUUCGGGAUUGAUUAGCGCCAGAGAGGCGUUUGGAAGAGGUGAUCCAGUUCACUAUGAUGUUCAGCUUGGUAAAUUUCAAGCCAAGGUGGAGAUUUGUUAAGAAAUGGCUUAAAAUUGGUAGUGGAUUGUUGUUGUUGGUAGUGGGUUGUUGGUGGUAGUGGAUUAGUGGAUGGUUGUUGGUGUCCAUUUUCAACCACAAAUCUUUGCCAAAGUUUUGGACAAUUAUGUCCUUGAACUCUCUUAUAAAUAGAGAGGUUCAUUAGCCAUAUUGAUCAUCCCAAACCAAGAGAGAGCAAAUCUUGUUCUUUGAAAGCUAGGAUUUUAGCUUUCGGGUUUUCUAUAGGGGUUGAGAGUUGUGAGGUUCUCGGGUUGUGUCUUGAGUGUAAAACACUUGUAAUCUUCAUCUUGUUAUAGUGAAAUUUCUUUUCGCCUCUGCCCGUGGACGUAGGCAUUAAAGCCGAACCACGUAAAUCCUUGUGUUCACUUUAUUUUUCGUUCCGGUCAAUUUACUUGUAGUCAUAUCGGAGUUCUCGAAUCGAUCCUUUCCGCAACAUUCUCAUUCAACUUCUUCACCUCAUAUAUGUGGUUAGCUCUUCCAUUUUUAAGUACCUGUCUGCCUCUAGAUGUUACAAUGAUUUUACUUUCUGGACCAAAAUGUUUAACACCCAUAAAUUCUAUUUGAUCUGGGUUACUAACAUCAUCAAGGACAACAAGUACUUUUUUAUUGUUCAACCGCUCUUGGUAAGGGUGUCCUAUGGAAGGGCUGUUAAUACAAAUUCCUUUUUGGUUUAAUAAUUUGGAAAAAAGUUCAUUUCGUAAAGAUUCAUUCCCUACAUUUUUUAUUUUCUCACUAACAUUUCGCAGAAACAAGUGGCUUUCAAAAUUUUGGCAGAUUUCACUAUACACAACAUCAGCAAGGGUAGUUUUGCCAAUACCACCCAUUCCCCAAAGUCCUAUUACACGGCUAUGCUCUUGCUCAAUCAGCCCCAAAAUUAUCUUUUUUUGAUCAUCUAUUCCAACCAAUUCUUCAGAAACACUUGUACAAUUGCUAUCCAACUCUUUUGAAAUAUAUUCAACCACAUCUUCAAUGUACCCUGUUUCAUAUCUAGAAAACAGUUAAAAAAUCGACAGUCAAAAGAAAGAUAUUCGUAUAAGUCAAAUAUAAGGAGAUGAGAAUAUAUAUAUUGUUACCUAUCGGAUUUGCCUCCUAUAUGCCACCCUUUUAAUGCACCGACCUCUUGAAAAGCAGAUUUCCAUCGUUGUACUCUAUCAGCUGGUUGCUUUGAUUCAUGCUUUUGGAAGGAUGUCUUAAAAGUCCCACCAAUUUUUUGCACUUGGGAAGGAUUAACAUGGUAAAAGAUGGGAAGAACAAUAUAUUUGUCAGUAGGAUCGCGCUUGCGAUCCAUGAUGUCAGAAAGUUCACCUAAGCAUGAAUUUGAAGAAGCAUAGUCUUUAGAUAAAAUGAUGAUCGAGAGAAUUGAGGCCGCAAUUGCAUUCGAAAGUGCUGAUGAAAUUUUCUCCCCUUUCUUUAGUGUAUCGUCAUCGAAGAAGACGGUUCAUCCCUUGUCUUUCAAAGCUUGGAGUAGAUGAGCGGUGAAGUUAACUCGCGUGUCUUCACCUCUGAAGCUCAAGAAAACUUGAUGUUUCACUUGACGAGAAGAAGAUGAAGAAGACGCCAUUUAAGUGUAUGGAUUGUGAGGUUGAGGAAAAAGAGAACAAAAUAAACUGAGGGAGCUUUGCUUUUGCUUCUAUUUUUGUAAUGGUAAGAAGAAAAAGUGUGUCAAUUAAAUGGGAAUGAGAUUGAAAAGGUGAAGCAUAGCGGAUGAGUUUUUACUGAUAACAAUUUCAAUAUCCACUCCGCUUAUCGAAUCUAAAACCUCCAUUAUCAAUAUACCAAAUAUUUUCUUAUUAAUUGAAUGCUAAAACAUAUCUAAAUAUUUAAAUAUUUUCUUAUUAAUUGAUUUUGUAAUUAAACGUAUAACUUCAAAAAAAAAAAAUUGUCACCAUUCUUGAAUUUCGUUUUGGGUUAUGGUAAAUUUUCUUAUAAAUUUCCUAACAAAAAUAUUGACUUUUAUACACUUUGUCAUUUGGGUCGAUUGAACUGACUUUCUUAAGAAUAAUUGCCACUUUUAGACAAUUUUAGGUGAAUUCAACUUAAAUUUCCUACAACUUUCUCAACAAUAAUCGCCACUUUUUUCCCCUAAAUGGAAAGUCUUUGGAAGGAAGGAUGUAGUGUUUCUAUUUUUCUUAUGUGAAAUAAUGAUAGAUUUUCUUUGUGCUUUUGGGGGGUUUCCAUUUUAGUCCUUUCUUCUGAACACAGGUAGGGUGAGUUUGGAUAAAAAUAUCUCUCCAAUCUCUUUCAAUUUUGAAAUUGAAUAAAUUGGUCUCUCUAAAAAAAAUCAAAGCAAUUUAAUCUUUCUUAAUUUCGAAAGUGAGCAACAAAGAACAAUUAUUCAUGACGUUAAUGCUUUUCGUCAAUUGUACAUAAUUUAGAUUGGUAUAACAAAAAAUUUAGCCAUGUUUACAUAUUUUGUCAAUUUGGUCUUAAUUCUGAAAAUUCAACGAGUUUAGUAUAAACAUUUACAUAAAUAUUGCUAGCUAAAUUUGUUAAAUCAAGACAAGUGAUAUAAUUGUAAACUUUGAGGGGUAAAUUUGUUAUUAUACCAAUUAAAAUUAUUUAUAUUUGAUGGAAAACAUCAAUGUUGUGAUUAACUAUCAUUAAUUACCCACUUUAGAAACUGAUGGGAUUUAAAUUGCUCCGAUUUUUUUAAGAGACUCCAAUUUGCUCAAUACCAAAAUUGAUCAAAGAGAUUGGAUAGAUUUUUUACCAACAAAUAUGCUUGCCUACAUUUAUUUUAAAUAUAGAAUCGAAUCGGUUUUCUAAUUAAUGGUCUAUUUGUUUGUAUGUAAAAUGUUUUCCAUAAAAUAUUUUCAUUGUUUUACCGUGUAUGUUUGGUGGAAAAUGAAUUACUAAAGGAAAUCAUUCUUCAAAAAAAAUGUAAAAUCAAGACUUUUUCAAGGAAAAUAUCUUACCAAUUUUUUUCCCGUAAGACAUUUUCCAAACUAGUAAGACUAUAUUGACUAUCUUCACUAUCAAAGAAACAAAAAAGGGAAGCUUUCAGAGCAACAAAAGGAAAGCUCUCUUCACUGUCGAAGAAAAUAGUCCCUCAUAUUUUAAUUUUAUAUUUUUACAAAUUAGUCCCUGGAAUCUAAAUUUUUACUAUUCUACAAUUUAAUUCCUCAAAAAUAGAUUUUAUUAUUCUACAGUUCAGUUCUAAACCUCUUUUUGUACAAUUUUGCAAAACAGUCCCUUUUCUAAAAUUUCUAGCUUUUAUAAUUUAGUCCUUACAAUUAAAAUUUUGUUUUGGUCCUAUUACUAUUCCUUUACUACAACAAUAUCGUCAAUUAAUCCAAGUAAAUAUUACUAUUAAUUAUUCCAAUUGAAAUACUGACGUGAAUUUUUUAAAAAAACAUUGCUUUCAUAAAAAAAAAUUCAGCAUGGCUAAUAUGGAAAUACGCAAUCAAUAUUUCAAUAUCAUUUUACAGAAGAGUGAUCAAUUUCCCUUUUGGAUGACCAAAUUAACAAAAAUAGUAGAGCAACCAAAAUAGGAAUGACCCCUAUUUAAAAUAACUAAUGAGAUAAUUUACCCAUAAAAUUUUAAGAGCUUAACUGAAUAAUAUUGAGUAUAUUAGUCUAAGCAAAUCAUCUAUAGGAAAAGAAGUUACUAGUUGAUUUUGUAACCAAAUCUAGUUGAUGGGUAUUAAGUAAAUUUCAAAGCACAAAAUAUUGAUGCCCAAAUUAGUUUGGAUUAUUAUAAUAAUAUAAAAUUAGGCCAUAUUUAGAAACAAAUUAAAAAGGUAAUCCUCUUUUAAUAAAUGUGAAAAAUAGGUAGUACAGCAGCAUUAGUAGUGGAGCUUUUUUUUUAAUGCCACGAGUGAGAUUAAAAAAUUGUCUUAUUUUAAUUCAUUGAUUGCAAAAAAAUAUGCUACAAAGAUGUCAAGAAUCUGAUCUCCUUUUUCUUUUGUUUUUUCGCUGAAUUUACAAAGAAAAUCUGCAUAUUACAGUCAUACAUAUUGUUCCAAAAUGCAUAAGGACAAGUAAAAGUUGAUAAUGCACCAAAGCAUGGAAACUCACUUUUUUUUUUUUGUGAGGUGAUAAAGACUUAUUAAUAAAAUAUUUUUAUUGGCUGAGGAAAAAAAAGGGUUGCUUUUGCUUUUGACACCAAUUUCAAAAUGACUAAUAAAUCUUACAGCACUUCAAAAUACGCCAUCCAACCUUCUUUCUUUCCUCGAAGCUACAUAUGUAGGAAUUUGGAUAAAUCAAAGCAGACCACCCCUGGGCUGAAUUUUCAUGGAAGUUCCACAAAAUUUGCACAUCACAACCAUACAUAUAGCUUGUAAAAUGCAUAAGGAAAAAAGAAAGUUGAUAAUGCAACAAAGAAUGAAAAUUCUAAAUCACAAGCUAUUUGCAUGUAGAGCAUGUGAUUCUGGUUGGUUUUAAUUAAUUAAAGCACUUCAUAUUUCUGUCAUUGGCAAUUAAUUUAAAUGCUGGAAAAUAAUAGUUUAUGUGUUAGAACGUAAAUGUUGAGUAAAAUAUUAUUCAACGUACCAAUAUUGGCACAUUUUCUAAAUAAGUCGAGUCUUGAGCAAGAUAUUUUGGCCUAGCUCGAAUUUGACUACUUCUUUCCUGCUGUUGUUUAUUGUUGUUAUAUUGUUGUUUUGUUAUAAUCUUAUUAUUGUAUUGCUAAUAUUUUAUUGCUAUUGUUUGGGUAUUGAAUUUUUAGUUUUAUUGUUAAUUUUACUACAAUUUUAAAAAAUUUUGAUUGUUGAGUUGCAUUAGUGUUAUUUAAGUAUAAAUAUUUAUUUUAAAAAAUAUAUUUUUAAUUUUAUUUUAAUUUUUUUAGUCUAUUUGAUGUAUUAUAUUUUUAAAAUUUAUCUUUACAUAAAAAUAAUCUAAAAAAAUUAAUACGGGUAGGUCAGGCCGGGCUUAAAAAACGAGCCUAAAAUUUUGCAUCGCCUCAACCCAUGAUCAAGUCUAUAUGAACUUUAAAUGAACUCAUUUAAUUUAUCCAACCCAAUAUCAGGUUUUCAUUGUAAAAAUAUUAUUUAUAUAAUUAAUUAAAAUAAAUUUAAUUCAUUCAUUCAAUUAAAUUAUUUUCUCAACUAAAUUCUAAUUUUAUUAAAGUCAUGAUAAUUUUAUAGUACUAGAACUAUGGGUAAAUAAAUUUUGAGUUAAGGCAUGUGUCUUCACCUCUGAAGGUUAAGAAAACUUAAUGCAUCAUUUGACGAGAAAAAGAUGAAGAAGAUGCUAUGAAAGUGUAUGGAUUGUGAGAUUGAGGAAGAAGAGAGGAAAGUACACAAAGGGAGUUUUGGCAUCCUAGUAUUAAAUGACAAUGAGAAUAUGAGAUUUAACAAAGGCAAUGACUGGAGGAGAUUAGCUAAUUAUCUGAGACAAGAAAAUUGUCACUCUCACUCUUUCCAGGAAAUGACAGUCUUUUAUUUGUAUAUUUUACCCACAAUAGUCAAGGUCUUCCAAUGGGACAAUGUUGAGGAAAUGGUUAAAUUCUUAAAAGAGUCCUUGAACUAGUUUACUUUUGUUGUACCCAAAUAAACCCCUAUGUUUUUAUCUGUGUUUAAAUUAGCCCUUAUUUCAAAUGACAUGUUAAUUUUAAAAUAAGUUGGUGAUGAGGGGAGUGUUGAAUUUCAACAUCAACUUAUAAUCACCAUUUAAUAUAUUUUAUUUGUGUUUAUUGUUGUGCAAAGUUUAACUAUUAUUGUUAGUUUUUAAAAACCAAGUUUAACUUAAAUCUUUUGUUAGUUAAAAGGAUAAUAAAUCUCGUAUUGCUUAAGAACAAAGCACAAAGGGAUUAUGAAUCUAUAUAAAAGCCCAUAUUUCACAUUAUUUAGAAAAACAAAGGCAAGAAGAUUUUGAGUUUAUAUAAAGAACCAUAUUUUAAGCCUUAAGUCUAAAUAUUAGCCUUCUGGUGAUGUGGACUUUGAUGAAGAAGAAGGCAUGAAAGAGUAUUAAAAGGGAGUUUUGACCAGCAAGAAAACUUGCUCCAAAUGACGAGGAUGAUGAUGAUGGGUGUUAAUUAAUUUCCAAGUCAAGGUCUUCCAAUGGGUUUUGACCAACAAGAAAACUUGUUCCAAAUGACGAUGAUGAUGAUGGGUGUGUUAAUUUCCAAGUCAAGGUCUUCCAAUGGGAGACUAAAACUUUUCUAGAUACAAGUUAAAAAUUAAAAGUUAUUUGGAUAACAAAUAAAGUUUAAAGGCUUAUGUGGGGUAUGAUGAAAGUACACAAGAUUAUUUAGAUAAUGUGAUAAAGGUUAAGGGCCAAUUUAAUAUGUUAGUAUGAGUAAAUCAUCUAUACUAAAAUAUGUAUUAGUUGAUUUCGUAACCAAACGUACAACUUCAAAAACAAUUGUCACCAUUCAUGAAUUUUUUUUUUUUUGGGUUGUGAUGAAAUUUCUUACGAAUUUCCUACCACUUUCUUGAAGAAUAAUCUUCACUUUUUCCCCCCUAAAUAAAAAGUCUUUGGAAGGAAGUGUGUUGUGUUUCUAUUUUCCUAGGUGAAAUAAUGAUAGAUUUUCUUUGUUAGUCCUUUCUAACAUAGGGAAGGCAAGUUUGAGUAAAAUGACUUCUUUAGUCUUUCUUAAUUUCAAAAUUGACUAAAUUGAUCCCUUUAAAAGAAGAAAAAUUUAAUCUUUGUUAAUUUUGAAAGUGAGCAACAAAUAAAUUUUGAAAAUUGAAUAAGGACAUUUAACUGCAUCAUUAAUGUCUUCUAUCAAAUUCACAUAAUUUUGAUAUUGGUAUAACAAUAAAUUUAGCCCUUCAUGUUUGCAUUUUUGUCAAUUUGAUCUUGAUUCUAAAAAAUCAACAAAUUUAGCAUUAACAUUUACACAUUUACACAUUUACACAAAUGUAGCAGUCUGAAUUUGUUAAAUCAAGGCAAAUUAAACAUGAAUUCACCUAAACUGCUUAGCAACUGAUUUAGAGCUUGAUAUAAUCAAGAUCAAUAGGAGAUACCAUUGUCAUAGAAUAGUAAGUCUUAAAAGCAAAUAAAUCUUUGGAUUUGCCUACCCUUGAGAGCUUAUAUAUACUUUGAUCUCUUGUGUGAUAUUUAGAAAUCUUUACAGUGUCUAAUUAUUUAGAUAUUUGAUGGGUUUAUUGCUCUGCAAGAAAAUGAAAAGUUGAGCUUACUCAAUUAUCUAUCACUCAAUGUGCGUACGGACCUUACAAACCCAUCAGAUUCUAUCUUUUGAAAAGCCUUUUAACUCUGCUGCCUAUCAUCAUAAGAUUACCUAAUUUUACAAUCUAAUGAAAAUGGUUAAGUUUAAUACAAUGAAGUUUACAAUCAAGUGGAAUAAAUUUGAUUAAACAUCGUUUGAAGAUCAUAUAAAAUAAAGGAAACAAAGUGUAAACCUUAAAAUAAAGCCUCAAUGCCUUCAACUGCUAACUUGAGUCGGAGCUUACAAGCAACACGUAAAACAAAAAACAACAAUACAACAUAAUGUAUAAUGUCAAUAAAUACAAUGCCAUGAACAUUAAAAUCCGAUCCACCCCAUCCUUGGCUGAUAUGCCUUGGCAAGACAUUUACGAAAAUCAGUAUCUUUCACUUGAAGGAUCAAUCGAUUAGCUCGGAUACGUCCCCAAAAGUAUCCGAGAGGUUGAAUUGAUACACAAUGAAACUGUCAUGCUCUAGUUGGAAGCUUCAAGCACAGUAUAAUAGCUCGAAUCACAGCCACGUUUUCUUACUGCUGGAAUUCCGGCACCCCCUUAACAUCAUUCUCCCAAAACAGUGACUGUAAAUUCACAACGAAGAAUCACCGUAUGAAGCAAAUGGUUAUGGAAAAUCGCAUCGUUUGUUUCAAGACACAAACACCACACUGCAACCGCAUAACAUGUUCAGCUAAGAUCAACAACUACAGAUUUGUGUAAAUAAUGCAAUAUAAAAUAAUCAGAGUAGUAUAAUUUGUGUUUUCUCUUGUAGUAAAAUCAUAGUUUAGGAUUAGAGAAAGUGACUGUAAAGACAAAGUUUCGAAGCUCAUAAAAAUGAAUGCAUGAACCAAAUGGAUUAAAUCCAAAUUAUAUGAAGAACAUAAGGUGAUAGAAUAGUUAAUGCUUAGUGACUAAAGUCCCUGAUUGCCAAUUCCAGUAUUCAUCCUUUCUAUCCAAAACGAGAGUAAAACUCUGGAAUUUUAAUCACAAAAAUCAAAUCAAAGUUCAAUCUCUGAUAAUCUAAAAUACAAAAAAAGGAAAAUUAAUUCAAAUUUCAGCCCAAACUCAUAUGAUAAUGAAGUCAAAUGGCUCUACCUUGAAACCAACUCAAACUAAACCCAAAUCAUUUGUUUUUAAAAAAUCAGAUGGCCAUGAGGGUUGUAAAAGAUCACAAUGAAACAAAGGUAAUUAAGCUCACCAGGAAGGCUAAAUUGGAAAGAGCUUAUGGCUCCUCCAAAGGUCCUGUUAGAAAAAGGCAGCAGCAACAAUGAACAACAAAGAGCAUAAGCUCAUGAAAACAGCAAGCAAAACAAUUGAUAGGCCAAAGAAAAAAGUAACCGAAUGAGAGGUUCUGCUGCUUUCAUUUUCAUUUCAAAAUAUAAAGGAGUUACAAAAAUAAUAAUAAUAAUAAUAAUAAUAAUAACAAGUCAGUUACCUAAACACGUAACUGCUCUUACCAAAUUUGGCAAGUUGCCAACUAAAAUAUUACAAAAGAAAAGCUGAAAAAAUUCAGCUGUUACAUCCAUCAUUUUCAAAUCUAAAAGUACUAGCUUUAGAUAGCCAACUUGUUAACAUCACAAAAAUACAAAACAAAAGAAAGUUGCUUCUGGUUCAAUCUUCAAACAGACAUGUAAGCAUUACUGCUGCUGCUCACGAUGCUGGUGGUUUGUUGCAUUGCAGGCCAAUGCUCAAUAGCUCCAACAACCAGAAAGCAUUGAAGCAAAGUUGAAUGAUAUCAACUAGGAAAAUCUGUUAACAAAUUGCAAUACUGCCUCGACGUCUCAGUUCAAUCACAAAUAAUGGCAAUAACUCAAUAGAAGAAAUUAGAAGCUUACUCAUCUGCCAUUAAUGUCAUCUUGACUCUGUUUCCUCAUCUGCUUCUCUUAAACCAAUCACUGACAUCUUCAUUCCCUUCACAGAAGCAUAUUUAAAAUGUCAAAGCUUAAUCUCUAGUUUUUGGCUGACUUAUACUACAUUGCUUUAAACUCUGCAAAUAAAAAGCACAUCUAUAACGUGAGAUAAAAAAGAUUAGGCAUAGCGCACAACCUUACAUUAACACUUGAAAUUUAGUGGAACUUGUUUUUGUUGGUGAGAAGAAGAUAUCAUAUCAAACCCACCCUUAAUCUGCGAUUACAAUUCCAGUAUAAAUAGACAUGAAUCAUAAAUCAACGAAUCAAGAUAUCAUUGACGGAAAAUGCAAUGAGUAUAUUGAGAUACCAGAUGAUUAAAUCUCUACUUUUCAAUGAAGCUGAAUGAAGUCCUCCACUGAUCCUAUGGAGUCAACUGCCAAAAAGAAUAAAGCAUGAAUCUUAAUAUCACCUCACCACAAUGCUGCUUAAACAACUUGAAAGGCAAUAACAUACAAAGAGACUUCAUCCCCAACUGAUCUGAUGAUCAAAAUCCAAGAUAAGAAAAUAUCAAUUCCAAUGGCUCUACCAUGGAACCAGCUCUUCACUUCAAACUAAAAUCAUUUAAUAUUUUUCCAGUAUCUUCUUGGGUUCCUCAAUGGGAUAAACAUAAGCUCACCAAUCCAACUUGAGAAUGAUAGCCGUCAAACGCUUGCCUCCAGCUCCAUGUGUUCAUACCACAAAAUUUGAGAUACGAGCAACUCUCGGAAUUUCUUUGAUAAAUCUAGAAAAAAUAAGCAUUAGAUGAACCUAAAAUCAAAAUAAUAAGUCAAAGGUAACUUACUUCUCCACCAAGACUGAAUUGCCAGAGCCCAGAAAAGGUAUUCAAAAGAUUCCUUCAAUUUUGCGUUGAACCAUCAUAUGAAUAGACCAGUAAGGCAAAUCUGUUGACAACUUGCAUUGUCUCAAAAUAUCAGUUCAAACACAUAAAUAAAAUAAGCAUCAAGUAAAAGAAAUUGAAGCUCUUACAGCUUAGGUGUUCCUCCUUAUAUGGCUAAAGCUCCAACUCAUUAUUGGCUAAAAAUAUUUUGCAUUGGUCACAAACUUAAACUUUAAUACCAGAAAUUUCAUGGGAACUUGUUUUGUUGGUGAGAAAGAGGAUAUCAGAACCAUCCAUAAUCUGCAAGUUCUGUUGAGUACCGAAUCUCACAACAAAUAGGAAACACCUACUCCUAAAUCAACAUAAAAGCAAAGGUUAUAAGAGAAACCAAUCUUUCUAAUUAACAUGAAAUCAUGUAAUCAUGAGUUGAUGACAUAUGAGCACCGAUGUUAGAAACUAAACAAUGAGGCUGAAUAAUUUAAGUAUGAAUCUUAAUAUCUAAAUUUGGGCACCUACCACUAACCCCUAUUGAUAAUAAUCUAAAAUGACAUACUUUUAUGAGCUAAUUACAUAUAUAUUUUGAGUACGAUCCUAUUAAUUUGGGCUGUUUAUGGAUAUUUUAUCAAUUCCAAAGCAGGAUCUUUUUGCUACUGUAUUGAAAUCUCUCCAGUUGCCAUUCAAUUUUCCUCCAAAUCAAUUAAUAUGGAGAAUUUCCUUCUUGGACAAUAUAUUCUAUACCUACAAAAGAACACAGACUCAACAGGGGAAUGGAUAUGAGAAAAAUAAUAAGAAGAAACUACCACAAACUACAGAAAAAAUUUCCAUUUUAUGUUCAUAAACUAUGCUUUUAACAUUUACAAUGUGGAACUACAAGUUUUCAGUUUCUCGAAGAUGGUAAAGCACCUUCUAAAUGACUAGCAAUUUAUAAAGCAGAGCAAGUUAGCUUCAUUCUGGUUUGUUUUAAUUAAGUAAAUUGAAAUUUUAGUUUUAACAAUUGUGAAAAACAAAAGUAUGGCAAUAUGAAAAAUGACAUAAAAAAACUGAAAAAUGUAUGAUAAUAUGAAAAAAUGAGAUGAAAAUGAAAACCUUACCAAUGCAUUUGGAUGGCAUAAUUGAGAAGUUGUAACUCCUGAAAACCAGAGGCAAAGAUGAAAAGAAAUAAAAACUUCGAAAGUCAUCACGCCGUUUUUUCCUACCAUAUCUCGCUGCCCAUUUCAUAGCUAGGGAUCCAAUUUUGAGCAUGGCAUUUGCCUCAAUGUUAUUAGUUGACUCUUGAUUCAAGUUGAAACAAUUACAGAAUAGCAUGCAAAACACAUUGUAAUUGUCAUCAUCAAUUAAAGAAUCAAACUGAUAUAAACUUUGAUCUGCAAAGGAUACUUUUUCUAAUGAUGUGCAGUCAUGUACACUCAAGCCUUGCAGAUAUGGUGGAAGCUCUGAGAGUAAUUUGAGGCUCUUGCAACGAUCCAUCCACAUAUACCUAAGGGUUUUAGACCUCAAGCUUGGUGGGGGCACAUCAACAGUGGGAAACUCUCUUGAAUCGAACAGGGAGAUAUUACACUGUAGCUUUGGAAUACUUGAGCCGCUCAUCUCUAACUCCCUAGGAUUACUUAAAGAGUCUAUAGACAAGGCCGCUUCUUCAAUUGGAGUGUCAGAUAACUUUAACCAUAUUAAGCCUCUCGGGACUUUCGGAAAUUCGACCAUUGGGCAACCACUAAUAUCCAGUCGACGAAGGGAUUCCAACUUGAUCGAUGCAUUUUUUACCGCUUCGCCUUUCACUUUUAAGUACACGAGAUUACAUAAAGGGUCGAAAGAAAAUAACACUUCUUCAAUUUGAGUGUGUUAAACUUCUUGGGACUUUUGGAAUUCGGACCAUUGGGCAACCACUAAGAUCCAGUUUAAGGGAUUCCAACUUGAUCGAUACAUUUUUUACUGCUGAGCCACUCAUAUUUAAGAUCUGAAGAUUACAUAGAGAGUCGAAGGCAAGGACACUUCUUCAAUUUGAGUGCCAGAUAAAUUUAAUUCUAUUAAGCUUCUUGGGAUUUCUGGAAAUUUGAUCAUCGAGCAUUCACUAAGAUUCAGUUUACGAAGGGAAUCCAACUUGAUCGAUACAUUUUUGCCCGCUGAGCCACUGAUAUUUAAGUCCUGAAGAUUACAUAGAGAGUCGAAAGGCAACGACACUUCUUCAAUUUGAGUGCGAGAUAAGUUUAAAUUUGUUAAGCUUUUUGGGAUUUCUGGAAAUUUGAUCAUUGGGCAAUUACUAAGAAUCAAUUCACCAGGGAGUUCCAACUUCGAAAUAUUGAUCGAUACUUUUUUUACCUCUGACUUGCUCAACGACAAUCUCUGUAGUUUGUGGAGAUGCUCAAUUGAAUCAGGCACUUCUUCUAUUUCAGUUAUUUCUAAACCCAAAGAACAAAAGUGUCUUGGGACCUGAGGAAACUUCUUGAGCCUAUAACAUCCCUCAAGGUGAAGCUUAUCAUGAUGAAGAGAUGCCAAAUGAUUGAGGCAAGGAAGUUCAACCAAACUUUUACAUAAAGAGCAAUCAAGGAGUUCAAGGUUGAUGGCUCCUGAAAGAUUAUGUAUCUUCAUUAAAUUAGCGCACCAUGAAACGUCAAUUUGCCUUAAAUUAACAAGGUCCUCUAUAGAAAAAUUAACUGUAUUACUUUUAAGCAUUAAAAAAUGAAAAGGAAAUGAAUAAUUAUAAUACUAAAAAAUAAAAUUUUAUAUUUGAUGUGUUGGGCGUAAAUUCAGCCACAAUUACUAGAUCAUGUCACUUAUUUAAAUAAAUUUAAAAACUUUAAAUAAGAUGUUAUUUGAUACAUCAAAUAAUAAAUAUUUUUUUUUCCUUAAAAAAAUUUUUAGGCAAAGAAAAUAUGAAAGCACAUACCAUACGAUCAUCUUCAUUCCAAAGUUGUUCCAUAUUACCACGUCGUAAUAUCAAUACGACAAGAUUCUUUGAAUUAAAACUUGAUAAAGUUUUGAAGGGAAGAGAUAUACUAUCAACUUUGUUUGCAUAUUGCGGUGGAGGUUCCCAUAAAGUAUGUGCAAAAUACCUGAUGUUGAUAUAUCUAAGCUUAUGCAUCUUCUCAAAACCGGUAGCGCAAAAUUGUUGAUUACCAGUUUGAGUUACAUCUAACUUUAUUCCUUUAAAAAACUCAGUCACCUGAUAAAUAAAAAAUCAUAGAUUAACAUAAAGAAAUUUAUCGACAUUCUAUUAAAUCAGUCAUAAAAAUGCAUUAGAUAUUUAACUAACCCAAAAAACUUUUAACAAGAUUCCAUGUUGUAUCGUAAGACAUUUGGUCAUUAUGUUUAUGGUAAGAAACAAAUAAUUUUAUUUUUUGAAAUAAUAAUUAAAAAAGAUAAUACAUGGUACACAACAACAUCUAUUAAACCUACCAAAGAGUGAAAAGAAAAUAAAUGCAAUUAACACUUACUUUAUCAUAUUUGAACACCUCUUCCAUGUCUUCACAACUCCACAAUCUACUUCGCUUUCCGGGGCAUUCAGAUUUUCGCAUAACAAUGUCCUUGCCCAUCUCUUCAACCAUGUCAUGCAUAAAAACACAUCCAUAUUUGUUCUCAAGUAGACACUUGUCGACCAAUUUACUUAUUCCACAUGUUGCACCCUUAUAACAAUUACUUAGAACUUUUUCUACAUAAUCCAUGGCUUGCCCUUUAAAGAUGCAUGCUAGGUCAAGAAAUAUAUUAUUUUCUUCCUCAUCUAGCUCAUCCAAGCUACUCUUCAAAAUAUGUGAAAUUUUUAAUUUCGACAUCGUAUAUAGUUCAGAACCCAAAACUUUAAGAGCAAGUGGACUACCUUGGACAUAUUCUACAAACUUGCAUGAUAGAUCUCGAAAAUCAACUACAGGAUUCAACAACUUAAAUGCAAAUGUAGAAAAAAGUUGAAGAGAAUCAUUCUCAUUCAACUCCUUAACCUUAUAUAUGCGGUGAGCUCUUCGAUUUUUUAGUACUUGUCUAUCUCUAGAUGUUACAAUGAUUUUACUUCCAGGACCAAAAUAUGUGACACCCAUAAAAUCUAUUUGGUCUGGGUCACUAACAUUGUCAAGGACAAGAAGUACUUUUUUAUUAUUCAGCCGCUCUUGAUAAGGGUAACCUAUGGAAGGGGUAUCAAUACAAAUUUCUUUUUCGUUUAACAGUUUGGAAAGAAGUUCAUUUCGUAAAGAUUCAUUCCCCUGUUUUUUUAUUUUCUCACUAAUGUUUUGAAGAAACAAACGACAUUCAUACUUCGGAAAGACUUCUUUAUAAACAGCAUCAGCAAGGGUAGUUUUGCCAAUACCACCCAUUCCCCAAAGUCCUAUUACACGCACGUCCACUUGCUCAAUCAACCCCAAAAUCAUCUUCUUUUGAUCAUCUAUUCAGACCAAUUCUUCAGAAACACUUCUACAAUUGCUAUUCAACUUUUUUAAAACAUAUCCAACCACAUCUUUAAUGUACUUAGUUUCAGAUCUAGAAAAUGAUUAAAAAAACCAGCCGUCAAAAGAAAGAUAUGUCAAAUAUAAUAAGAUGAAUAUAUAUAUAUAGUUACCUAUCGAAUUUGCCUCCUUCUAUAUGCCACCCUUUUAACGUACGAACUUCAGUGAAGGUGUCUUUCGAUCGCUUCACUUCAUCAACCGGCCUCUUUGAUUCAUGCUCUCCGAAGGAUGUUGUUGAAGUUGGCCAGCAUGCUGCCUUGUUGCACCAGAAACAGCCCGAGCCAGUGAAGUUGCAGCAGAAGAUCAAGCUACUGUUGCCAUUUUUUUUCUUCAAGUGAUGUUUUGUAACUUAGUUGGAUUAAAAACUAAGUAGCUUUUGUACUUGAUGUUAUUAGGUGAAGAAUGAGCUGUUAAAUCAGCUUUACAAAGUGUACAAGUUAACUUUAUCAAGUUUCAAUGUGCUUAGUGGUAGUAGGUAUUGUUUAGGUGAUGAUUUUGUAACUCAUUGACCAGCUCAUUAUUGGAACCCACCCAUUGUUUGAAAAGUCAAAAAGGGUGGGCACCGAAAGUAGAAAGUAAAAUUGGUUGGCAAGUUGGGUUAAAAGUUGGCAUGGGAUAAUUGCAAUUUUGGUCCCUAAUUGUAUAGGGACAUUGCAAGUUGAUCCUUGAACCUCAACUAUAAAUAGGCCUAACCAUUUCUUACUUUCUUCAUCCCACACUUGCCAUUCUCUACUUAAGGCAAUUGUUCUCUCUCCCUAUUUGUAAACUUUCACUUGUAUUUUUGGAGUGAAAUAUAUUUGGUAGUGCCCGAGGACGUAGGCAAAAUUUGCUGAACCUCGUUAAAAUUCUAGUGUUCUUUAUUUUUUGUUCUGCAUAUUUUGCAAGUGUCAUUGUAGUGAUUUAUUGUGCUAUUAAAUUACGAUAGAGGGAUAUUCUGGCUAGGAAAGAUCUGGUAUGUAAGCGAUCCUCGUGAUCCACCUCUCUUUCCUGGGAAUUGAACUUAGUGUGAUUUUUCAGUACAAUAAUUUUACUCUUUCACACGCUUCCGCGCAACAAUUGGUACUAGAGCCAGGUUCGUACUUGGGGAAUACGACCGUCUACGGUACUAUUUACGUAUACGGCACUAUUUAUGUAUAUGGUACUAUUCACGUAUACGACACUAUUUAUGUAUACAGUACUGUUCACGUAUACAGUAGUUGGGAUUGAGGAGAAAAAUGGCAGCAGCAUCGUCAUCAGCAAGGACUACUGUGACAAAUGCAAAAUUUGAAGUAGAGAAAUUUGACGGUACCAAUAAUUUUGGUAUGUGGCAAUGUGAGAUCCUGGAUGUCUUAUGUCAGCAAGAGCUAGAUAUAGCCCUUGAAGAAAAACCUGACAAGAUGGAUGACAAGGAGUGGGCCAAGAUCAAUAGACAGGCGUGUGGUACAAUCCGCUUAUGUUUGGCCAAAGAGCAGAAGUACUCUGUCAUGAGGGAGACAUCAGCGAAGAAGUUAUGGGAUACACUGGAAGAAAAGUUUCUAACGAAAAGUCUUGAAAAUAGGCUUUAUAUGAAAAAGAAACUUUAUCGAUUCACGUAUGCACCCGGUAUGUCGAUGAAUGACCAUGUGAACUCAUUCAAUAAAAUUUUAGCAGACUUGCUAAAUUUGGAUGAGAAAUUUGAAGAUGAAGACAAGGCAUUAUUGUUGUUGAAUUCCCUUCUUGAUGAAUAUGAUCAUCUUACCACCACAUUGCUUCAUGGGAAGGACACGAUCACAUUUGAUGCAGUCUGUAGCGCGUUGUAUAGAUCUGAGACUCGAAAGAAAGAUAAAAGAGAUCACAGAGAUACAACCGCAGAAGUCUUAACAGUAAGAGGUCGUUCACACAGCAGCAAAUCUGGUAGAAGGGGAAAGUCCAAAGGGAGACCCGCCAAAGAUGAAUGUGCCUUUUGCCGUGAAAAAGGGCAUUGGAAAAAGAAUUGUCCUAAGCUACAAAAGGGCAAGGCUAUUUCUAAUGCAUGUGUAGCGGAGCAUGAUGAGGAGUCAGACUUUAGCUUGGUUGGCAUGGCAAUGGCAUGUCAAACGGAUGAGUGGAUUUUGGAUUCAGGAUGUACUUACCAUAUGUGUCCUAAUAAGGACUGGUUUUCUAGUCUUAAAGAGCUAGAAGGUGGAAUUGUUCUUAUGGGCAAUGAUAGUGCUUGUAAGAUAAUGGGAGUGGGUACAGUCCAAUUGAAGAAUCACGACGGCUCAAUCCAAGUCUUGACAGAUGUUCGCUACGUACCUAGCCUGAAGAAAAAUCUCAUCUCAUUAGGUGCCCUAGAAUCUAAAGGGCUCACAAUCACUUUGAGAGAUGGAUUACUAAAAGUAGUAGCUGGGCAACUGACGGUGAUGAAAGGCACAAGAAGAAAUAACUUGUAUUUUUUAAAUGGAAGUACAGUUAUUGGAUCAACAUCAACAGUUUCUACAAAAGAUGUAGAUUCAGAGGCUACCAGAUUAUGGCAUAUGCGAUUGGGACAUGCUGGUGAAAAAGCUUUGCAGACAUUGGUGAAGCAAGGCUGAUUGAAAGGUGCAAAUUCUUGCAAAAUGGAAUUCUGUGAACAUUGUGUUCUAGGCAAGCAGAAGAGGGUAAAAUUUGGUCCAGCAAUUCACAAUACGAAAGGAAUUCUGGACUACGUUCACAGUGAUGUGUGGGGACCUACCAAAGUAGAUUCUUUGGGAGGUAUGCACUAUUUUGUUACUUUUGUUGAUGAUUAUUCAAGAAAAGUAUGGGUGUAUCUAAUGAAAAAAAAAAGUAAAGUUUUGGAUGCAUUUCUGAAAUGGAAGAAGAUGGUGGAGACUCAGACUGGUCGAAAGGUCAAACGACUUCGAUCAGAUAAUGGUACUGAGUACAAAAACGAUCCAUUUCUACAAGUAUGCCAAGAUGAGGGCAUUGUGCGACACUUCACUGUUCGGGAUACACCACAGCAAAAUGGGGUGGCAGAACGAAUGAAUCGAACUAUACUGGAGAAAGUUCGAUGUAUGUUGUCCAAUGCUGGAUUGGGCAAAGAAUUUUGGGCUGAGGCAGUUACAUAUGCGUGCCAUCUAAUUAACCGUUUGCCAUCAGCUGUAAUAAAUGGAAAAACUCCUAUGGAGAUGUGGACUGGUAAAUCUGCUACUGAUUAUGAUUCUUUACAUAUAUUUGGUUCCACUGCAUAUUAUCAUGUAAAAGAAUCUAAGUUAGACCCAAGAGCAAAGAAAGCAUUAUUCUUGGGUAUAACUGAUGGAGUAAAAGGAUAUCGUCUCUGGUGUCCUGAUACAAGGAAGAUUGUUUUCAGUAGAGAUGUGACUUUUGAUGAAUCAACCAUGUUGAAGUACAAGGAUUCACAAAAGGAUGACAAAACCAGUAGUACUUUGCAGCAGGUGGAGCUUGAAAAGGUUAACGAUGAUCCAGCUAAUAUUGAAGGGACAAAUGAUGAAGAGGUUCCUACCCAAGAACCUCUACAGCAACAAGAUUCAAUUGCAUAUAGAAGGCCAAGAAGAGAGAUUCGUAAGCCAGCUCGCUUUGAUGAUAUAGUGGCCUAUGCACUUCCAAUUACAGAUGAUGAUGUUCCUUCUACUUACACAGAAGUAAUAAGUAACCCUGAUGGUGUAAAGUGGAAGCAAACAACGAAUGAAGAAAUGCAGUCUCUUCAUAAAAAUAAGACCUGGGAGUUGGUGACACUACCCAAGGGAAAGAAGGCAAUUGGAUGCAAAUGGGUAUAUGCAAAGAAGGAAGGAUUUCCUGAUAAAAAUGAAAUUCGAUACAAGGCUAGAUUAGUAGCAAAGGGUUACGCUCAGAAAGAAAGAAUAGACUACAAUGAAGUGUUUUCUCCAGUUGUGAAGCAUUCGUCUAUUCGGAUUUUGCUAGCCUUGGUUGCGCAAUAUGAUCUUGAACUAGUUCAGCUUGAUGUGAAGACCGCGUUUUUACACGGUGAUUUGGAAGAGGAAAUCUAUAUGACUCAGCCAGAUGGAUUCAAGGUUGCUGGAAAAGAAAAUUGGGUUUGCAAACUGACAAAGUCGCUUUAUGGAUUGAAGCAAUCUCCGAGGCAGUGGUACAAGCGAUUUGAUCAGUUCAUGAAAGGGCAAAGGUAUACAAGAAGUAAAUUUGAUCAUUGCGUGUAUUUUCAGAAGCUACAAGAAGGAACUUUCAUAUACUUGCUCUUAUAUGUUGAUGAUAUGCUAAUAGCAUCUAAGAGCAAAGUUGAGAUUGAAAGAUUGAAGACUCAACUCAAUCUCGAAUUUGAGAUGAAAGAUCUAGGAGAAGCUAAAAAGAUUCUCGGCAUGGAAAUAUGGAGAGAUAGAGCUCAUGAUAGAGUUAGCUUGUCUCAGAAGCAGUAUUUGAAAAAGGUACUACAGCAGUUUGGCAUGAACGAGCAGACAAAACCUGUAAGUACCCUGUUGGCUUCUCAUUUCAAGCUUUCUGCACAACUAUCUCCUUCGACGAAUACGGAACGAGAAUACAUGUUGCAAGUUCCGUAUUCUAAUGCAGUGGGUAGCUUGAUGUAUGUAAUGGUGUGUACAAGACCCGACAUUUCACAGGCAGUUAGUAUAGUGAGCAGGUAUAUGCAUAAUCCUGGAAAAGGACAUUGGCAAGCUGUGAAAUGGAUUCUACGGUAUAUUCAGAAGACCGUGGAUGUUGGAUUACUGUUCAAGCAGGAUAAUGCACUUGGUAAAGGUGUUAUUGGGUACGUUGAUUCUGACUAUGCCAGUGAUUUGGACAAGCGAAGAUCAACCACCGGUUAUGUGUUUACACUUGCUGGAGGACCAAUAAGUUGGAAGUCUACACUACAGUCUACAGUUGCAUUGUCAACCACAGAAGCCGAGUACAUGGUUGUAACAGAGGCUGUAAAGGAGGCUAUUUGGUUACAAGGUAUGGCUAAAACCUUGGGGUUGGUUUAGGAGCAUAUUAACGUGUAUUGUGAUAGUCAAAGUGCUAUUCAUUUAGCAAAGAAUCAAGUCUAUCAUGCACGUACAAAACAUAUCGACGUACGAAUCCAUUUUGUGCGGGAAAUUAUUGAAGAGGGGAAAAUUUGUCUUCAGAAGAUCAAGACUGCAGAUAAUCCCGCAGAUAUGAUGACCAAGGUGGUAACAUCAACCAAGUUCGAACAUUGUUUGAACUUGAUUAAUAUCCUGCAAGUUUAACAGUUGAAGAAGGCACUAUCAAGUAUUGUUGUCAAAGGCAAAAAGAAUUGUGUGAAGAUAAGAUUAUCCUAAUCAAAUCUUCAAGGUGGAGAUUAUUGGAACCCACCCAUUGUUUGAAAAGUCAAAAAGGGUGGGCACCGAAAGUAGAAAGUAAAAUUGGUUGGCAAGUUGGGUUAAAAGUUGGCAUGGGAUAAUUGCAAUUUUGGUCCCUAAUUGUAUAGGGACAUUGCAAGUUGAUCCUUGAACCUCAACUAUAAAUAGGCCUAACCAUUUCUUACUUUCUUCAUCCCACACUUGCCAUUCUCUACUUAAGGCAAUUGUUCUCUCUCCCUAUUUGUAAACUUUCACUUGUAUUUUUGGAGUGAAAUAUAUUUGGUAGUGCCCGAGGACGUAGGCAAAAUUUGCUGAACCUCGUUAAAAUUCUAGUGUUCUUUAUUUUUUGUUCUGCAUAUUUUGCAAGUGUCGUUGUAGUGAUUUAUUGUGCUAUUAAAUUACGAUAGAGGGAUAUUCUGGCUAGGAAAGAUCUGGUAUGUAAGCGAUCCUCGUGAUCCACUUCUCUUUCCUGGGAAUUGAACUUAGUGUGAUUUUUCAGUACAAUAAUUUUACUCUUUCACACGCUUCCGCGCAACACUCAUGUUUGGUAUUUGUAUUGGCUUCCAUUUUUAGUGUUUCAAAAGCUUAAUUCUGCUCUUGAAUUCUAUUUUUGUUUCUUCUGCAAGCCUUGAGCCUUGUUUCUCAAGUCUCAGCAAAACUUGCUUGCAUAUUAUUCAUAACACCAACAGAUGUCUUAAAAGUCCCACCAAUAUUUCGCACAUGGGAGGGAUCGACAUGGUACAAGAUAGGAAGAACAGUAUGCCCUUGAGUCUUUUUACACUUCAUGAUCUGAGAGAGUUCACCUAAGCAUGAUUUCGAAGAAGCAUAGCCUUUAGAUAAAACAAGGAUUGAGAGAUUUGAGGCUGCAAUUGCUUGAGAAAGUGCUUGUCAAAGUUGCUCCCUUUUCUUUAGUUUUUCUUCAUCGAAGAAUACAUUCAGUCCCGUGCCUUUCAAAGCUUUGAGUAGAUGACUGGUGAAGUUAAGGCGUGUGUCUUCACCUCUGAAGCUCAAGAAAACUUGGUGCUUCAUUUGACGAGAAGAAGAUGAAGAAGACGCCAUGAAAGAUUAUGGAUAUGUGAGUGAGGCAAAGAGAAAAAUUUAUAGCAAGGGAGCUUUGGUUUGCCUUUUGAAGAAGAAAAGUUUAAAAUAUGGAUCCAUCAUCAGUGGGAACCUUUUAUUAAAUGGAUUUUUGGUUGAAUUUUCGAACAUAUUAAAAUUUAUUUCUUUUUUUUUAUACAAAGCCUAUAGCUACACGUAAUUCUUUCUCACCUUUAAAUAAAAAGAAAAGACACGUUUAAACACACUCGAACUCACAUCUUUAAACAUUUGUGUGAUGCUAUUAUUUUCUAUUAAAGGUUGUCAUUAAUAAGCUAUUUAAAUUCCAUCACUAAGAAUAUAUUUUUUUCAUCACUUAAAUAAUGGCUUUAAUUAGAGAUAGAUUCUAGUGUCACGGGGCUAGAACUUCCGUCUCGCGAUCCGUGCGGCCUUAGGCGAUCCGUUCAUCCAAACUCGCCUAAGUCAGCUUUUACUCAAGUGAAGAUUCCUUAAGAACUCCUCCAAGGCACCGAAUUGAAGAGCGGAAGCGAUUUAUGCCAAAAGAAGAAUAAUGAAAGAACAAGAGAAAGUCACAGAAAAGAACACACCCAAGGUGUUUGAGUAAAUGCUCUCUGAAUUCUAUUACUCUUAAGAAUUCAAUCUUACAAUGGAUGAGUACAAAUGAGGGGAGGCUCUCUAUUUAUAGUUAAGCUCCCCUAAAAUCGACGAUCAAGAUACAUUUACAUCAACGGACGAGAUUAACCAUAUCUCUUAAUUUUAGGGAUUUACAAUAUUUGUCAUAUCAAAUCUAAUCUAAUCUUUACAAGAUAUGAUUCUCUCUAUCUUCUAAGAUUAGUUACCAAAAUUAGCCUAAGUUGCCAUGUCUUCAUUAUCGAGCUAACCAGGCUUCAAUCUGAUAGGUUUCUCCAACAAUUCUUUGAAUCGGGUCAGUUCUCGUGGGCUAAAUGUUCUCCAUUUAAUCGAUAGACCUCCAUGGGGCACAUCUUGUGUCAUGGUCACGGGCUUUAGACUUUGGCCCGUGACACUAGCACAUUCAGAUAACAUAAUUACGUAACAAAUAUAUUUAUAAAAAUUUACAUAAAAAAUAAGUGAAGUUCAUACAGGCAUAGGAGUCCCAUCACCUAUUAAGAGAGGGAAUGUACUUGAGUAUGGUGUAGACUUAUUCAAAGCAAAGGCAUCUCGACAAACAUGGUGCAUUGCCCCUGAAUCCAGAUACCAAGACGAAGUUCCUAUAGGUAUAGGAAUAUACGAAUCAUCAUUAUCAAAAUUGGACCCAAAAUAAGUGACAUUAAUAUUAGACCCAGUAGAGUUAGAGACAUUAGACGCAUGUAAAUCAGGUAUUCGAGGUAAUCCAAUGCAUGGAUCUGACCCAAUAUAAACACAAGCUCUUAGUUUUGUCCGCCAGGGAAUACACAACCCAUUUUAUGACCCAAAUGUAGUACAAACACCACCAUCUGAAGGCUCAAGCCCUCGUCCAUGACCAAGAGGGCUUGCAAACUCCACACAAUUAAAUGUCGGCCCAUUUGGAGAAACAUUAGCAGUCGACCCAACUGGAGAAAAAUCACCCCCAAAGUCCUAGCAUGGGCCAGAUGGCCUAGCACGCACAGACGGCCCAAGAUUUUGGCCAAUGGCCUAGUGAACCCAGUUACAAGCCCAAAAUACGGACCUAACCCAGUAAACUGCCUUAUGACCAGGCUCAAACCGCUGCUCAUGACCAAGCCCAAAUGGUUGGCUUAACCCAGCAUAAUGCCUAAGCGGUAGGCCUGCUCCAUCAUCAAACGCAAAAAAAGGGGUUAAAAACCCUAGUGUAUGACAUAUACAGGGGAGGCACAGCAGACAAAUGACCACCCUACCAUUUACCAGAAAGAAAUCGUGACUGCACCGUCUACGAAAGGCCACCAAACUGACUAGAGACGGGCGAUAGAAACGAGAAACCAGCAUCCAAACCCUGCCUAGUACGAUCGGUCGAAUUUGAAGCCCAGGCCACUAAUGCCAGGCCACUGUAGUCGCGAUUAUGACAAUAUUAAAAACGUUGAGCUAAAUGCCCAAACUGACCACAGAUCUAACAUUGGAGUUAGGAUCGAAACCUCUUUCCACAACCACCAGUAAGGGACGGCCACCACGCACAGAGUCCACCACCGGUGGUGACGGAAUAGUCUCCAAAAGGUUAGCAUGAAACGGCACCUCCUGAACCACGCGAAUUUAGCAACUUCCAUACUCCAACAACUCAUCCAUGAGGUGUUGUAACGGUAAGGCUUCCGACAAGAAUGACGCUAAGGUGAGCAUGGCGUUGAACUCCGGUGGUAGGCCCACAAGUACGAUCUCCAAUUUCUCUGCCUCCGAGAUCCAAGAUCGACAAGCCUCGAUUAAAGCACAGGUAUUCUGAAUCUUUACUACACACUCCUUUAUCGACAGAUUACCUUUCUUAAGCGAAUGUAAAUCAUGGCGAAUGCAAGAUAACUUGACACCUGUGGCGGUAGUGAAAAGGCAAGUGGCAGUGUUCCAAACAUCGCACGCCAUCCUAGCAUAUGUAAAAGAAGACAACAGUGAAGGACUAAUAGUAGAAAAUAACGAGAAAGAGGCAAGUAACCUAUCCUGCUGAACUAAUGCUGAGGCAUCUGGAUUUGGAACUAGAGAUCCCUCCGAAGACGGCACAAAAUGCGGCAGAACAGGUAACGUUCCCUCCAAAAAAAACCAUUGAAUUCAUAACCUUCAAUAAUCAAGUGAAUAUGUUGCUGCCUCUGUCAAUCAUUGUUGUCCGACGUUUACCAUGUUAAUAUCUACAAAAACUUGAAAGAAAAAUAGAAUAUGCAGAGAAUGAUUUUUGUAUUAUUAUCUUGAAUUUAACCAGUACAACUAUAGUAUUUAUAAAAUGUGUAUGAGUAACUGCUGCUAACAAUUUCACUUAACAACAUAACUGCUUGUAUAACAAACUAAAAACUAAUAGACUAAUAGAGUCUUUAUCUAUACUCUAACACUUUAAACAGAGCAAGUUAGAUUCAUCCUGGUUGGUUUUAAUUAAGUAAAGCACUUCAUUUUCUAUCAUAGGCAAUUAAUUUAAAAGUUGAAAAUUUAGUUUUAACACCUAUGAAAAACAAAAAUAUGGCAAUAUGAAAAAUGAAAUAAAAAAUCGAGUAAUAUGAAAGAAUGAGAUGAAAACCCCUUUAUGCAUUUAGAUGACAUGAUUGAGAAGUUGUAACUACUGAAAACCAGAGCCAAAAAUGAAAGGAAAUAAAAACUAUUGAAAUCGUUUAGGGCAUCCAUCCCCUUCUUCACCAUCAUGGCUAAAGCGUCUUUUGGUUUCGGCAGGUCUCAUUUCUGUAGCAUCAGCAUCACUCUCUGCAUCUACGUAAAAUACAUGAACACCACAUCUCUCCACCUUGAUAAAUUUUUCUGCUGCUUCUUCAUAAUGAUGGAAAUUUUUGAUGCAGAAAUCAAAUGAUGCCUCCUCAUAAUUCUUGUCUCUUUUAACCAUUUUGAUGCUAGAUAGAAUAAACACGUGAUCACCCAUGCAUUUCUCUGACUCAGAAGCAUCCAAGAAAGAUAUGGUACUUUUGAACUUUUUAUAACCACCAUCAGCGGCUGUAAGUUAGUAGCCACAAAUACAUUUAAGACUUCUCAAGCGAGGGCAGUGAGCGAGAUCAGCCACAAGGCAGAUAACAAAAACCAAAAAUCUGCUCCCACCACCCCCAUUUGGGGCUAUCUUCAAACUUAAGGAAGAAUUCAUACUCUGAUACUUGAACUUAUUUGUUGAAAUUUUGUUUCUUGGGAAACAACAAAUCAAACUUGGAAGGAUAUCACCCAGGUAUUUCCUACCAUAUGUCGCUGCCCGUUCCUUAGCUAGGGAUCCAAUUUUGAGCAUGGCAUUUGCCUCAAUGUUAUUAGUUGAUUCUUGAUUCAAGUUGAAGCAAUUACAGAAUAACAUGCAAAACACACCAUCACCUUCAUCACCUAACGAACCAAACUGAUAUAAAUUUUGAUCUGCAAAGGGAACUUUUUCUAAUUACGUGCAGUCAUGUACAUUCAAGUCGAGCAGAUAUGGUGGAAGCUCUGAGAGUAAUUUGAGGCUCUUGCAACGAUCCAUAUGCAUAUACUUAAGGCUUUUGAACCUUAAGCUUGGUGAGCGCACAUCAACAAUUGGAAAUUUAACGAUUAUACAACCACUAAGAUGUAGAGAAGAAAGGGAUUUCAACUUUGAAAUAUUGCUUGAUACAUCUUUUACCAUUGAGUUUGUCAAGGUCAACCGUUGAAGUUUGUCGAGAUGCUCAAUGAAAUCAGGUACUUCUUUUAUUCCGGUUUAUGAUAAAUCUAACUCAUAAAAUUUAUUUGGGAUCUCCGGAAACUUCUUGAGACUACGACAUCCCUUAAGGUGAAGGGUUUUAAGUGAUGUCAAAUGGUUGAGGCAAGGAAGUUCAACCAAACUUUUGCAUUUUUCACAGUCAAGUCUUUCAAGGUUGAGGGCUCCUAUUAAAUUAGGGAUCUUCUUUAAAUUUUUGCAACUAAAAAGUUUAAUUUUCCAUAAAUGAACAAGAUCCUGCACAUGAUGAGAAUAUAAAGUAGUUAGAGCAUCAUUUACUUAGACUCUAUCAAAAUAAAAAUUUAUAUUUGAUGUAUUGGGUGUAUUAAUUCACCCACCAUCAAUAUCAAAUUGCUUAUUAUAAAAAAAUAGAAUAAAAUCUUUUAUAUAUAUUUUAAAAAAUUAAUAAAAAUAUGCUAUCAUAAGAUUAAAUGUUAUAUCAAUUAUAAAUUAUUUUUCUUAAAAAAUUAUUGGAUGAAGAAAGUAUAAAAGUAUAUAUACUUGAUGACCUUCGUUCCAAAGUUGUUCCAUAUUUUCAUGUGCUAAUCUCGAUACAACAAGGUUUUUUGGUUUAAAAUUUGGUGAUAAGAUUUGAAGGGGUAAUAAUCCCAUUGAAGAUACCUUAGCUCAUCCAGAAGAGAUAUAAUAUCAACUUCGAAUGUAAGUAGCUUCUUAUAAUACUUAUGCUCUUUUCACAACAAAUUCUAAGGAGAAUAGAAGAAAAUAUAUCUAAGAUUAAUCAUGUUUUCAAAAACAAAAGGUUAGAAUAAUAGGUUAUCCAUAUGUGACAUGUCUAACUUUAUUCCUUGAAUUCGAUCAGUUCUCUGAUAACAAAAAUUAAUUUAUCAAAUAUUAUCCCGAAAAAAUUUAUAGACAUUCCAUUAAAUAACUCAUAAAAAAAUAAUUAUAUUAGGAUAGGCAUAGACUAAUUGAGCACUUUUAGGAAUUUUUACAUACAAAAAUUGUUUUCUUUUCUUUUGUUUUUAUUUUUUCAAAUCAAUGCAUUAAGGAUUUAACUAAGUCAUAAACCUUGAGCGGAUUCUACAUUAUAACUAAGACAUAGUCAUUAUGUGUCAUUAUGCAUCAAUUCCGUCAGACCGGGCCCUUGGUGCUUAAGAAAACUUGAUGCAUCAUUUGACGAGAAGAAGAUGAAGAAGACGCCAUGAAAGUAUAUGGAUUGUGAGAUUGAGGAAAAAGACCACAAAUAAACCGUGGGAGCUUUGCUUUUGUUUCUACUUUUUGAAUGGUAAGAAGAAAAAGUGACUUUAUUAAAUGGGGAUGAGAUUGAAAGUGUUUCUGUUAGGCUGAAGCAUAGCUAAUUUGUCCUAAUCCAAGGCUCGAAUAAGAAAAAGAGUCUUACAUUUCUUCCUAAACCUAUUUUUCGACCCUCAUAUUUUUUUACCUAAAUUCUCUUAUAUUUUAGAUUAACCUUCAAAUUUAAAUGAAUAGUUCGGCCACUUGAAUAAAUCUACUCUCGAUUUACAUAUUGGCAGUAGUACUUUUUAGUCUAAACCCACCCAAAUUAUAAAAGAACCUUUGGUCUAAAUCAAGCUAGCUUAAAUCAAUAAAAAAAGCCUUCAAUUUUGUCUAAAUUUAUUUUUUUAUUCAAAUUCUCUUAUAUUUUGGAUCUUUGUUAGUAAUACUAGCCGCUACCCUUAGUUGAAUAUCCAAUUUAAAGGGACUGUUUUUCUUGCCUAGUCAGUGAAAUAAUUGUUCCAUUGAUUAGUGUACUAUUUGGUCCCCGACGCCCCACAAUUAAGUUCACGUGAUAUUGAUUUUCAUGUGUUUUUUUCCUUACCUUCAUUCAUUGAUUGCAAAAAAGCAAAUCAAUACUAUGCUACAAAACUGUCAGUCAUCCUCUUGGUUGAAUUUUCAUGGAAAACCUGCAGAUUACAGUCUUAUGGCUGUAACUUCAUAAUGCACCAAAGCAUGAAAAUUCACCACUUGAUAUGCGACGCACAAUUUUUAUGUUUUGUGGGUGAUAAAUAAGAUACUUUAAACUCCUAUCAUCCAGUUUGGUUUUUAUAUAAGCACUUCAUUUUCUAUCAUAUGAGAUUAAUUUAUUUAAAAAUUGUGGAUGCAAGCUUACAACAUCUAUCACUAGCUAAUUUGUAAUGCUAAUGGACCUGAAUUUGUGUAAUUACUGCAAUUUAAAAUAAUCAGAGUUGUAUAAUUUGUGUUUUUUUCUUAUAGUAGAUCAUAGUUUAGGAUUACAGAAAAUUAUUUUAAUUACUAAGCUUCGAAUCUUGAACUUGAUGGAUAUCAUCACAUCAGAACCAAUGUACAAACCAAUUCUAAAACAGAGUAGAACUCUGGAAUUUUAAUUGCAAAAAGGGAAAAUUGAUUCAAGUUUUAGCCCAAACUGAUGUAACAAUCAAGUCAAAUAGCUGUACCAUGAAACCAACUUUUCAUUUUAAAGUUCCAACUAAAGCAAAAUCAUUUGGAUUCUUUUUUUCCAGGUGUUUAUGUUGGGUUCCUCUGUGGGGUAAACAUCAAUCUAGCUUAAGAAUGAAAACUGUGAUAGGGUUGGCAUUGAAAAUAACACCCAGGCUCCAUGUGUUCAUUCAGCGAGUUUUGAGAUGAGAGCAACUCUGCCAAAUUCUGAAUGCAUUUAUAUGGUCCAUUGAUAAAUCAGGGGAAAAGAAUGCCAUGAGGAUGCUAAUAAUCAGAAUGAGUCAAUAGUAAUUUGCCCAAGAGCAUAUGCUUCCUCUCAAUGGGAUAAACAAGGCAACUCUGUUGACAAGUUGCAGUACUGCUUCAAUAUCUAAGUCCAACCACAAUAUAAAUAAAUCAUUCAGUAGAAGAAAUUAAAGAGCUUAAAAGCUUACUUGUUACAAACAUCUGUUAUUUAUUCCCUCAUAUGCUUUCCUUACAUCAAUCAUUGCCAUCUUUAUUCCCUUCACAAUAAUCUCUAGGUAAAAGGGCACAUCUAUAAAUGUGGAUUUUGUGGGAACUACAUUUUUUGGUGAGAAAGAACAUAUAAAAAAACCACCCAUAAUCUGCAACUUCAAUUCCAAUAGAGUAUUGAAUCUGUGUCUGGCUUGACUAUCAUGCAAGUUUUAUGAAAUCUACAGAUCACAGUCAUAAAAAAUAGAACAUAACAAAUAGAAAAUACCUACUCCUAGAUCAAUAUAAAAGCAUAGGUUAUAAGAUUAACCAAUCUCGAAAAUAUGUUGACUAUAUUUAGGUAAUAGUUGGUAGGUUUACCUUGUUGAGAGCUGGACUGCAAUACAACAUGAAGCCAGCAGUAAGCUACUGUCGAGACCAGCAGCACCUACAGAGCUCAGCUCAUUUUGCUUGGUGUGCAAGAAUGAUUUUUGGACCGAAUGAAGCAACCAACAUUGUUGUUUUGUUUUGAUGUAAUUUGGUCUGGUUCAAUCUUAGUUUGCUUGUAAUGUUAGUAGAAGUUAAGUUAGUGAUAAGAUCUUUUGAUGUAAUGGCUGAUUGGUCAGCUAUAUUUGAUUAAUUUUUAGCUAGUGACUAGGUCUGUAUUAGUUGGGGCAGUUAAAUACAUUAGGUAACUGUCAAUGUAUAUUGUAACUUCUUUUAUAUUUCAAAUUUGAAUGAAAAAUUAGUAAUGUUCAGUUAUAAUUUUUUCUGAGUGUUCAAACUUUGUUCACUGCUUUUGUUUUGCUUUUCUUUUUGCUUCGAUUCCUCUUGCUUCUGUUUGCAAAUCUGUUUGGUGUUUGUUGCCAUUGUUCCAACAAAUGGUAUCAGAGCCCAAAUCUUUGAGGGGCCUUUGUAUGCAAUCUGUUGUGUUCAAACUUAAACCAACAUCAAAAUUUAAAAUUUGGAAAGAUCGAAGCAUUUAAAAUCAGUCUAGCAGGAUGAGUUUUACUCCACCACCUCCACCAGUGUUCACUGGAGAAAACUAUCACAUUUGGAUAGUUAAAAUGAAGACUUACCUCCAGGCACACGAUCUUUGGAGUGUGAUCGAGAAUGAUGCUGAACCACCUCCAUUGAGUGCCAAUCCCACCAUUGCACAGAUGAGACAACAUGCUGAUGAGCGAGCCAAGAAGCAUAAGGCUAUGGCUUGUCUACAAAAUGGAGUCUCUAAUGUGAUAUUCACUCGCAUCAUGGCCUGUGACUCACCAAAACAGGCCUGGGAGAAGCUGAAGGAGGAGUUCAUGGGGACUGACAAGACAAGGCAACAGCAGGUGAUCAACCUCAGGAGAGAUUUUGAGAAUGAGGAUGAAGGAGUCUGGGACCAUCAAGCAGUACUCAGACAGGAUAAUGGCCAUUGUCAACAGCAUUAGGCUCCUGGGAGUGGACUUCACAGAGAGCAGAGUUGUUGAAAAGGUCAUCACAACUCUCCCUGAAAAAUUCGAGUAAAAAAUCUCUUCACUUGAGGACUCGAGGGACUUAUCAGCCAUAUCAUUGUCUGAGCUGAUAAACUCCUUGUAUGCACUUGAGCAAAGGAGGGCAAAUAGGUAGGAGGAGAAUCCUGAGGCUGCUUUCCAGGCUAAAGCCAGUGAAGGCUCGAGUGUGAAUGCAAAAGGCAAAAAGUCUUGGCACAAUAGGAAGGCCAAGUCAGGAAGAGAUGAAGCAAAAAGGGUGUUUCCACCAUGUGUUCAUUGUAAGAAGGCAACACAUUCAGAAAAGUAUUGUUGGUUUAGGCCAGAUAUUCAGUGCAGAAAGUGCAAACAGUUUGGCCAUGUGGAGAAGGUGUGCAAGGGCAAACCAAAGGAGGCUGCUCUGCAACAAGCUAGACCUGCUGAAGAUAUGCAAGCUCAAGAGGAGCAUGUAUUCACUGCAACCUAUUUUGUUGGCACAACAAAGGCCAGCAAUGAUUGGCUACUAGACAGUGGCUGCUCACACCAUAUGGCAGCAGAUGAGAAGCUGUUUAAGAGCCUAGACAAAAGUUUCCACUCGAGGAUCAGAAUUGGAGAUGGCAAGCUGAUUGAGGCUAAGGGCAAGGGCAAUGUACUGGUUAGCACUGGUUCAGGUAACAAGCUGAUCUCUGAUGUGCUCUUUGUACCAGACUUAGAUCAGAACCUACUUAGUGUAGGCCAAUUGGUUGAAAAAGGCUAUACUUUGGUCUUUAAAAAUAGUUGUUGUAUUGUUCAAGAUAUGAAUGGUCUGGAGCUAGUCACAGUCUCUAUGACUGAUAGGUGCUUUAUGCUAGAUGUUAGCCAAGUAGAAAGAAAGGCAUGCACUAGUCUUGUUGAUAGUACAAACUUGAGGCAUAGGAGAUUAGGCCAUGCCAAUUUCAGAUCCAUUGAUCUGUUGCAUAAACUGAAUUUGGUUGAUGAUAUUUCAAAAAUUGAGGUUAGUGGAAAUGUUUGUGAAGUUUGUCAGCUUGGUAAGCAAGCGAGACUGCCUUUUCCUACUAACAGUGUUUGGAGAGCUCAACAUAAGCUCGAAUUGGUGCACUCUGAUGUUUGGGGCCCUAUGAGAACAUCUUCAAUCAGUGGCAACAGGUAUUUUGUCCUAUUUAUAGAUGAUUUAACAAGAUUAUGCUGGGUCUACUUCUUGAAGCAGAAGUCAGAAGUGUUUGAAGCCUUCUACAAAUUCAAGGCUUAUGCUGAAAAUCAGUUAGGCUGCAAAAUUAGAGCCUUGAGGACUGAUAAUGGCUCUGAAUAUGUGUCUGAGAGAUUUCAGAAGCUUUGUGACACUGCUGGAAUUCAUCAUCAGCUUAUCACAGUUUAUACUCCUCAGUAGAAUGGAGUUUGUGAAAGGAAAAAUAGGACUGUGCUGAACAUGGCUAAGUGUCUCUUGUUUCAAAGCAAGCUUCCAAGUCAGUUUUGGGCUGAGGCAGUCAACACCUCAGUGUACUUGCUCAAUAGGCUGCCAACUCGAGCAGUCAAGGAUAAAACACCUUUUGAGGCUUGGCAUGGAGUCAAACCAAUUGUGACACACUUGAAAGUGUUUGGAUGUGUGUGUUAUGCUCUUAUUCCAGUAGAGAAGAGGACCAAGCUUGAGAGCAGGGCUACAUCAGGAAUUUUUGUAGGCUAUAGCAGCAACAAGAAGGGUUAUAGGGUGUAUGAUCCUACAGCAAAGAAGGUCUCAGUCAGCAGGGAUGUAAAGUUUGAUGAGGAAAAGGUGUGGAAUUGGAAUGGUGCUGAAGCUGACAUGUCUGAAAUGGACCAGUUGGACUUGGUUAUUGAACCUAUGGAAGAGGGACCAGGAGAAGAUGCUGUGGAUGACACACCAGUGUGGGGAACCAGAACUUUAACUGAUGUCUAUCAGAGGUGUAAUGUUGCUGUAAUUGAGCCUUCAGACUUUGAAGAGGCUGUCAAAGACAGAAGAUGGAUGAAAGCUAUGGAAGCUGAGCUGGAAAUGAUCAACAAAAAUCAAACAUGGGAAUUGGUGAGCAUACUAGAACACAAGAAGGUCAUAAGAGUUAAAUGGGUGUACAGGGCUAAGUACAAUGCUGAUGGCUCACUGAACAAGCACAAGGCCAGGCUUGUGGUGAAGGGCUACAGUCAGCAAUAUGGUGUGGACUUCUUGGAGACAUUUGCACCAGUAGCCAGACUGGAUACAAUCAAGCUAUUAUUUGCUUUAGCAGCUCAGAAGCAGUGGAGAGUUCAUCAAUUGGAUGUGAAGUCAGCAUUUCUAAAUGCCUUUCUCAAGGAGGAGAUCUUUAUUGAGCAACCUAAAGGUUUUGAAGUUGCUGGACAUGAGGACAAAGUGUACAAGUUGAGGAAGGCCCUUUAUGGCCUGAAACAAGCACCAAGGGCCUGGUAUGACAGAGUUGAUGCUUACCUGACCAAGCUUGGAUUUGUGAAGAGUCUUAGUGAGCCUACUCUGUAUGUUAAAAGGUCAGAAUUUGAAACCUUGCUGAUUGUCUCCUUGUAUGUGGAUGAUUUGUUAGUGACAGGGAGCAAGGUUGAGCUCAUUGAUGAGUUCAAGGUUCAAAUGCAGCAAGUAUUUGAGAUGACAGACUUGGGAAUCAUGACAUACUUCCUUGGUAUGGAAGUGCACCAAUCUGAUCGAGGCAUCUUCAUCAGCCAACACACAUUUGCCUUGAAGAUCCUUGAUAAAUUUUGUAUGCAUAACUGUAAAGCAGUUAGCACACCAGUGGCUCAAGGAGAAAAGUUGACAAGCAGUGGUGAUCAGCAAAGGGUGGAUGAAAGACACUAUCGAAGCCUAGUAGGUUGCCUGUUAUAUUUGACAGCAACCAGGCCAGACAUCAUGUAUGGUGUUAGUCUGCUAUCGAGGUUCAUGCACUGCUGUAAUGAGACACAUUUGAAGGCUGCAAAAAGGGUUCUUAGAUACAUCAAAGGGACAGCUAACCUUGGGGUAAUGUUUGAAAGUGGAAAAAAACUGAAAUUGGAAGGUUAUUCUGACAGUGACUGGGCAGGAUCCCUUGAUGACAUGAAGAGUACUUCUGGAUACUUCUUCACACUUGGAUCAGGCAUGUUUUGCUGGAGCUCAAAGAAGCAACAAACUGUUGCUCAGUCCACAGUUGAAGCAGAGUACAUUGCUGCAGCAGUCAAUCAGGCCAUUUGGCUUAGAAAAUUGCUUCAUGAUCUCAAUGAAAUACAAGCUGAUGCAACUAAACUUUGGGUGGACAACCAGUCAGCAGUUGUCAUAGCCAAGAACCCUGUGUUUCAUGGUAAAACUAAACAUUUUAAAAUAAAGUUGCAUUCUGUUAGAGAGGCUGAACAAGCAAAGGAAGUCAGCCUUGUGCAUUGUGGCUCGGGGGCACAAUUGGCUGACAUACUGACCAAGCCCUUAGGAGCUAGUCGAUUUGAAUUAUUGAGAAAUGCAAUUGGAUUGUGUUGCAUAUAGUCCAAGGAGGAGUGUUGAGAGCUGGACUGCAAUGCAACAUGAAGCCAGCAGUAAGCUACUGUCGAGACCAGCAGCACCUACAGAGCUCAGCUCAUUUUGCUUGGUGUGCAAGAAUGAUUUUUGGACCGAAUGAAGCAACCAACAUUGUUGUUUUGUUUUGAUGUAAUUUGGUCUGGUUCAAUCUUAGUUUGCUUGUAAUGUUAGUAGAAGUUAAGUUAGUGAUAAGAUCUUUUGAUGUAAUGGCUGAUUGGUCAGCUAUAUUUGAUUAAUUUUUAGCUAGUGACUAGGUUUGUAUUAGUUGGGGAAAUUAAAUACAUUAGGUAACUGUCAAUGUAUAUUGUAACUUUUUUUAUAUUUCAAUAUUGAAUGAAAAAUUAGUAAUGUUCAGUUACAAUUUUUUCUGAGUGUUCAAACUUUGUUCACUGCUUUUGUUUUGCUUUUCUUUUUGCUUCGAUUCCUCUUGCUUCUGUUUGCAAAUCUGUUUGGUGUUUGCUGCCAUUGUUCCAACAUACCUUAGCUAACAUGAAUAUAAAUUAGAAAUCAUGAACUGAAAUAUUAUAUAGAUAUAUAUAUAUUUACCAACUUUCAAAGGAAAUAUGAAACAUAAAUCAAUGGGUGAACAAAUCAUUGAAGUAAAAUGCAGAUAGUAUUGAGAUGCAAUAUGAUUAAAUCUCUACUUGCUGCCUAUGGCAUGAGUACCAAUGGUGGAACCUAACCAAUUAAGCUAAAUGAUGUCCAUCACUGAUCCUAUGAAUCAAAACCAGCCAAUAACAAGUCACCUGUCAAAAAGAAUUCAAGUAUGAAUCUUAAUCUCUCCUCACUACAAUGCUCAAACAAUAUCAGAGCAGUAACAUAAAAACACACCAUUACCUUCAUCACCUAACGAAUCAAACUGAUAUAAAUAUUGAUCUGCAAAGGAAACUUUUUCUAAUGAUGUGCAGUCCUCUACAUUCAAUUCGAGCAGAUAUGGUGGAAGCUCUAAGAGUAAUUUGAGGCUCUUGCAACGAUCCAUAUGCAUAUACCUAAGGCUUUUAAACCUCAAGCUUGGUGAGCGCACGUCAACAGUUGGAAAUUUAACGAUUGGACAACCACUAAGAUCUAGAACUUCAAGGGAUUUCAACUUUGAAAUAUUGCUUGAUACAUCUUUUACCAUUGAGUCUGCCAAGGUCAACCGUAGAAGUCUGUCGAGAUGCUCAAGGAAAUCAGGUACUUCUUUUAUUCCGGUUUGUAAUAAAUCUAACUCAUAAAAGUUAUUUGGGAUCUCCGGAAACUUCUUGAGACUGCGACAUCCCUUAAGGUGAAGGGUUUUAAGUGAUGUCAAAUGGUCGAGGCGAGGAAGUUCGACCAAACUUUCGCAUUUUUCACAGUCUAGUCUUUCAAGGUUGACGGCUCCUAAUAAAUUAGGGAUCUUCUUUAAAUUUUUGCAUCUGAAAAGUUUAAUUUUUCGUAAAUGAACAAGAUCCUGCAGAUAAUGAGAACAUAAAGUAGUUAGAGCAUCAUUUACUUAGACUAUCAAAACUGGUGUUACUUGCACGCCACAUUAUCUUUUUGAAGAAAGCAAUGAGUUUCAAACUCUGAAGAGAGUUUUUUAUAUACAGCCUCAGCAAGGGUUGUUUUGCCUUGUCCACCCAUUCCCCAAAGUCCUAUUACACGACAGUCUUUUUGCUUAAUCAGCUUCAAAAUCGUCCUUUUCUGAUAUUCUAUUCCAACCAAUUCUUCAGAAACACUUUCAAACCCAAUAUUCGUCAACUUUUUUAUAACGUAUUCAACAACAUCUUUAAUGUACUUGGUUUCAGGUCUAGAAAACAAUAAAAAAUGUAAAUAAGUAAAUAUGAAAUCUAAAACAAAGAUAAGUUGAAAAUAACAAGAUGAGAAAAAUAUAAUUACUUGUCAAAUUUGCCUCCUUCUAUAUGCCACCCUUUUAAUUUACCAACCUCUGCAAAAGCAGUUUUCCAUUGUUGUACUCUAUCAGCUGGUUGCUCUGAUUCAUGCUCUUCGAAGGAUGUCUUAAAAUGCCCACCACUAUUUCGCACAUCGGAAGGAUCAACAUGGUAAAAGACGGGAAGAACAAUAUGUUUGUCAGUGGGAUUGUGCUUGCGAUCCAUGAUGUCAGAAAGUUCACCUAAGCAUGAUUUUGAAUAAGCAUAGGCUUUAGAUACAACGAGGAUUGAGAGAUUUGAGGCCGAAAUUGUUCGAGAAUACGUUGGUGGAAGCUUCUCUCCUUUUUUCAGUGUUUCGUUAUCGGGGAAGACAUUAAUUCCUACUUUUUCCAAAGCAUUGACUAGGUGAUUGGAGAAGUUGAGGCGUGUGUCUUCACCUAAGCUUAAGAAAACUUGAUGCUUCAUCAACUUUUGCAUAACAUACGCAACAAUAUCCUUGAUGUACUGGGUUUCAGGUCUAGCAAAUAAUAAAAGAAGUAUAUAUAUGAAAUCCAAAACGAAGAUAAUUCAAAUAUAAGGAGAUGAGACAAAUAUAGUUACCCAUCCGACCUGCUUCCAUCUAUAUGCCACCCUUGUAAUUUACCAACUUCAGCAAAAGCAGUUUCCCAUUGUUUCACUUCAUCAACUGACCUCUUUGUUUUAUGCUCAUCAAAGGAUUUCUUAAAACUCCCAUCAAUUUUCACCACAUCAGAGGGGUUAACAUGGUAAAAGAUGGGACGAACAAUAUGUUGUCCGAUGCUUUAGCGGUCCAUGAUGUCAGAGAGUUCAACCAAGCAUGAUUUCGAAGUGGCAUAGUCUGCAGACAAAACGAUGAUUGAGAUAUUUGAGACUGCAAUUGCUCGAGAAAGUGCUUGUGAAAGCUGGUCCCCGCUUUCCAGUUUUUCUUCAUCGAAGAAAACAUCAAGUCCCUCGUCUUUCAAAGCUUAAAGUAAGUGAGUGGUGAAAUUAAGACGCGUGUCUUCACCUCUGAAGCUCAAAAAAACAUGAUACUUCAUUAGAGUAGAAGAUGAAGAAGAAGAAGCCAUGAAAGAGUAUUGAUAGUGUGCUUGAAGCAAAAGAGAGAACAAAUAUAGCAAGUGAGUUUUGCUUGGGUUGUGGUAUUAUUGUAAGAAGAAAAAGUGUAAAUGGGAAAGAGAUUGAAGGCCUAGGCAAAAGCACAGGCGACGACUUGAGCUUAGCCAACUAUCCUUUCGUCAACACAGGUGUUACUUGAACGCCACAUUAUAAACUGCACCGCCCAUGAAAUUAGCCAAUUCGGAAAGGGUCAAAUCUUGUUUCAGGUCCCUCUACUAUUCUCAAAUUUGAGAUUUAGUCCUUCUUUAAAAUGAUCUCUUUCUUUUUAUGUUGUCAUUAAUUAAUUCAAAUAGGUAAGGUUGUUAACUAUUCAGGUUAAAAUUUUAGAGUGGAUAAAAAAAAAUCUUUUAUCAUAAAAGAUUCUUGUAAUUUUAAGAAAAAAAAUCAUGUUAUAGUAUUAUUUAUUUAUAUUAAUUAGUUACACAAAAAAAUUAUUUAAAAAUCUUUAAUCAAAAAAGAAAUUCUAGAGAAAGGUUGAGAUAACAAGAGAAACAUGUGGAUUAUCAUACAUGUUUAUCAUUUUUCACUAUUUUUUUAGAAAAACAUUUAUAGUAUAAUUUUCAUUUUGAGUUAUCAAACAUGUUUAAAAUUUUAAAUUACUAAAAAUAUAAUUUCUCAAUUAAAAUUUUUAAUAUUAGUAAAGUUAAGCUAAACAUUUUACGUGAAGAUUUGAUUGGAGAAGUGUUAAAAUCAACUUAAUUGAACGUGACUAAUUUGAUCAAUGUGUUAAAAUGAUUUUUAUCGAUAAAUAAUAUAUUUUAGCAAUUAUGAGAGAAGUUUAAUUCUUAAUUGAUAAUUUGAAAACUUUUCAUUACCUUUCAUGAAUUUUCUAUCUAAGUUGUCAUGACUUAAAUUUUGGGGAGUAUUUUUUUUCAAGCCAAAGACUUUUUCUUUUGGAUCUUGAGAAGGCUCGUGUUAUAUAAAAAAUGUGUAACGAUCCGAUAGUCAGGGUGUCGAAAAGUGUAUUCUCGAGACUUUUAUCCCGUAAAUCGAACUCAUAAAUAUUUACGAAACUAGUUGUGUAGUUAAUUAGGUUUCAGUUAAGUGAAUUCGCUCGAAUUAAAAGUAAUUAGGUAUAAGGACUAAAUUGCAUAUAGGGUUAAAGUUGAAGUAUAGAGCAAAGAAUAAUUAAAGGAACUAAAGAAUUGCUUCUUUAGUAGGACGGCAUUAAUUAAAGUUAUCUCAAGUAUUAAGAAAAUAUAUAUUAUAUAAUAAUAAAUCCACAUUAAGUAAAAGAAAAAGAAAGACAAAGUCAAGAAAUUAAAAAGAAAGAAAGGAGAAAAGAAGAGACGCAAGCAAGGCUAUGGCCCCAAAAUUUUCCAAGUUUAAUUGGUUAGUAUAUUUAACUCUAUUUCUUGUAAUCUUCAUGUUUUUGGAAUCCUAGUGCUAUGUAUUACUCGAUUCAUGUUGAAAUUUUAGCAUUAAUUGAGUUUUUAAAGGUUGCUAAUGUUGAAUAAUUUUAGUAUUAAUAAUUAAAUUGAUAGAUUUUAAGCUAGAAGUGAAAAAGGAUUAAAUUGUAAAAUAGAUUGUAAAAUUUGAGUAAUAGGGACUAAAUUGUGAAAUUUUCAAAGAUUAGGGAUUUAAGUGAAAAUAGGAAGUUAAAUUUAGUUUAAAGUAGAAUUUGUAUGAAAAUAUAUAAUUAAAUGUGAAGAAUAAAAAUUAGUUUUGGUUUAGGGGCUAAAUUAAAAUUUAGGCAAAUAUUGAGUAAAAAUUAAAAUAUUCAAUAUGAAAUUGAAUUAUGUUGUAUUGAUGAAUUUUCAUUGUUUUAAUUCUGUAGCUAACGUCGUACCGGAAUCCUCGAUUAAAAAAGGAAAAGAUAAGGUCGACGUCGAAUAGUUCGGAAUUCUUGGUUUGUAUUUCUAUAAUCUGAAUUAAGUUGUAAAAUUAUUGCAUUUUGAUUUAUUGUAUAUGGUAAGUAUUGAAGGUGAAAACUAUUGUGUUUUACAAUUGAAAUGGAUUGAUUCAGUAAGUCAUAAAUUUAUUAAAUUUAUAUGAAUUGAAUUAAAUUCAUAUGUAUAUAUGUGAUAAUGUGAUUAUAUGAAAAUUUGAUAUUGGAUAUUGGUUAUAUUUGAAAAGUGAAUUGGAACUCUAUUAACUGUAUUGGGCUAAGUUGGAUAUAAAUGACAUGCCAUAGGAUAGGAAGAGUUCAGGAAUUUAUUUGACUUUGAUUCGAUAAGGCACUGGGUGCCAAUUUACUUCGGUUUAACCGAUGAGACACUGGGUGUCAAUGUAUAUAGCACUGGGCGCAUAUUACUUCGGAUUUAUCCGAUGAGACACUGGGUGCCAAACUGGUGUGUUGGUUAAAUCCGUGUAUCCGUCCGAAUCCAAGUCGCGUUAAUAGGGUAAUUAAAUAAAACGAUACUAUGAUUGAUAUUGGAUGAUAUUGCAUGUGAAUUGAAAAUGAGAUAGUGAAUUGAAACAUGAAAAUGAGAUACAUGAAUUAUGUAUUCAUGAAUUGGAUAUGGAAUAGAUCAUGUUAUGUGGAUCAAAUUGUGAAAAGCUAUUAUAUAGCAAGUGAUGAGAAUUGAGUAUGGUAUGAAAUGGUGCAUUUAUGAAUUGAGUAUUAAAUGGCUAAUGUCAUUGUAUGAAUAAAUGUGGUUUUAAUUACUCAAUUGUCCUUAUAAUUAAUAUGUCUAUAUUAUAUUAUUAUAUUUUUAAAUAUUCAGAUUAUAAAAUAUCACUGAGUUUUACUCGAUGUACGAUUUUGUUUUCCGUGCGCAGAUUAGGUACUUAACUUUUGAUCGCCAAUUCAGAAUCCAACAACGAUCCUAACCUCAAAUGUAGUGAUAUUUACCUUUUGUGUUGGCAUGUACCUAGGGUGUCUAAAUAACAGUUAUUUUGUGGAUUGAUUGUAAAUAAGGUUAUAAGCUUAAUAUUAGUUCGAUAUAUAUAAACGUGUUUGUUUUUGAAGCCAUAUUAUAUCAUGGUAUAUUGAAUUAAACCUAGAUAUGUGUAUGUGAGUUUAAGUUGAUGUAUAAGUGCUCAUGAACUAGGCAAAACGAAUUGAAUUUGGUAUUUUUAUAAUUUGGAUUUGAAUGAUGCUUUGAUGAUAUGUUUUGAUGCUAUAAAUGUGGUACCAAUGAGGAUACAUUGGUUAGGCACCUAGAAUGAUUGUUUUGGCAUGUUUUGAAUGUUUUUGAUCAUGUUUUGAACGUUGAAUGAAUGGUUUUUGAGUUAUUUAAUGUCCUAACUUGUAAGAAAUGGUAAAUUUGUUAUUUAAGGCACAUUUUAGGUCCAUACGGCCAAACACACGGGCGCGUGACUCGGUCGUGUAAGACACAAGGCUAGCACACAGGCGUGUGAGACCAUUUUGAAAGGGAACACGGCCUGGCACACAGGCGUGUGGCCAAAGUCAGGGAAUUACAUAGGCAUAGACAUGGGCUGGGACACGACCAUGUGUCCCUAUUUCAAAUAUUUGAAAACAAGUCUUAAAUUUUAUUUAAAUUUACUUUUAAACUUCAUAUUUUAUACAAUAUCUUCAAAUUUGAAUGAUUAAUUUUUUAUUUUGGUAGAAAAGAACUUAGGACUAGCCUAAGGGAACAACAAGAUUACACCCUUUUUACCAAGGGCAGUCGAGAAACAAAACCGGCAAAAUCCUUGAAAGGCAUCGAUGUCAAACCACCAUGAAACAUGGAGGACAAAAACGAGGUCAGGAGCACCCCUCCCACCAUUGCAGCGACUAACCUCAAACAACUUACACUUAAAAUGCCUUCAAAUCAACUUACAAGCUAACUUUAAUUAACUAAAAAGAUAGUUCUCUUUUGUUCUAAAGUUCAAUGUAAUGUCAAACACCCCAGACAAAUUCCAAAGCCUAAGACAACAAAUUGUGACAAUGUGACAGCUAAACAGUUAAAAACAUACCUGGAAAACAACAUGAACUGGUGCGGAGAAGAACAAUCUAGGUAAAAGAUGUAAUAAGUCAAUGAAAGAACUCAUUUCUGGUUCAUGUUACCUUAGUGUCCAACUAUGAGUGUCGAAUCCACAUAUUCAACACUUGCACGAGAUCAUAGUAGCAAAUACGUGUCCAACUUUAAAACACCCAUUUAACAUAAAUUUAUGAAUAUAGCCUGGUCCUUGACCUAUUACCCCCUAACUAUACCCCUCCUUUUCCAUAAAAAAAAAGAUUAAAUUACCUUAAUAAGAUGUUAUAGGCAGCAUUGUAGUAUGUAAUUCAGCUCAAUUCCCUACUAAAUUCCCAACAUUUGCCACCAAUAUGAUUUUAAAACACCAUAGUCAUACAUAAGUCACAAGCAAAACUCAUUCUACCAUAAUCUUAUACGGUGUUGUCAACAGUGCAAGGUGCACCGUAGACGUUAGAACCAUUAUAUUGCCUUGAGUGCAAGGUGCAAAAAGACUAGCCUGAGUGAAGUAAAGCGCAAUAUACAUAUGUCCAUUUUUGGUGUCUACACACACAAACAUAUAUGUUUAUAUAUAGCUUAAGAUAUAUAAUAAACUCUACAUUGUGGUCUUUAUCUACAACAUAUGCAUAUUAUUUAUUGGUCAAUAUACAUGAUUUCUUAUCAUCCAUGUCUGCUGUUGAACACUCAUGAUUGAGAAGUACAGAGUUUGAUACUGUGCCUUCCUUACUAGCAAAGGAAUAUCAAAUGAAAAAAGUGAAAAAUAGAAGAAAGUAAAGGGAACUUCAAUGAGGCAGUUUUUUCUUAAUGCCUAUUGUCUUACAAAAGAGUGCGCCUAGGCACACUGCGCAUGCAUCAGAUUAAACGAGCCUGACCCGAAAGGGUCUCACACACUUCUAUUAUCUAAUGCUCAGGCACGAGGCACCAGAGUUCCUAGGUGCACACCUUAACAAUACUGAUCUUCUAAAUGUGUUGCAUCCAGUUCAACAUAUGCAGAUAAAAGUCUUUUUUUGUAUAGCUAAAGCUCAAAGCAUACUACCCAAAUAUCUGUCAUUCCCUCUUGACUCUGUUUUUACAAACUCUACAGGUCAGUCAUAUAAUUCUAAGAGAUAAAGCACAACAAAAAACAACCACCUAGAUCAAGAUAAAAUCACAGAUUAUAACACAAACCAAUCUCACACAUGAGAAAAUCACAGAUUACAACAAAAAGCAAGCUCACACAUAAGCAGACUUUUAAAUUAACAUAUAGAUAUAGGGAAUAGUUGGAUGGAAUAAAAAUCAGAAAUCAGGUGAUCCGAAUUAAUAAAAUAUUCCCUAACUUUUAAAAGAAAUAUGAAACAGAAAUCAAUGGAUGAAGAUAUCAUUGAAGUAAAAUGUAGAGAGUAUUAGAUACGAGAUUAUUAGGGUUUAAUAUAGUUGUGGUAUACGUUAGUUUCUGUUAUAGCAACUGUUAUAGUUAGUUACAGUAGUAGUUAAGGAACGGUUUAUCCUAGCAUUAAAUAUGUGUAACACACUCAAGUUAAUCAUCAUGAAUACAGCAUUCUAUUUCUUGAAUACUCUGAAUCUUAACAUGGUAUCAAGAGCUAGGUUUCUUUUGUUGUAAACAAAGUUUUUUUUCUCCUUUUUUGAUGGCUACAGAUGCUGUUCUAGACGGAGUGCAAGUACCUGAGACACCUCGACACUCUUCCAACACUAGGGAGGCUGCACAUUCACAGGGAAAUGACGUGGUUUGUGCAUCGACAGUCCAUUAUUUCUCCAAGCAUGACACCAUCAAACUGUCAUCACAUAACUUUCUGUUAUGGAAACAUCAACUUUUGUUGAUUCUUGAAGGAUAUGGGCUUGAAGGGUUUGUUCUCGGUACUAUUUCCUCUCCUCCUGCUGUUGUUGUUGAUUCUGAUGGUCAACAGGUCGAAAAUCCAGCAUUUGUUGUUCAUAGGAAACAAGAUAAGUUUCUCGCUUCCUGGCUAUCUUAGUUCAUCUCACUAAUGCUAAAACUAGUUGUGCUAUAUGGAACACCAUUGAAAAACGGUUUAGUGCAAAGUCCUCUCUAAAGAUCUCGAGCAUGCGUCAUGCGUUAUAUUCCCUAAAUAAAACAAAUCUUUCUGUUAAAGAUUACAUGGCUAAGGUGAAACAGCUUAGUGAUGAUUUAACUGCUGCUGGGAGUCCUAUAUCUGAGCAAGAACAGAUAAGUGUCAUCUUAGCUGGUUUGUCGGUUGAUUUUGAGUCUGUUCGGAUAUUUUCCUCUGUUACUCCUCUCUCUCUUGACUUGUUAACUGAAAUGUUACUCGACUGUGAAUCACGUCAAUUGGAGUUGUCUACAGAAGGUUCUUGUCAAGCAAAUUUGGCAACACGACAAUCUAGUAGUGAGGCUGUUUUGAAACAGUCCUCUGAGUCUUCAAACUAUUCUCAAGAGUCUAAACAACCCUAUAGAGGACAGGGUCAAGGUUUCUCUCAGGGACGAUCUCGUAGUAAUGGUCGGGGUUGGUCUCGUAGCAAGCCACAGUGCCAAUUGUGUGGUAAGGUGGGGCAUCUGGUUCAAACCUAUUUUCACAGAUUUGAUGAAAAUUUUUCAGGUGUUGCAGCGUCCGAUACAGUCCAGGUCAACUGUCAUCAACUGCAUGGCUCUAGUUGCUCUUCCUCGGCUCCUGCUUGUCAAACAGUCUUACAUUGCUGUGGUUCCUCUAGUCACUGUCAACCGGCUGUAACUUCACAAUCAGAAUCUGUUUGGUAUCCUGAUUCGGGAGCUACAAACCAUAUUACACCGGAUGUGUCUGGUCUCACUAAUGCCGCUCCAUAUGCAGGUACGAGUCAUGUCACUAUGGGUAAUGGUGCAUUUAUUUCAAUUGCUAAUGUAGGCUCGUCCUCUCUCUUAACUGGUACAAGACUUCUCAAGCUGCAGAAUGUGUUACAUGUUCCUGCUGUAUGUAAGAACUUGAUGUCUGUUGGGCAAUUUGCAAAGGAUAACAGUGUUUAUUUUGAAUUUCACCCAUUCUUGUGCUUUGUGAAGGACAUUCAGACAGGGAUGACGCUACUCGAGGGCCACAUGCAUGAAGGUUUAUACCGUUUCCAAUUCACCACGCCCACUUCUGUUGCUGCUCCGUCUCCUUUGAAAUCUAGUUCGAAACGCAGUUCUACUUUGGUGAACAGUGCGCAGCUGUCUUCUACUUUGUGGCACGAUAGACUUGGCCAUCCUUGUAAUGGUAUUUUAACCCGGGUGUUAAGAUCUUGUAAUAUUCCUUAUAAAAAAUGUUUUGAGUCAUGUUUGUACAGCCUGUCAAGUGGGAAAAGCUCACAAGCUUCCCUUUUCUACUUCAAACACUUUGUAUUCGGUCCCCUUUGCACUUGUGGUAUCCGAUGUAUGGGGGCCUGCACAUUUACCUUCAAAUGGAUUUCGUUACUACAUCUCCUUUGUUGACAUGUAUAGUCGGUAUACCUGGCUCUACUUUCUCAAAAACAAGUCUGAUGUGACUCAGUGUUUCUUGGAUUUUCAUCAGAUGGUACGAGUACAAUUUGGUUGUUCUAUUAAAAGUCUCCAAACGGAUGGGGGAGGUGAAUAUCGUGCUUUGUCUCCGCUCUUAUCUCGGCUUGGGGUUCAGUACAGGAUUACAUGUCCGUAUACCUCGAAGCAAAAUGAUGUUACCGAGAGGAAACAUCGUCAGAUAGUUGACAUGGGGUUUUCGUUGUUGGCACGGGCCAGCAUUCCUCUCCAGUUUUGGUUCCAUGCUUUUGUGCAUGCUGUUUAUCUGACUAACAGGCUUCCUACUCCGAUUUUGGGUCAUUUUAGUCCGUAUGAAGUGCUUUAUAAAGUCAAACCAGAUUAUAGCUCACUCAAGGUGUUUGGAUGCUCUUGCUUUCCCGAUCUUCGACCUUUUUAACGACAUAAAUUGAGCUUUCGUUCACAACAAUGUGUUUUUCUUGGGAUGGUACCUCACACUAAAGGCUACCGGUGUCUUGCUGCUGAUGGUCGAAUAUUUUUGUCGAGGCAUGUAAAAUUUGAUGAAACUAAGUUCCCUUAUCAUGAUGAUUUCAGCAAGGAGUUCCCAGAAAUAAGGGAAAAUCGGUGUACGUAUGUUCUUCCGUUAGUCACACCCAAUACUGGUGUCAUCAGCCAAGCACAACCUCUCUUGCGCUCUAGCCUGGGAACUGUUUCAGAUCAGUCACAUCUUAAUCAGCAUUCAGCUAGUACUUCAGCUGACUCAACUACAGGAGUUUCUUCUGAUCAGCUGAUUUCACAGCAACCAUCUCUCGGUAUGUUUGUUGAUCCCAUUACAAUAGUUGAGGAGUCUACUGUUGGUGAUCAGGCUGAACAGACUGUAGCAACUUCAUCUACUGCAAUACCUUCCAACUGUCACCCGAUGCAAACUCGCUCCAAGAGUGGUAUAUUUCGACCGAAAGUUUUUUCUUCUGUCCUAGAUGAGACCGAGCCUUCUACCAUUACAGAAGCUUUUCAGAGUCCUGCCUGGACUGCAGCAGCCAAUGAUGAGUACAGUGCGCUGCUUGCCAACCACACAUGGGAUCUUGUCUCCUUACCAGCAGGUCGUCGUGCUGUUGGUUACAAAUGGAUUUUCCGGAUUAAGAGACAUGCGGAUGGAACCAUCGCUCGGUACAAGGGCAGAUUAGUUGUUAAAGGGUAUUUGCAAGAAGCUGGGGUGGAUUUUCAGGAAACAUUCAGUCCUGUUGUCAAACCGACCUCCAUUCGAGUUGUUAUAGCAUUGGCCGUGUCUCUCAAUUGGCCUCUUCGGCAAGUAGAUAUAAACAACGCAUUCUUAAAUGGGGAUUUAAGUGAGGACAUCUACAUGGUUCAACCACCGGGUUUUGAACAAAGUGGCUCAAAUGGUGAACUUCUGGUCUGUAAGUUAAAAAAGGCUCUAUACGGUCUCAAGCAAGCUCCUAGAGCUUGGUUUCAGAAGCUAAGGGAAUUUUUAGUUUCCAUGAACUUUGAAGUAUCCAAAGCUGAUGGCUCUCUCUUAAUCCUUCGAUCAGGAGAACGGUUGAUGUAUGUGCUAGUUUAUGUUGAUGACAUCAUUGUCACUGGCAAUGAUGCUCAGGCUAUAGAUCAGUUUGUCAGUCAAUUGAAUGCUCGAUUCUCUUUAAAGGACCUAGGAAAACUUAACUAUUUCCUAGGCAUAGAGGUUCAAUACUGUUGAAGUUGGUCAGCAUGAAGCCAACACUCGAUUCCAUACAGGCCAUGAAGACCAAGCAAAGCUGGAACAGAUGCAAGGGCUGCUGAUGCAAGCUCAUUUUGUUCAUUUUGUUAUAUUUAGUUGAUGAAAUGAGUGUUAGUUCAUUUCUAACUAAGUUAGCUUUCUGAUUGAUGUAAUUAGCUUAUGUAUGAGCUGUAAACACAGUUUUGUAUAAGUUUACAAGCUAAGAUUUCAAGUUUCUAUGUAAUUAGUGGAGGUAGGUAAUUACUUGUUGAUUUUGACAAGCCUUAUGCUUGAGUUAUGUACUGGCUUCAAGCCAUUGUUUUAUGUAUGAAUGAAAUCAGUUUUGUUCAUCAAUAUUUUCUCAAAUUUUCCCAGCUUAUUCUCUUCUUUCUUUAACUCGAAAUUGUUUGUUUGCUCAGCAAGUUUUGAGGCUUGCUCGACAAGAUACUUGCUGAGUCUGCUUGAUUCUGUUGUUGCACCAACAAUUGGUAUCUAGAGCCUAUUUCUUAAGGGAUCUGUUACUCAAUUCCAUGGCUUCAUCAAGCUUUUCACCAGCUGCACCUCAAGUCUUCAAUGGAGAAGGCUAUCACAUAUGGGUGGUCAAAAUGAAGACCUACCUGCAGGCUUUCUAUCUGUGGGAGGUGGUCAACUUUGAUGUUGAACCAGAGCCACUUAGAGCUAAUCCAACAGUGGCUCAGAUCAGGCAGCAUGCUGAUGAAAGGACCAAGAGGCACAAAGCUAUGUCUUACAUCCAAAACUCAGUGUCUGAUGUAAUUUUCACAAGGAUUAUGGCCUGUGAAUCACCAAAACAGGCCUGGGACAAGUUGCAGGAAGAGUUUCAAGGGACAGAGAGGACAAGGUAGCAACAGUUGUUAAACUUGAGGAGAGAUUUCGAGAAUUUGAAGAUGAAGGAAGAAGAAACUGUCAAGCAAUAUUCUGACAGGAUUAUGGCUGUGGUUAACAGCAUCAGGCUCCUUGGAGAGCAGUUCAAUGAAGCUAGGAUAGUGGAGAAGGUUAUAGCAACUCUGCCUGAGAGGUAUGAGGCAAAAAUCUCAUCUCUCGAGGACUCAAGGGAUCUGUCCACCAUCUCCCUGACAGAGUUGAUCAAUGCUCUAUAUGCUCAAGAGCAGAGGAGAGCAAGCAGACUGGAGGAGCACCAAGAAGGUGCCUUUCAGGCAAGAACAAAUACUGCCUACAAAGGCAAGAAGGCCUGGAGAGACAAGCCAAAGAAUGAUGCUGCAAGGAGAGAAGGUCAGACUUGCAAGCACUGUAGAAAGGCUGGUCAUUCAGAAGAAAAAUGCUGGUUCAAUCCAGAUGCUGUGUGUCAGCAUUGUAAGAAGAAGGGUCAUGUUGAGAGAGUCUGUAAGAGUAAGACUAAAUCGAGGCAAAAUCAGUUUCAACAGAUGAAAGCUGAGGCUCGAGUAGCUAAGGAGGACAGUGACCAAGAGGAGCAAGUCUUUGCUGUGUCAUGCUCAGCUGCUCAGGAAAGGCUCUCAUCUGGUUGGCUCCUAGACAGUGGAUGCACCAACCACAUGACACCUGAUGCUGCAAUCUUCAAGUCUUUAGACAGAAGCUGCAGAACUAAAGUCAAGAUAGGAAAUGGUCAUUUUAUUCAAGCUGAAGGCAAGGGUGAUGUGCUGAUAUGCACCAUUACAGGUACCAAAGUGAUUUCAAAUGUGCUGUUGGUGCCUGAAAUUGACAGAAACCUCCUCAGCAUAGCUCAGUUGCUGGAAAAAGGUUAUUCAGUUGUGUUUAAAGACCACCAGUGCCAAAUCAGUGAUCCAAGUGGAUCCAAACUGAUGGCAGUCCCUAUGGCUGAUAAGAGCUUUGUGGUUGACUGGACAAAAAAGUCAGACAUUGCCUACACAGCCACUUCAGAUGAAUCCAAGCUGUGGCAUCAAAGACUGGGACAUGCCAACUUCAGAUCGAUGGCUCGAAUGGUCAGAGAGGACCUAGCUGAAAAUUUCAUCAACUCAGUGGACCAUGAUGAUGUAUGUGAUGUAUGUCAGCUAGGAAAGCAGGCCAGACUCCCUUUUCCCUCGAAUCAAGCCUGGAGAGCCUCUGAAAAACUCCAACUGGUGCAUAAUGAUGUGUGUGGCCCUAUGAAGACUGAGUCAUUAAGUGGAAACAGGUAUUUCAUACUGUUCAUUGAUGAUUUCUCGAGAUAUUGCUGGAUUUACUUUUUAAAACAGAAAUCAGAAGUGGCCUCAGUGUUUUGGAAGUUCAAGACUGCUUCUGAGACUGAAACAGGCUGCAAGCUGAAGACCAUAAGGUCUGAUAAUAGGACUGAGUACACCUCAGCUCAGUUCCAAGCCUUCUGUGAUAAGGCAGGCAUCAAACAUCAACUUACCAACACAUAUACACCUCAGCAGAAUGGGGUAAGUGAAAGGAAGAAUAGGAGUUUGAUGGAUAUGGCCAGGUGCUUGAUGAUUCAGAAAAAUCUGCCUAAAGCACUAUGGGCAGAAGCAGUUAACACUGCAACAUACAUUUAAAAUAGACUUCCAACCAAGGCUUUGGAUCAAAAGACCCCAUUCGAGGCCUGGUUUAGCUUCAAGCCAUCAUUGGCUCAUCUGAAGGUCUUUGGAUGCAUCUGUUAUGCACAUGUACCUGCUGUUAAAAGGGACAAAUUGUCUGAAAGGGCUCGACCUGGUGUUUUGGUGGGGUAUAGCACUGUUAAGAAGGGCUAUAGGAUUUUAGAUCCUUCAACAAACAAAGUGUCAAUAAGCAGGGAUGUGGUAUUUGAUGAGAGGUCAUGUUGGAACUGGGAAAGACAUGAACCUGAAGAAGUUUCUGAAGAACUUGCAGUAGACCAAGCUGAGCCAGACCAAAAUGUCCCUGAAAUGGAUAUUGAUGAUGAACCAGUCAGAGGAACAAGGUCAUUGGCUGAGGUUUAUGAAAGGGCUCAUGUAGCCAUAGCUGAACCAAGCAACUUUGAAGAGGCUGAGGCUCAACAAGGGUGGAAGCAGGCAAUGGCUGAGGAGAUCAGCAUGAUUGAGAAGAACCAGACCUGGAAAUUGGUUGAAAGGCCAGUCAAAAGGAAGGUGAUUGGGGUGAAAUGGGUGUACAAAGCCAAGCAGAAUGCUGAUGGUACCUUGAACAAGCUAAAAGCAAGGCUAGUGGUCAAGGGGUUCAGUCAGAGGUAUGGCUUGGACUACUUGGAGACCUUUGCACCAGUGGCCAGGCUCGACACCAUCAGACUGCUGAUUGCCUUAGCAGCACAGCUCGAAUGGAAGAUCCAUCAACUUGAUGUGAAAUCAGCCUUUCUGAAUGGUUUCUUAGAUGAAGACAUCUAUGUUGAACAACCACAAGGGUUUGAAAUAGCUGGCAGAGAGCAUAUGGUCUACAAAUUGAAGAAGGCCCUAUAUGGCUUAAAACAGGCUCCAAGGGCCUGGUACAGCAGAAUCGAUGGCUACUUGACUGAUCUGGGAUUCAAUCGAAGCAAGAGUAGCCAACACUGUAUGUCAAGAAGCAAGGGACACAAACACAACUCAUUGUCUCCCUAUAUGUUGAUGACCUGCUGGUGACAGGAGGAGAUCAAGCAGUGCUGGUUAAUUUCAAGACCAAGAUGCAAGAGGUGUUUGAAAUGUCUGAUCUUGGGGAGAUGUCCUAUUUUCUUGGAAUGGAGGUGACUCAAGCACAGAAUGGGAUAUUUUUAAGUCAGAAGAGCUUUGCCACAAAGAUUCUGACCAAGUUCUCCAUGCAAAACUGCAAACCAACUAAAACACCUGUUGCUGUUGGAGAAAAACUAUCGAGCCAAGGAGAUUUUGAGAAGGUAUGUGAAACUACCUACAGGAGUCUAGUUGGUUGUUUGCUAUACUUGACUGCCACUAGACCAGACAUAAUGUAUGCUGUAGGAUUGCUCUCAAGGUUCUUGCAUUGUUGCAAUGAGAAGCAUUUCCAGGCUGCCAAGAGAGUGCUCAGAUAUGUCAAAGGCACUUUGGACUAUGGCUUAAGGUACAGCAAGAAAGGAAAUCUAAAUCUAGUUGGGUACACUGAUAGUGACUGGGCUGGAUCGAUAGAUGACAUGAAAAGCACCUCAGGGUAUGCUUUCAACCUUGGUUCAGCUAUGUUCUGCUGGAGCUCGAAGAAGCAAAGUCUGGUGGCACAAUCUACUGCUGAAGCAGAGUAUGUGGCAGCAGCAAGUGCUGUCAACCAAGCCAUUUGGCUUAGGAAAAUCCUGGCUGAUUUGAAUAUGGAUCAAAGGGAAGCAACAGAGAUCUUCUGUGACAAUCAAUCUACUGUUGCAAUUGCCAAAAAUCCUGUGUUCCAUGGAAGAACAAAGCAUUUUAGCAUUAAGCUAUAUGUUGUUCGAGAAAUGGAGCAAGCUCAGGAAGUGAAGCUAAUUCACUGCAAUUCAGAGGACCAGCUUGCAGACAUUUUGACUAAAGCCCUUAAUGUCACAAGGUUUGAGCAUUUAAGAAGAAAAUUAGGUGUUUGCACCAUGCUAACCAAGGAGGAGUGUUGAAGUUGGUCAGCAUGAAGCCAACACUCGAUUCCAUACAGGCCAUGAAGACCAAGCAAAGCUGGAACAGAUGCAAGGGCUGCUGAUGCAAGCUCAUUUUGUUCAUUUUGUUAUAUUUAGUUGAUGAAAUGAGUGUUAGUUCAUUUCUAACUAAGUUAGCUUUCUGAUUGAUGUAAUUAGCUUAUGUAUGAGCUGUAAACACAGUUUUGUAUAAGUUUACAAGCUAAGAUUUCAAGUUUCUAUGUAAUUAGUGGAGGUAGGUAAUUACUUGUUGAUUUUGACAAGCCUUAUGCUUGAGUUAUGUACUGGCUUCAAGCCAUUGUUUUAUGUAUGAAUGAAAUCAGUUUUGUUCAUCAAUAUUCUCUCAAAUUUUCCCAGCUUAUUCUCUUCUUUCUUUAACUCGAAAUUGUUUGUUUGCUCAGCAAGUUUUGAGGCUUGCUCGACAAGAUACUUGCUGAGUCUGCUUGAUUCUGUUGUUGCACGAACAAAUACACAGCAGAAGGAGUAUAUCUAUCGCAAAUGAAGUACAUCCAGGACCUACUUUGUAAAGCGUCUAUGGAUCGGUCUAAUUCUCUUCCUACACCGAUGGUAACAAACUGUUACCUUUCAGCCAUAGGUGGAAAUCCAAUCAAUGAUGAACAUCAGUACAGAAGUAUUGUUGGCGAUUUGCAGUAUGUGGUGAUAACCAGGCUCGACAUUGCCUACUCCGUAAAUAAGGUGUGCCAGUUCAUGCAUAAGCCGUUAGACAUGCAUUUUCAAGCAGUCAAAAGAAUAUUGCGGUAUCUACAAGGGACGAUGCACUAUGGCUUAAAGUUUACUCGAGCCUCGCGGUUUCUUCUUGAAGGCUAUUCAGACGCUAGCUGGGGGUCUGAUGUUGAUGAUCGUAGAUCAACUUCAGGUUAUUGCAUCUUUUUUGGAGGAAAUCUGAUCUCUUGGAGUUCCAAGAAAUAGCAAGUGGUCUCCCGCUCCACUGCAGAGGCAGAAUACAGAAGUGUUGCUCAUUAGGCAGCUGAGAUAACAUGGGUACAGUCAUUAUUACGUGAGUUAUGUGCUCCAGUGCAGCCAAAGGCCUUGAUCUGGUAUGAUAGUUCAGCAGCAGUGGCAGUAGCUGGCAACCCAGUUAUGCAUUAAAAAUUCAAACACGUAGAGCUAGACGUAUUUUUUGUCAGAGAAAAGGUAGCCGCAGGGGUCCUUCAGGUUGGACAUGUUCCAGGAUCCUAUCAGAUAGCAGACAUCCUAACGAAACCACUGCCUUUGUCUGUCUUAAAUAAGUUUCGAGGGCAGCUUUGGGUUGUGAAUAUCACGUGAAAUGAGUUGUUUUUGGUAGCAAGCUGUUAGAUAAGUAUGGGGAAUAUUAGGGUUUAAUAUAGUUGUGUUAUACGUUAGUUUCUGUUAUAGCAAUUGUUAUAGUUAGUUACAGUAGUAGUUAAGGAACGGUUUCUCCUAGCAUUAAAUAUGUGUAACACACUCAAGUUAAUCAUCAUGAAUACAGCAUUCUAUUUCUUGAAUACUCUGAAUCUUAACAAGCACCAAUGCUGCAAACUAAAACAAUUAGGUUGAAUGAAUUCCACCACUGAUCCUAUGAAUUAAAACCAAUCAAUAUCGAUAAAAAACCAUUAUUGUAACUGUAUAGAAUUAUGUUGGAACAAUGACAGCAGCAAACAUCAAAGCAAAUUUGCAACUCAGUGUUUGCAAGACUGAAGCAAGAAGAAUCAAGGCAAGCAAAGCAUCAAAAAUCAAAAUACUCAGCAAUGUUUGUGACUGAACAUACAUCAUUUUUCAUUCAACUUGAAAUAUAUAAAAGAGUUACAAUUGUACAUUGACAGUUACCUAAUGUAUUUAACUGCCCCAACUAAUACAAACCUAAUCACUAGCCAAAAAAUAAUCAAACAUAGCUGACCAAUCAGCCAUUACAUCAAAAGAUCUUGUCACUAACUUAAGUUUAACUAGCAUUACAAACAAACUAAAGUUGAACUGAAUCAAAUUACAUCAAAACAAAACAGCAAAGUUGGUUGCUUCAUUCAGUUCAAAAACCAUUCGUGCGCACCAAGCAAAACGAGCUGAGCUCGAUAGCUGCUGGUCUCGACAGUAGCAAGCUUUUGGCUCCAUGUUGCAUUGCAGUCCAGCUUUCAACACUCCUCCUUGGACUGUAUGCAACACAUUCCAAUUGCACUUCUCAAAGAUUCAAAUCGAGCAGCCCCUAAGGGCUUGGUCAUUAUGUCAGCCAAUUGUGCUCCUGAGCUGCAAUGCACAAGGUUGACUUCCUUUGCUUGUUCAGCCUCUCUAACAAAAUGCAAUUUGAUCUUAAAAUGCUUAUUCUUGCCAUGGAACACAGGGUUCUUGGCUAUUGCAACUGCAGACUGAUUGUCCACCCAGAUUUCAGUUGCUUCAUCUUGAGUUUCAUUAAGGUCAUAAAGCAGCUUUCUUAGCCAAAUGGCCUGAUUAACUGCUCCUGCUGCAGCAAUGUACUCUGCUUCAGCUGUGGACUGAGCAAUAGUUUGUUGCUUCUUAGAACUCCAGCAAAACAAGCCCGAUCCAAGUGUGAAGAAGUAUCCAGAGGUACUCUUCAUGUCAUCGAGAGAUCCUGCCCAGUCGCUGUCAGAGUAGCCUUCUAAUUUCAGUUGGUUCUGACUUUCAAACAUUACACCAAAACUAGCAGUGCCCUCGAUGUAUCUAAGGAUCCUCUUUGCUGCCUUCAAAUGUGCCUCAUUGCAACAAUGCAUAAAUCUUGAUAACAGGCUGACACCAAACAUGAUAUCUGGCCUGGUUGCUGUUAGAUACAACAGACAACCAACCAGGCUUCGAUAGUGCCUCUCAUCAACCCUCUGCUGAUCACCACUGCUAGUCAGCUUUUCUCCUUGAGCCACAGGUGUGCUGACUGCUUUACAGUUAUGCAUGCAAAAUUUGUCUAGAAUCUUCAAAGCAAAUGAGUGUUGGCUGAUGAAGAUACCUCGAUCAGAUUGGUGCACUUCCAUGCCAAGGAAGUAAGUCAUGAUCCCCAAAUCUGUCAUCUCAAACACUUGCUGCAUUUGGACCUUGAACUGAUCAAUGAGCUCGAUUUUGCUCCCUGUCACAAGCAAAUCAUCCACAUACAAGGAGACUAUCAGCAAGGUUUCAUGUUCUGACUUUUUAACAUAUAGAGUAGGCUCACUAAGGCUCUUUACAAAUCCAAGUUUGGUCAGGUAGGCAUCAACUCUGUCAUACCAGGCCCUUGGUGCCUGUUUCAGGCCAUAGAGGGCCUUUCUCAACUUAUACACUUUGUCUUUAUGUCCAACAACUUCAAAACCUUCAGGUUGCUCGAUGAAGAUCUCCUCCUUGAGAAAACCAUUCAGGAAUGCUGAUUUGACAUCCAAUUGGUGAACUCUCCACUGCUUCUGAGCUGCUAAAGCAAACAGCAGCUUAAUUGUAUCCAGUCUUUCCACUGGAGCAAAAGUUUCUAGGUAGUCAACACCAUACUGCUGACUGUAGCCCUUCACCACAAGCCUGGCCUUGUGCUUGUUCAGUGAGCCAUCAGCAUUGUACUUGGCCCGAUACACCCAUUUAACUCCUAUGACCCUCUUGUGUUCUGGUCUGCUCACCAACUCCCAAGUCUGAUUUUUGUUGAUCAUUUCCAACUCAGCUUCCAUAGCUUUCAUCCAGCUUCUGUUUUUAGCAGCCUCUUCAAAGUCUGAGGGCUCAAUCACAGCAACAUUGCACCUCUGAUAAACAUCAACCAAAGUUCUGGUGCCCCUCACUGGUAUAUCAUCGACAGCAUCAUUACUUGGUCCUUCUUCUGCAGGUUCAGCAACCAAGUCUAACUGGUCCAAUUCAGACAAGUUAGCCACAACACCAUUCCAAUUCCACACCUUUUCCUCAUCAAACUUAACAUCCCUGCUGACUAAAACCUUCUUUGCUGUAGGAUCAUACACUCUAUAGCCCUUCUUGUUGCUGCUGUAGCCAACAAAGAUUCCUGGAGUUGCUCUGCUCUCAAGCUUGGUCCUUUUCUCCACUGGAAUAAGUGCAUAACAUACACAGCCAAACACUUUUAAGUGUGUUACCACAGGUUUGACUCCGUGCCAAGCCUCAAAAGGAGUCAUAUCCUUGACUGCUCUAGUUGGCAGUCUGUUGAGCAGAUACACUGAGGUGUUGACUGCCUCAGCCCAAAACUGACUUGGAAGCUUGCCUUGAAACAAGAGGCACCUGGCCAUGUUCAGUACAGUCCUAUUCUUUCUCUCACAGACUCCAUUCUGUUGAGGAGAAUAGACUGUUGUGAGCUGAUGGUGAAUCCCAGCACUGUCACAAAGCUUCUAAAAUCUCUCAGACACAUAUUCAGAUCCAUUAUCAGUCCUCAAGGCUCUAAUUUUGUAGCCUGACUGAUUUUCAGCAUAAGCCUUGAAUUUACAGAAGGCUUCAAACACUUCUGACUUUUGCUUCAAGAAGUAGACCCAGCAUAACCUUGUUAAAUCAUCUAUAAACAAGGCAAAGUACCUGUUCUCACUGAUUGAAGGUGUUCUCAUAGGGCCACAAACAUCAGAGUGCACCAAUUCGAGCUUGUCUUGAGCUCUCCAAGCACUGUCAGCAGGAAAAGGCAGUCUAGCCUACUUACCAAGCUGACAAACCUCACAAACAUUCCCACUAGCUUCAAUUUUUGAAAUGUCAUCAACCAGAUUUAGCCUAUGUAAUAGAUCAAUAGAUCUAAAAUUUGCAUGGCCUAGUCUCCUAUGCCACAAGUCAGUGCUUUCAACAAGGCUGGUGUAUACCUUUCUUUCUAUUUGGCUAACAUCCAGCAUGAAGCACCUAUCAGUCAUAGAGACUGUGACUAACUCCAGACCAUUCAUGUCUUGAACAAUACAGCAACCAUCCUUAAAAACCAAUGUAUAGCCCUUUUCAACUAAUUGGCCCACACUAAGCAAAUUCUGGUCUAAGUCAGGUACAAAAAACACAUCUGAGAUCAGCUUGUUACCUGAACCAGUGCUAAUCAACACACUGCCCUUGCCUUUAGCCUCAAUCAGCCUACCAUCUCCAAUUCUAAUCCUCGAGUGGAAGCUUCUGUCUAGGCUUUUGAACAGCUUCUCAUCUGCUGCCAUAUGGUGUGAGCAGCCACUGUCUAGUAGCCAAUCAUUGCUGGCCUUGGUUGUGCCAACAAAACAAGUUGCUGUGAACACUUGCUCCUCCUGAGCUUGAAUGUCCUCAGCAGGUCUAGCUUGUUGCAGAGUAGCCUCCCUUGGUUUGCCCUUGCACACCUUCUCCACAUGGCCAAACUGUUUGCAUUUUCUACACUGAAUAUCUGGCCUAAACCAGCAAUACUUUUCUGAAUGUGUUGUCUUCUUGCAAUGAACACAUGGUGGGAACACCCUUUUUGCUUCAUCUCUUCCUGACUUGACCCUUCUAUUGUGCCAAGGCUUCUUGCCUUUUGCACUCACACUCGAGCCUUCACUGGCUUUAGCCUGGAAAGCAGCUUCAGGAUUCUCCUCCUGCCUAUUUGCCCUCCUUUGCUUAAGUGCAUAUAGGGAAUUUAUCAGCUCAGACAAUGAAAUGGCUGAUAAGUCCCUCGAGUCCUCAAGUAAAGAGAUUUUAGACUCAAAUUUCUCAGGAAGAGUUGUAAUAACCUUUUCAACAACUCUGCUCUCUGUGAAGUCCACUCCCAGGAGCCUAAUGCUGUUGACAAUGGCCAUUAUCCUGUCUGAGUACUGCUUGAUGGUCUCAGACUCCUUCAUCCUCAAGUUUUCAAAGUCUCUCCUGAGGUUGAUUACUUGCUGUUGCCUUGUCUUAUCAGUCCCCAUGAACUCCUCCUUCAGCUUCUCCCAAGCCUGCUUAGGUGAGUCACAGGCCAUGAUGCGAGUAAAUAUCACAUCAGAGACUCCAUUUUGCAAGCAGGCCAUAGCCUUAUACUUCUUGGCUCGCUCCUCAGUAUGUUGCCUCAUCUGUGCAAUGGUGGGAUUGGCUCUCAAUGGAGGUGGUUCAGCAUCAUUCUCGAUCACACUCCAAAGAUCAUGUGCCUGGAGAUAAGUCUUCAUUUUAACUAUCCAAAUGUGAUAGUUUUCUCCAGUGAACACUGGUGGAGGUGGUGGAGUGAAACUCAUUCUGCUAAACUGAUUUUAAAUGCUUCAAUCUUACCAAAUUUUGAACUUGCUGUUGGUUUUGUUUCGAACACAACAGAUUGCAUACAAAGGCCCCUCAAAGACUCGGGCUCAUGAUACCAUUUGUUGGAACAAUGACAGCAGCAAACAUCAAAGCAAAUUUGCAACUCAGUGUUUGCAAGACUGAAGCAAGAAGAAUCAAGGCAAGCAAAGCAUCAAAAAUCAAAAUACUCAGCAAUGUUUGUGACUGAACAUACAUCAUUUUUCAUUCAACUUGAAAUAUAUAAAAGAGUUACAAUUGUACAUUGACAGUUACCUAAUGUAUUUAACUGCCCCAACUAAUACAAACCUAAUCACUAGCCAAAAAAUAAUCAAACAUAGCUGACCAAUCAGCCAUUACAUCAAAAGAUCUUGUCACUAACUUAAGUUUAACUAGCAUUACAAACAAACUAAAGUUGAACUGAAUCAAAUUACAUCAAAACAAAACAGCAAAGUUGGUUGCUUCAUUCAGUUCAAAAACCAUUCGUGCGCACCAAGCAAAACGAGCUGAGCUCGAUAGCUGCUGGUCUCGACAGUAGCAAGCUUUUGGCUCCAUGUUGCAUUGCAGUCCAGCUUUCAACAAAUUAAGCAUGAACCUUAAUAUCUGAAUUUGGGUACCCACCACAGCCUCCAGCUGCCUUCAACUUGAUAACAAACAUAUAAUCACAUAAAGAUCACAUUCUAUCAUAAUCUUAUAAAUGCAUCUAGUUCAACAUAAGCAAAGCACGAUGAAGCAAGCAGUGUGAAUCACACAGUGUCAAUCCUAAUUUCCAAGUUCAAUCGCCUAUGAUCAUAUUCAAUAAAGCCAGAAAGAAAGCAUUCAAUAAUUAACUAACAAAAACAAAAAGAUUAAACAUAAAACAAACAGAAAAUGUUAAAACUUAGAUUUAUUCUUGAAGCAGAAGAAAUUAGCACAUAAUAAACAUCAAGUUGUUCUCAGCUCACAUUUUAUUUGAUCAUUUUAAACCCAAACAUUAAAAGCACAGACAAGUUAUCAGAUCACAAAUUAUAUACACAAAUAUCUAUAAAUAUAAGCUAAGGAUCUGCUACUAAUUCCCAGUUGACUCUCUGUUUUGAUAUACAUAUAUUAUGUUUCUUUAAACUCUCCAAGGAUCUGCAAGUAAAUACCAAACACUUUGAUCAAUAUAAAAGCAUAGGCUGCAACCUAUAAGGAAAACCAAUCUGACACAUACGAAAUAGUUGGAAGGUUUAUAUCAGCUAACAUGAAUAAAAAUCAGAAAUAUUUAAAGGAAAUGUGAACCAUAAAUCAAUGGAUUUAUAUAUCAUUGAAGGAAAAUGCAGUGACUAUCAUCAUAAUCAAAGUACAUGCAUCAUAAAAUAAAGUGCACCUUUGUCUCAUGUACAUUGGCUCUACCAUGAUAUCAUUUGGAUUUGUCAUAAAAUAAAGUGCACUUGUCUCAUGUACUUGGCUCUACCAUGAUAUCAUUUGGACUUGUACAACUUCUUUUUCUGGUUCAUGUACAUUCCACAGAAGAACAACUUCCGCAAAUUCUUGAUUUUUAGUCCUUUGAUAAAUCUGAGAAAAAGAGUGGCAUGAGGAAGCUAAAAAUCACAAUGAGUCAAAGGUAAUUGAAGAUUCAAGGAAAGUAAUGAUUACCUAUUCCUCAUUUUUUUAAAAGCUAAAGCUCAAAAUAUCUUUUCUAAGAUCUGCUAUUCCCUCAUGAUUUUGGUUAGGCAUCCGCUUUCCGUACAACAAUCACUGCCAUCUUCAUUCCCUUCAUCGUUGCAAAUUUAGGAGGUCAAAGCUUAAUCUCUAUGUUUUGGCUAACUGAUACUACAUUGCAUUAAGAAAGUUGAGACAAAAAAGCAUAUCUAUAAUGUGAGAUAAAAAUGGUCUUGCAUUCGUCACAACCUUGACACGAAGACCAGAAAUUUCAUGAGAACAUGUUUUGUUGGUGAGAAAGAAGAUAUCAAAGACAACCCUAAUCUGCAAAUACAGUAGAGUAUCAAAUAUGCCAACAGCUGCACUUUCAUGCAAGUUUUACAAGAUCUACAGAUUUAGUGGUAUCUAUCAUGCAACCCUAAUAUUUGAAUGAGUUGCGAUUUAGUGGUAUCUAUCUCUUGUGGUUCAACCUGUGAACCACGCUAAUUUAAAUUUAGCAAUACGAAAUUGCUAUUUACUCUGAUAUUAAUUACUUACUUUUAUGAUUAAUCUAAUAAAAUGAUUAGAGUAAACUACAUCCGCAAUCAGUUUUUAUUUUGAUCACACAAUUAUAAAAGAACUAAUGUUUUUGAGAUUUGAUUUGUUGGUCACUCUACCAUUUAAUUGCUAUCUUUUUCUUUAUUUGUAUAAUAAUAAAUUUAACUCUCUAAUGUUUGUACAUUUUAUCAAUUUGAUUUCUAGCCUUUAAUGUUGAUAUGUUUUGUGAAUUUAGUCUUUAUUCUAAAAAACUCAAAUUAAAAUUAAAUUUUUAAAAAUUAAAAAUUCAACAUUUAUAAGUACCAAGUGGGGAGGAGGUGCCAAGUCUAGGAGCCAAAUGAGUAUUUAAGUCAUAAAUUCAUUAUAAUUUUUUUUAAUUUUUAUAAUUUUUUUAAAUGUUUUAGAAUCAGGAUUAAAUUGACAUAAUAUGUAAAUGUUGAGAGUUGAAUAUAUUAAAAUUUGUAGAAUUAAGACCAAACUAAUGGAACGGAUAAACAUUAGAGGACUAAAAUUGUUAUUAUGCUAAUAAAAAAGCCACAUAAGCCUUCCAUUAAUGAUUUGAUGACUAAUUGACAAAAAAAUCACAAUUCAAAAAUGUUAGUGACUUAAUAGAAAUUUGUUAUAAUUAGAUGACCAAAAUCUUAAAAACAGUUAUCAUAGUUGGAUGACUAUUUGUGUAUCCAAAUGAAUCAAUUUUAACCAUAGAUUGACAAAAAAGAAAGUCAAAUUUCAAAAAUACUUACAAUUAAAUUGAAUAUUUUAUAAUUGAAUGACAAAAAAAUUGAUGCGUCGUUGACAGCACAAAAAAUAUUCUAUCACUAAAAAAUAAUGAAAAUAAUAGUAUAAGGGAAGUAAGGUCAAAUCCUUAAAUACUGGACUUGCAUAAGUUCCUGUUCAUCGAGAUCCCAAGCAGAAUCGUGCCCAAGAAAAAUGGUGUACGUGAAAAAAAAUAGAAUUAAAAGUUUGGUUGAAUUAAGAUUGUGUAAAUUGAAAUUGAAAUUAUAAAAAUAAAUAGAGUUGAGAAAAGAUAGUUUUUGAUGGAGAGAUUCCCCAGUUAUCUCGAUCCUCCUUGGGUUCAAUCCUAGGCUUUUAAAUGUUCUUUAUCAUAAUAGAAUAAGCCAGUUAUAGUGAAAGAGGAUGCCUACAAACACCAGCUCCACUUAGAUUUUAGACUUACGAUAUAGAGGAACCUGACUCUAGCCAACCAUCACUUUUGUGAGAAAGUCUUACACUAGAUCAUCACUUCUUAAUGGUGAAUACUACACCAUUUUGUUUCUUGGGCUCAAUAACCACUGAUGGAGUAGGCUAACGAACCGACUAUGCAACCUUCCCAAAACAUACAAAGUGACCGCCUUUGCACAAGAUGAAAAAAUCACUUUUGAAGGAACAUGGACGGAAGCGUCAGUCUCGUAGUACGGAGAAACGAUGAAUAUUCUUUGAAAAGGCUAAGUGCGGAUUCUAAGCCUCAUGAACCCUUUUUGGGGAAUGUCAACAACCUUUGGCUAAAUGAAUUUAGUAGCUCAUGCUUACUUAAUAAAAAUGGAAUUUUAUUGGAUAAAUAAAAGGAACAAAAGCUAGAGCUUUUUGGGAGAGGGAGCUUUUACAAAAAAGAAGAGUGAAAUUUGUGUCAAUCCAUCCCCUAUUUAUAGUACUUAGAAAACCUAGUUUGUUUCUAUUUAAAUUCUAAAAGAUAAAUAAAUAUAAAAGCUAAAAUUAAAUCUAAAUAAUAAUAUUAACAAUAAUCCUAAUAAAAUUCAAAUUUAAAUAUAGUCUUGUGUUUAUAAAAUCUCUUCUUUGAACUUUUUCUCUCAAGUCUUCCACAUUUUUGCACCACUUCUUUCCUAUUUAGCAUGCUGACCCAUUUUGUCUUCAAAUUCAUGCUUUUUCCCCCAAAUUUCCCUUUUCCUUCAAUUUAGUCCCUACAAGAUAAAAAAUCAUAAAUAGCUCAAAUUAGUAAGAUCAUACUCAAAAUAAAUCUGUAAUUAAUACAUAAAAAUGUAAUUCCAGAGUAUUAUAAAAAACUCUCAUAAUUAAGUGAAUAUGUACCCCAAACAAAUAUCGUUUCAUUCAAUAAUCUCUAAUCAAAUACAUUAAUUUAAGUGACAAAGCAAUUGCUUUGAUUACAUUAAUUUAAGUGACAAAGCAAUUGGUUUGAUGAUAAUAAGUAGAUUAAAUUUGGGUAGUAGUUUAUGUAAUAAAAAUUGGAUGGAUGGGGACAUGGGGUCAUUUCUUACACUAAGAAAAUCAUUAGUGGAAUGCCUUGGGCAUAUUCUACAAAUUUGUAAUUUGAUAUAUCUCGGAAAAUCAACAGUAGGAGAAAUAGAAAAAAGUUGAAGAGAGUCAUUCCCAUUUAACUUGUUUAUCCUCAUGUAUUUGGCUUUAACUCCCAUUCUUAGUACUUUUCUAUCUCUAAUUUUAAGAUUACCUAAUUUUACAAUCCAAUUCAAAUGAUAAUUUAAAUUAAAAUGAAGGUACAAACCAAUUUCAAUGUUGCAUCCUAUCAAUUCCAAAACAGAGUAAAACUCUGCAAUUUUAAUUAUCAAAAGGGGAAUUUGAUUCAAGUUUUAGCCCAGACUGAUGUAACAAUCAAGUUAAAUGGUUGUACCAUGAAACCAACUCCUCACUUUGAAGUUCCAACUAAACCAAAAUUAUUUCGAUUUGCUACAACUUUCUUUUUUCCAAGUGAUUAUGUUGGGUUCCUCCAUGGGGUAAACAUAAAAGCUCAUCAAUCUCGAGAAUGAAAAUUGUGAUAGGGUUGGCAUUCAAAAUAGCAUCCAAGCUCCAUGUGUUCAUUUAACAACCAGUACCUCGAUUAGUUCUUGGUCUAAUUAGCCAGUCCGGUUCAAAAAACACCAAUUUUGAUCGAUAAAAUUACUUUUCUAAUCUUGUCAGGUCGAGCAAGCAGAUGAUGAAGUUCAAAAACAGAAUUAUUUGUCAACGUCUUGAUCUCAAGCAAACAAAUUUCAAGCAUUGUCAAUAUUGCUAGACAUUAUAAAAGAUAAAAAGGAAAAAAAUAGAAAGAAACAUAAAGAGAAAGAAAUAAUGUGAAAGAAAAAAAAGAAAAUUAAAGAAUUAAAAAAAUAUUUUUUAUGUUUAUAUGAUGUGACGGUUUAUUAUUGGCUGAGAUUUUUUUUAACAGAUAUAAUAUUUUGAUGUAAAAUGAAUAAUAGAAACAUAAUUUAAGUACCACUUAUGAUAAAGAAAAAUAGAUAUCAACUCGAAUUUUCAAAGUAUUUGAUGUUUUAAUUGGUUAACUUAGCAAGACAAUGUGAUCUUCCCUCUAUUUUUAUUUUUCUUUGUUUUUUCUCCCUCUUUUAAACCUAUCUUAUUAGAAUCAAAUGUACAUUAAUAAAAAUAUGAAGCCCCAUUGGAAGACCAUGAUCACUUUGAGGUUACUCUUUAUAUUUAUAAUAAUCCCAACUAAUUUAGUCAAUAACAAAUAGAUUAUUUGCAUCACAAUUUUGUCCCAUUGGAAGACCAUGACUUUGAGAGUACACACCAAUCACCAAACCCCAUGCACAACACAUAAUAUAAAACUAAUUGCAUAAGGAUCAAAUUCAUAUAGUAUGCUGCAAUGGGUAAUUAAAUAAAUAAACAAAGCCGGCCAACCUCUUUUCAACCUUUCUUCAUUGGAAUCAACUGUAUAAAUAUUUAAAAUAAUAUGAAGCGUAGUUUAUCAAGUAAACUUGACAAUGCUGUUAUGUUUAGAAUAAUUUGCUAAGCUCAAGUCAUCGCCUAUGCUUCUGUCUAACAAAAUCACUUUCAAUCUCUUUCCCAUUUAAUAAAACCACUUUCUCUUCCUACGAUAGAAGCAAAGCAAAUCAAAGUUCCCUCAACGUAUUUUGUUCUCUUUCAUGGCAUCUUCUUCUUCUCUUCCUCCUCCUCAAGUGAAACACCAAGUUUUCUUGAGCUUCAGAGGUGAAGACACACGCAAUAACUUCACCAGUCAUCUACUCAAAGCUUUGAAAGACACGGGAUUGAAUGUCUUCUUCGAUGAAGAAAAACUAGAGAAAGGGGAGAAACUUUCAGAUGCACUUUCUCAAGCAAUUGCAGCCUCAAAUCUCUCAAUCCUCGUUUUAUCUAAAGACUAUGCUUCGUCAAAGUCAUGCUUAGGUGAACUUUCUGACAUUAUGGAUCGUAAGCGUAAGCCCACUGACAAACAUAUUGCUCUUCCCAUCUUUUACCAUGUUGAUCCAUCCCAUGUGCGAAAUAUCGGUGGGACUUCUAAGACAUCCUUUGAGCAACAUGAAUCAAAGAGGCCAGUUGAUGAAGUGAAGCGAUGGAAAGUCGUCUUUACUGAAGUCGGUACAUUAAAAGGGUGGCAUAUAGAAUGAGGCAAAUUCGAUAGGUAACUAUAUAAAUGCAUAUGUAUUCAUCCUUUUAUAUAUGACAUAUCUUUCUUUUGACUAUUAAUUUCUUCAAUUGUUUACUAGAUCUGAAACCGAGUACAUUAAAGACGUCGUUGAAUAUGUUUUGAAAAAGUUGAAUAGCAAUUGCACAAGUGUUUUUGAAGAUUUGGUUGGAAUAGAUGAUCAAAAAGGGAUAAUUUUGGGGCUGAUUGACCAAGUGGACAGUCGUGUAAUAGUGUUGAAGCUAUGGCCUGCAGUGCAACAGAGAACCAGUAGCAGAAAAUUGAUCAAAGACCAGCAGCAGCAAAUUGUAUAAUUUGAGCUGCUACACUGUUUUGAAGUAAAGUAAUGAAGUUGGUUCUCUUGGAAGAUCACAUUUUAGAUGUUUUGUUCCUAUGGAACUUUGUUCAAUUCUUUUGUAUUUUGACAGCAAAGUCAGUAGGAAAAUUGACUGAUGUAAUAGCUGGUAUGCCAGCCUUCUUUUGUAAUCAACUUGCAUUAUUUUAGUAUGUAUUAAGUAAGGGCAGUUAAGUUAGUAGGUAACUGUCAAACAUUACUUGUAACUCCCAUAUAUUCAAAAAUUUGAAUGAAAAAUACAUGACUUCAGUUACAAUUCUUUGCUGAGUUUUUUUUAGUUCUCUUUUUGCUUCAUUUGGUUUGCUUCUUUGUACUGUCAUUUAUCCAACAAAUGGUAUCCAGAGCUUUCAGUCUUUGAGGGCCUUGGUUGUACACUGUCAUUAAGCAAAUUGUAUUUGAAACAAAAGAAGAAGAGGUUGUUUUGCUUGCUGAAAAAUGAGCUUUACACCACCUCCUUCACCUGUCUUUGCUGGAGAAAAUUACAACAUCUGGGCAGUGAAAAUGAGAACAUAUUUGCAGGCACAUGACCUGUGGAAUGUUGUUCUCAAUGACACUGAGCCACCACCACUAAGAGCCAACCCGACCAUAGCCCAGAUCAGGCAGCACAAUGAAGACUGUGCCAAGAAGUACAAGGCUAUGUCGUGCAUUCAAAGUGGGGUCUCUGAUGUUAUUUUCACAAGAAUAAUGGCUUGUGACACUCCAAAACAGGCCUGGGAUAAACUCAAGGAGGAGUUUCAGGGGUCUGACAAGACCAGGCAACAGCAGCUGAUCAACAUGAGAAGAGACUUUGAAAAUCUCAAAAUGAAGGACUCAGAAACCAUCAAGCAGUAUGCUGACAGAAUCAUGGCUACUAUCAACAACAUAAGGCUGCUUGGGGAAGAAUUCAGUGACCAAAGAGUGGUUGAGAAGGUCAUAACAACCUUGCCAGAGAAGUAUGAGGCAAAAAUUUCUUCUCUGGAAGACUCAAGGGACUUGUCAACAAUCCCUUUGACAGAGCUUAUAAAUGCUCUUUAUGCUCAAGAGCAGAGAAGGGCAAAUAGGCAGGAGGACCACUAUGAAGGAGCUUUUCAGGCUAGAGGCAGAGAAAGCUCAAGUGCAAACUUAAAUGUCAAAGGCAAGAAGCCUUGGACUGAGAAGAAAAAGAAAGAACCUGUCAAAAGGAAGUUCCCACCUUGUGUCCAUUGUAAGAAGACUACUCAUCUUGAGAAAUACUGCUAGUACAGACCAGACAUUCAAUGCAGAGCCUGCAAGCAAUUUGGCCACAUUGAAAAGGUCUGUAAGAGUAAGUCAAAAACACAACCACAAUUUCAAAGCCAAGCUCAAGCUGCAGAAGAGGUUGAAGCACCAGAAGAGCAUGUUUUUUCAGCAUCAUGCUUUGCAAGCUCGAGCAAGGUUAACAAAAUUUGGCUGAUUGACAGUGGAUGCACCCACCAUAUGGCUUCUGAGAAGAGUAUAUUCAAGGAGCUUGACACUACCUUCAAGUCCAAAGUCAGAAUUGGCAAUGGUGAGCUACUAGAGGCAAAAGGGAAAUGCAAGGCUUUGAUAAGCACCAAGUCAGGUAUUAAAACCACUUCAGAGGUUCUCUAUGUACCUGAUAUUGACCAAAACUUGCUAAGUGUUGGCCAGCUAUUGGAGAAAGGCUAUUCUCUAAUUUUUGAAGGCAAGAACUGUUUGAUCAAAAAUGCUGCUGGUGAAGUGUUAACCACAGUGGCUAUGCAAGAUAGGACUUUCAUUGUAGAUGUGAAUCAGCUUCAGGCUAAAGCAUAUGCAUCUCAGUCUGAUGAGACUGAUUUGUGGCACAGGAGGAUGGGACAUGUGAACUACAAUUCUCUGAAUAUGAUGCAAAAGAUGGAUUUGGUCAGUGACAUGUCUAAAAUUGAGCCAAGGGAUGCUGUGUGUGAAGUCUGUCAGUUAGGAAAACACACCAGGUUACCAUUUCCUGUCAACAAAGCAUGGAGAGCUCAUGGGAAGCUUCAGCUGGUUCAUACAGACAUUUGUGGACCAAUGAAGACCACCUCCUUAAAUGACAGCAGGUACUUUGUACUUUUUAUUGAUGAUUAUUCAAGGUUCUGUUGGGUGAAUUUUUUAAAGCAUAAGUCAGAUGUUUAUGGUUCUUUUUGCAAAUUUAAAGCCUUGGUUGAAAACCAAGCAAAUUGCAAAUUGAAAUGUUUGAGGUCUGACAAUGGUUCUGAGUAUGUAUCUCAGAAGUUCCAAAAAUUGUGUGAUGAUGCUGGAAUUCAACACCAAUUGACUACUGUGUACACACCACAACAAAAUGGUGUCUGUGAAAGGAAAAACAGAACAGUCCUUGAUAUGGCUAGGUGUUUGUUAUUUGAGGCUAAAAUGCCUAAUGCUUUUUGGGCUGAAGCUGUGAAUACAGCUGUUUACUUGUUGAAUAGGCUGCCAACUAAUGCAGUCAAGGGUAAAAUACCCUUUGAAGCCUGGUUUGGACAAAAACCAUCUGUCUCACAUUUGAAGGUAUUUGGUUGUCUAUGUUAUGUGUUGGUACCUGAGGAGAGAAGAACCAAGUUGGACAGGAGGUCCAUGCCUGGGGUGUUUGUUGGCUACAGCAAUGUGAAGAAAGGAUACAGAGUCUUUGAUCCACUGACCAAGAAGGUUGUAGUGAGCAGAGAUGUGAAAUUCAGUGAAGCAAGUAGCUGGAAAUGGGAUGGAAUUGAAGCAAAUUUGCCCGAGGGAGAACAGAUUGAUGUUGAUCUGCAGCAAGCUGAAAAUGAAGAAGUAACUGAAAAUGGCUAUGAUGAUGAACCUGUUCGAGGCACCAGGACAUUAACAGACAUCUAUGAGAGAUGUGCAGUAACCAUAGUAGAGCCUUCAUGUUUUGAAGAAGCUGCAAAAGAAAAGUGCUGGCAGGAUGCUAUGGAAACUGAAUUUAAAAUGAUUCAGAAAAAUGAUACAUGGGAGCUUGUGGAUAGACCUGAAAAUAGAAGAAUCAUUGGUGUCAAAUGGGUCUUUAGGACUAAAAACAAUGCUGAUGGUACUUUGAACAGACACAAGGCUAGAUUGGUUGUAAAAGGUUAUAGUCAGCAGCAAGGGGUUGAUUUUUCUGAAACCUUUGCACCUGUUGCAAGGUUGGAUACUAUCAGAUUACUGCUUACUUUGGCAGCUCAAAAGCACUGGAAGGUGCAUCAUUUAGAUGUUAAGUCAGCUUUUUUAAAUGGCUUUCUUAAUGAAGAAAUAUUCAUAGAGCAACCUGAAGGUUUUGAGGUCUCUGGUGAAGAACAGAAGGUUUACAAGUUGAAAAAGGCCUUAUAUGGCCUAAAGCAGGCUCCAAGAGCCUGGUAUGAGAGGAUUGAUGGCUACUUGGCAAGGCUUGGGUUCACAAAGAGUGUCAGUGAGCCUACACUCUAUGUUAAGAAGGAUCAGGACGAAACCUUGUUAAUUAUUUCCUUGUAUGUUGAUGAUUUGCUAGUCAUUGGCUGCAAAGAUAAACUUAUUGAAGACUUCAAGAAUCAGAUGCAACAUGUCUUUGAAAUGACUGACCUUGGUCUAAUGACCUAUUUCCUUGGUAUUGAAAUCAGACAAGGAAGUGAUGGAAUUUUUAUAAGUCAGCAGACUUUUGCUUCCAAGGUACUGGAAAAAUUUUGCAUGCUGAAAUGCAAAUCAGUUACUACACCUGUUGCAUUGGGGGAGAAAUUGUCAAGUGCCAGUAAGCAUGAUCGAGUAGAUGAGAAAGCAUAUAGAAGCUUAAUUGGUUGUCUGCUUUAUUUAACAGCAACUAGACCAGACAUUGUCUAUGCUGUUAGUCUACUUUCAAGGUUUAUGCACUGUAGUAAUGUGGCACAUCUGAAAGCAGCAAAAAGAGUGUUAAGGUAUGUCAAAGGUACCAUCGAUGCUGGUGUGAAGUUUUGGAGGGCAAAGGAGCUGAAACUUGUAGGCUAUUCUGAUAGCGAUUGGGCAGGGUCAGUUGAUGACGCGAUGAGUACUUCAGGUUAUUUUUUCACCUUAGGCUCGAGUGUUUUCAGCUGGAGUUCAAAGAAGCAACAAACUGUUGCACAAUCCACAGCAGAGGCUGAGUAUAUCUCAGCUGCAGCAGCAGUAAAUCAAGCCAUUUGGCUUAGGAAGAUUUUGGAUGAUUUGAAUGAAAAUCAAGCUCAGCCUACUAAGAUUAGAGUGGAUAACCAAUCAGCUGUGGCCAUAGCCAAAAAUCCAGUCUUCCAUGGUAAGACUAAACACUUCAAAAUCAAAUUUCAUUUUGUUAGAGAAGCUGAGCAAUCGAGGGAGGUUAGCUUAGUUCAUUGCAGUUCAGAAAUUCAGUUAGCUGACAUUUUAACUAAACCAUUGGGAGCCAACCGAUUUAAUGCUUUGAAAGAAAAGAUUGGUGUUUGUUGCAUACAGCCCAAGGAGGAGUGUUGAAGCUGUGGCCUGCAGUGCAACAGAGAACCAGUAGCAGAAAAUUGAUCAAAGACCAGCAGCAACAAAUUGUAUAAUUUGAGCUGCUACACUGUUUUGAAGUAAAGUAAUGAAGCUGGUUCUCAUGGAAGAUCACAUUUUAGAUGUUUUGUUCCUAUGGAACUUUGUUCAAUUCUUUUGUAUUUUGACAGCAAAGUCAGUAGGAAAAUUGACUGAUGUAAUAGCUGGUAUGCCAGCCUUCUUUUGUAAUCAACUUGCAUUAUUUUAGUAUGUAUUAAGUAAGGGCAGUUAAGUUAGUAGGUAACUGUCAAACAUUACUUGUAACUCCCAUAUAUUCAAAAAUUUGAAUGAAAAAUACAUGACUUCAGUUACAAUUCUUUGCUGAGUUUUUUUUUAUUUCUCUUUUUGCUUCAUUUGGUUUGCUUCUUUGUACUGCCAUUUAUCCAACAAAUAGGACUUUGGGGAAUGGGUGGUAUUGGCAAAACUACCCUUGCUGAUGUUGUAUAUAAGGAAGUCUCUCCAAAGUUCGAAAGUAGUUUGUUUCUUCAAAAUGUUAGUGAGAAAAUAAAAAAACAGGGGAAUGAAAUUUUACGAAAUGAACUUCUUUCCAAAAUAUUAAAGGAAAAAGAAAUUUGUAUCGAUACCCCUUCCAUAGGAUACCCUUACAAUGAGAGGUUGAACAAUAAAAGAGUACUAGUUGUCCUUGACGAUAUUAGAGACCCAAACCAAAUAGAUUUUAUGGGUGUUAAACAUUUUGGUCCUGGAAGCAAAAUCAUUGUAACAUCCAGAGAUAGACAAAUACUUAACAAUGGAGGAGCUAAUAAAAUACAUGAGGUAAAGAAGUUAAAUACGAAUGACUCUCUUCAACUUUUUUCUACAUUUGCAUUUAAGCAGUUGAAUCCUGCAGCUGAUUUUCGAGAUCUAUCAUGCAAGUUUGUAGAAUACGCCCAAGGUAAUCCACUUGCUUUUAGAGUUUGUGGUUCUAAACUAUACAAAAAGUCUAGAAAAGAAUGGGAAAGCGAGGUGGAUAAACUGAGGGAAUGUGCGCAACCACAAAUUGUACAGAUUUUGAAGAGUAGCUUUAAUGGGCUUGAUGAGAUAGAGAAGAAUAUAUUUCUCGAUGUUGCAAUCUUCUUUAAAGGGGAACGAAGAGAAAAUGUAGAAGAAAUUCUCACUUGCUGUUAUAAGGGUGUAGAUGGUGUAAUAAGGAGCUUGCUUGACAAGAGCUUACUUGAUACCAAAAGUUAUUCAGAAAUUUCUAUGCAGGAUAUGCUUGAAGAGAUGGGUAGAGACAUUGUUCGUCAAGAAUCUAGAAGACCUGAAAAGCAAAGUAGAUUAUGGAAUCCUAAAGACGUGGAUCAAGUGCUCAAAUAUAAUAAGGUAACUAAGUGCUAAUAGUCUUUGGAUUGUAUAUGUUGUUCAUAUAUUUGUUGAUUUAACAAGUGUAUAAAUUCAAUUAAUUAACAAUUUUAGUUAUUUAUAGUUAUUUUCAAUGUUUAACUUAAAUGUUCUUUUAUCUGUUAUUAGGGGACUGAUUUAACUAAAGGAAUAAAGGUAUGCAUGUCUCCUACUGAUAUUCGACGGAUAAGCCCUACUGCUUUACAGAACAAGCACAUCUUCGAUUUAUCUACUUUUCUUUGACUAAAUGGGUUGGGGGAUUUGCUUAUGACCAAGUUUAUGAUAUUGCAUACCUUCCUAAUGAGUUAAGGUGUCUUUGUUGGGAUUAUUAUCCUUUCAAAUCUUUAUCAUCAAAUUUUAAUCCAAAGAAUCUUGUCGUAUUGAGACUACGAGGUAGCAAUGUGGAAUAACUUUGGGAUGAAGAUGAACAUCAGGUAUAUACUUUUUUUAUUUUCUUCAUUCAAGAUUAAAAAAAAAAGUUUUAAAAUUGAUGUAUAUAGCAUCUUAUUAAAAAAAAUUAAAAAUAAAUACUAAAGAUUUAGAAGAAACAAUUUCAUUUGAUUUUUUAAUGGUGAAUGAAUUUAUUAUACUACAACAGCACAUCAAAUAUAUUAUAAUAAUUUAUUUUUGAAGUAAUAUAGCUAAUUUAUAUUAUCAUUUGGUACAGGAUCUUGUUAAUUUAAGGCAAAUCGAUGUUUCUUAUUGUAAAAAAUUAAGAAAGAUCCCUAAUUUAUUACGAGCCAUCAACCUUAAAAGAGUUAUCGGUAGUUGGUGUGAUAAUUUGGUUGAAAUUCCAUGCCUCGAUCAUUUGGAAUCUCUAGAUGAACUUGAAUUGGAGGGAUGUUGUAAUCUCAAGAUGUUUCCCACGGUCUCAAAUAUCUUUUCGGAGUUAGACUUAUCGUAUACUGGAAUAGAAGAAGUGCCUGAUUCAAUUGGGUAUCUCGACAUGCUUGAAUGUUUGGAUUUGUCACACUCAAAAGUCCAAAGUGUAUCAAGCAAUAUUUUAAAGUUGAAAAAGCUUGAUGAUCUGGAUCUUAGUUAUUCCAUGAUCACUAAAUUGCCGGAAACCCCAAAGAACUUGACGUGCUUAAACUUAAGUGGGACUAAAAUUAAAGAAGUGUCCUUGUCUUCCAACCCUUUAAGUAAUCUUCGGAAGUUGGAUAUGGGCUUCUCAAGCAUUCAAAAGCUACAGUGCAAUAUCGCCCUCUUUUGUUCAGGACAGACAACAGUUGAUGCGCCCUCACCAAUCUUGAGGUUUAAAAGCCUUGGAUGUUUGACAGUGCAUGAAUGCAACAGUCUUAAAUUACUCUCCGAGCUUCCUCCAUAUCUGCGGCAAUUGGAUGCGAAUUACUGCCUAUCAUUAGAAGAAGUAUCGUUCUCAACUCAACAUCAAGAUCUAUAUGAACUUCAUUCUAGUUUUGAUAAUUUUGACUGCUACAUGUUAUUCAACAAUUGCUUCAGCUUGAAUCAAGAUUCAAUUGAUAACAUUUGGGCAAAUGCCAUGCUCAAAAUUAGAUUCCUAGCCAAGAAAUGGGUAUCAAAAUAUCGUCUUCGUCCACCAGUUUUUUAUUCAUGUUUCCCAGGAAACGAAAUUCCAUCAAAUAAGUUCGAAUAUCAGAGCAAUCAUUCUUCCUUAAUCUUGAAGAUAGCCCCAAAUGGGUGUAAUGGGAGCAGAUUCUUGGUUUUUUCCAUCUGCCUUGUGGCUGACCUCACUGAACUUCUCUUGGAUAGUUCUGAAUUUAUCUGUGAAUGCCAAUUGACAGCUGCUAGUGGUGCUCGUCAUGAAAAGUUCAAAAGUGUGUGGCAAGGCAAGCAAUAUCAUAGCGCAUCGAUGGUGUUCAUGGGUGACCAUGUGUUGAUCCUAUUUGGUGGUGAUAUGGUUAAAAAAGACAAGGGUUAUGAGCAGGCAACAUUUGAAUUCUACCUCAAAUACAUGGGCGAAGAAAAUAUGAAGGUGAAGAAAUGUGGUGUAGAUGUAUCUUACGUGGAUGAAGAACCUAGGCACACUUAAACACAAGUAAGUGGGUUUCAUUUCAGUUAACUUGUGUGGAAAUAAACUGCUUUAGAACCAAAAUGACAUCUAACUUGCUCUGCUUUAGAAAUUGCUAAACCAUUUUUUCAAGAAACUGAAACCUUGCAGUUCUACCAUGUAAAUGUUAAAAGUAGAGUUUGUGAUAAUUCUACAUAACAAGGGAAAUUUGUAAAGAGUUUAAGGGUUGAAUUUCUUUCUAGAAAUUAUAGUUUGUGACAGUUGCUUAUUUGUUUACUUAAAAGAGUUUAAGGGUUGUGUCUGUUUUUUUUUUUCAGGUACAAAAUAGAUUGUGAAGAACGAAAUUGGAGGGCAACUGAAUAUUUGAAUAGAGUAACAAAAAGUUUCUGCUUUGGAUUUCAUAAAAGUAUCCAUAGGAGGACAUGGUGGGCUCCCGAAUUCAGAUAUUAAGAUUCAUACUUUAAUUCUUUUUUGACAGCUGACUUGUUAUUGCUUGGUUUUAAUUCAUAGGAUCAGUGAUGGACAUCAUUCAGCUUCAUUGUUUAGUUUCUGGCAUUGGUGCUCAUGACAUAGGCAGAGUAAGUAGAGAUUUGAUCAUCUUGUAUCUCUAUACUCAAUGCAUUUUCAUUCAAUGGUAUAUUGACUCAUUGAUAUACAUUUCAUGUUUCGUUUAAAAGCUAGUGUUUGAUCACCUGAUUUCUGAUUUUUAUUAAUGUUAAUCAGAAAGAUUGGUUUUUUCUUAUAACUUAAGGCUUUUAUGUUGAUGUAAGACUAGGUGGUUGGUAUUUUCUGUGCAUUGUCUUUUAGAAUUAUAUAACUUUGAUCUCUAGUGGUCUCGAUGUCAAGGUUGUGACCAAUGCAAGACAAAAUUUAUCUAACAUUAUAGAUGUGCUUUUCAGUGACAGGGUUUAAUGAAUUGUAGUAUAAGUAAGCCAAAACCUAGAGUUUAAGCUUUGACUUUAGAAAUUUGCUACUAUCGGGGGAACGAAGACAACAAAGAGUGUAGAGGGAAUAAAUGGCAGAUCUUUGCAAAGGCCAUUAUACAGAAAACGAGGAAAAAGUAAGCUUUUAAUUUCUUCUGCUGAAUGCUUGCUUUAUAUUAUAGUUGAACUAAUAUCUUGAGGCAGUACUGCAACUUGUCAACAAAUAUGCCUUCUGGUUUUGGAGCUUUAGAGGAAACAUGUGUUCUUGGCAAUUUAGCCUUCCUGGAAAGGUAAAUUACUUUUGAUUCAUUGUGAUUUUUUAGCAACCUUACCUCAUGGCCUUCUUUUUCCUGAUUUAUCAAUGCAUCAUAUAAAUCCAGAAUUGGCAGAGAUUGCUUUUUCCCUUAACUUGUGGAAUGGACACAUGAAGUUGGAGGUUAUUUUCAAUGGCAACUUUGGACUGUAUUCGUUCUCCUGCUAGAUUGGUGAGCUAUUUUGUUCGAAGUGAAGAAUUGGUUUCAUGGAAGACCAAUUGGAGUUGAAAGCAGGGUGAAAGAGAUAUUGUAUCGGCUUGAAUUUCUUCUAUUGAAUGUGUUGGAGUUAAAACAGAAGCAGACAAGCUCAGCUUGAGUCUUGUGCAACAAGCCUCGAUGCUUGCUGUGCAAACAAACAGAUUCGAGCAAGAAGAGAAAAAAAAAAAACUAAGGAAAAAUGGAGAUAGUUUGAAGAACAAAUCUGAAUUCAUUCAUAAGUGAAUAAUGGCAUAAUGCCAAUACAUAAAACAAAGCACUAAGCUUGUCAAAAACAGCAAGUAAUCACCUAAACAUUACCUACCUCCACUAAUUACAUGGAAACUUGAAACUUAAACUUGUAAGCUUGAACAAAGCUGUGUUUACAGCUCACACUCUAGCUAAUUACAUCAAUCAUAGGCCUAACUUAGUUAGAAAUGAACUAAGAUACAUUUCAUUAACUAAAUAUAACAAAAUGAACAAAAUAAGCUUGCAUCAGCAGCUCUUGCAUCAGUUCCAGCAUAACUUGAUCUCCAUGGCAUGCUUGCUGUUGAGUGUUUGCUACAUGCUGGCCAACUUCAACAGAAUGCUUGCUUUAUAUUUUUAGUUGAAGUGAGAUAUUGAGGCAGUACUUCCAUUUAAUCCAGAAUUGUUAGAGUUAGAGGUAAAUUUAAUUUAAUUCAAUCGAGUUGUUGAUGAUAAUUCGAUUUAGUUAUUUUUUUUUUUAGAGUUCAAUUCUUACUCACUUAUGGGACCUUUCUCUUUUUAUUUUUGCUUACAGUAGAUAUAAAGAAGAGCGUGCAUAUUAGUGUUUGCAAGCUAUUUUAGUUCUAUUAAAAAGCUAGAACUCAUUUUAGUAAUUAUUGAGUUGAGUUCGAAUUAAAGUACAUAUAUAUUUACAGUUUUCAUUUUUUUUUUGUAGAAAAACUUGUAUCGUAAAGUUUUCAUUGUGGGUUAUUUAAUGUGUUUAAAAAUUUAAACUAUUGCAAAUAUUAAUUUUCAGUUUUUUUCAACAAUUUAUCAAACAAGAUCUGUAUUAAUAUGACAUCAACUUAAUUAAAAUCUUUAGAAUUAGUAAAUUAAAAUGCUUAAUGUCAAGGUUUAAUUGGAGAAGUGGUUAAAGUUCUUAUUUGACACUUGAGUAAUGUGGGUUUAAACCUUGUCAAUCUAAGUUCGGCUCAGAUAAAAAAAAAUCUUAAAUAUUUUCUAAACCUACUUUUUGAACCUCAUAUUUUCUAUCUGAACUCUCUUAUGUUUUAAACAAACCUUCAAGCUAGUUCAACCCCUUGAAUAUAUCUACUCUCCAUUUGCAUAUUGCCAGUAAUACAAGUUGCUAUAUAAUAAUAAUAAUAGUUGUCUCAAAAAAAUCUUUAAUAAUAUAGUAAAGUAAGAUAUAAGUUAUAAGACGUUUGGUUCAUAAUUGAUUAAAUAAAAACUUGUGGGUUACAAUGAAAUUUCUUAUAUUGUGGGUGGGUGUUUUUGUCUAAGCCCACCCAAAAUAAGAGAACUUUUAGUUUAAAUCAAAGUUGAGAUGGAUUAAAAAAAAAUCUAAAAUCUUGUUUAAUUUUACUUUUAGGACAUCAUAUUUUUAUUCAAAAUUUCUUAUAUUUUGAACAACCUUUAAAUUUCAACGAAAAAUUUGGCUCUACUCCUGUUUAUUGUUGGUAAUAUGUUUUUCUUGCCUAAUCUGUGAAAUAAUUGUUCAAGUAUUGAUUAAUGUACUAUUUGGUCCCCCACGCCCCACAAUUAAAUUCACAUCAUAUUGAUUUUCUUGUGUUUUUCCUUAUCUUCAUUCAUUGAUUGCAAAAAACAAAUCCAUGCAAUUCUACAAAGCUGUCAGAGUCAUCCUCUUGGCUGAAUUUUCAUGGAAAAUCUGCAGAUUACAGUCUUAUAGCUGUCAUUUCAUAAUGCACCAAAGCAUGAAAAUUGACCCCUUGAUAUGUGACUCAUAACUUUUAUUUUUUGUGGGUGAUAAAUUCCUGGUUGGGUUUUAUAUAAGCAUUUUAUUUUCGAGAUUAAUUUAAAAUUUAAAGAUCAUUAGCUAAUGGACCUGAAUAUAAAGAUCAUUUGAAAUCCAAAAACAUGAUGGAUCAGACAUUGUUAUGGUAGCUUAAACGUUUUUAGAAUUAGCAAUGUAUAAUUUAGCCAUGGACCUUAAUUUAUGUAAAAUUAGGAAAUACAAAAUUGCAAUGUACUUUAAGAUUACCUAAUUUUACAAUCUAAUUAAAAUGAUAAAGUUUCAUACAAUGAUGUUCACAAUCAAAUGGAAUAGAUUUGAUUAAACAUCGGCUGCAGCUUACAAGCAACACAUGAAACCAAAAAAACAACAAUGCCACAUAAUGUAUAAUGUCAAUAGCCACCAUGUCAUGAACGUAAAAUCCAAUCUACCCCGUCCUUGGCCGAUAUGCCUUAGCAAGACAUUAACAAAAAUCGAUAUCUUUUGCCUGAAGGAUUGAUCGAUCAACUUGAAUACAUCCCCCAAAGAAUCCGAGGUUGAAUUGAUACAAAAUGAACCUGUCAUGCUCUAGUCCGAAGCUUCAGACGCAAUAUAAUAGCUCGAAUCACAAACACGUUUUGCGACCGCUGCAAUUCUAGCACCCUCUUAACAUCAUUCUUCUGAAACAGUGACUGUAAAUUCACCACGAAGAAUCAAGUCAAAUGGGUGUACCAUGAAACCAACUCUUCACUUUGAAGUUCCAACUAAACCAAAAUCAUUUGGAUUUUUUCCCAAGUGUUUAUGUUGGGUUUCUCUAUGGGAUAAACAUAAAAGCUCAUCAAUCUAACUUGAGAAUGAAAACUGUGAUAGGGUUUGCAUUGAAAAUAACAUCCAGGCUCCAUGUCUUCAUUCAACGAGUUUUGCGAUAAGAGCAACUCUGCCAAAUUCUGCAUGCAUUUAUAUAAUCUAUUUUAAAUCAGGGGAAACGAACACCAUGAGGAUACUAAAAAUCAGAAUGAGCAAAAGUAAUUUACCCACGAGCAUAUGCUUCCUCUCAAGGGCCAAAAUCCAGAAAGCAAAGCUGGAUUGGGUAAACUCUGUUGACAAGUUGCAGUACCGCUUCAAUAUCUCAGUUCAACCACAAUAUAAAGAAAUCAUUCAGUACAAGAAAUUGAACAUCUUAAAAGCUUACUUGUUUCAAACAUCUGUCAUUUAUUCCUCAUCUGCUCUCCUAACAUCAAUCAUUGCCAUCUUUAUUCCCUUCAAAUUACCAAAUUCAAAAGGUAAAAGCUUAAUCUCUGGCUAAAAGGGCACCUCUAUAAAUGUGAGUGAGAUCAAAUGGAUUUUGCAUUGAUUCGCAACCUUCACCUUAACACCAGUAAUUUUGUGGAACUUCAUUUGCUGGUGAGAAAGACGACAUCCAAACCACCCAUAAUCUGCAACUUCAAUUCCAGUAGAGUAUUGAAUCUGUGUCCCGCUUGACUUUCUUGCAAGUUUUAUGGAAUCUACAGAUCACAGUCAUAAAAUUCAAAAUAACAAAACAUAACAAAUAAAGCCUCUUUUGUGUAUCACUAUUGGCUUCCUCAAAAAAAGCUUCUUCGGCAGAGUAAAAACUGCCGUCGGAUUCAUCAUUGCUCAUCUCAUUUAAGUUGGAGUUUUCACUGGAUUCAACAUUGCCAUCGGCACAACUCUUUGCACCCACGUAAAAUACAUGAACACCGCAUUUCUUUACCUUGAAAUCAUGGAGACAUAUUUUUUCACCCUCUUCAUUGUAGCUAUAACUUCUGAUGUAGAAUUCAAAUGUUGCCUCUUCAUAAUUCUUGUCUUCUUUAACCAUAUCCUCUUGAAAUAGAAUCAAUACGUGAUCACCCAUGCAGUUCCACUCUGACUCUAAACUCCCACGGUCAUAUAACACACUUUUGAACUUUUCAUAACCACCAACACCAUCACUACAACUAGAGACUGUCAGUUGGUAUUCACAGGUAAGUUCAAGUUUUCCGAAACCACUACAGUGGGUGAGAUCGGCCACAAGGCAGAUAGCAAAAGCCAAGAAUCUUCUCUUACCACACACAUUUGGUGCUAUCUUCAAUGUUAAGGAAGAAUACACGUUCUGGGACUCGAACUUAUUUGCUGAAAUUUCUGUUCCCGGGAAACAGCAAACCAAUGAUGGAAGAAAAAUAUUUUGCCCUGCCCAUGUCUCUGCUAUGGAUCCAAUUUUGAACAUGGCAUUUGCCUCAAUGCUAUCAAUUGAAUCUUGAUUCAAAUUAAUGCAAUUGAAGAACAUCAUGCAUAACUUAUACGGAUCACCAAGAAAACCGUGUUGUUGUAUGAACGAUACUUUUUCUAAUGAUGGGCAGUCACGUGCAUCCAAGCGCCAUAAAUGUGGUGGAAGAUCUAAGAGUAAUUUAAGGCUCUUGCAAUGAUUCAUCGUCAAAUUUCGAAGGCUUUCAAACCAUAAGAUUGAUGAGGGCACAUCAAUGGUUGGAAUCUUUCUUGAACCAGAGAGGGAAAUAUUGCACUGUAGCUUUUGAAUACUUGAGCCGCUCAUAUCCAAGUCUGCAAGAUUACCUACGUAGUCGAAAGACAAGGACACUUGUUCAAUUUGAGUCUUUGAUAAGUUCAAACUACAUAAGCUUUUUGGGAUUUCUGGAAAUUUGGUGAUUGGGCAAUGACUAAGUUCCAAAUCAUAAAGGGAUUCCAACUUCAAAAUAUUGUUGGACACAUUUUUAACCCUUGAGUUUCUCAACCGUAAUCGUCUAAGCCAGAUGAGAUGUUCAAUUGAAUCAGGCACUUCCUCUAUUCUCGUUCCUUCUAAAUCCAAGUAAUGAAAAUGACUUGGGAUCUCAGGAAUCUUCUUGAGAUUAUGACAUCCAUCAAGAUCAAAACUUUCAAGAGAAGCCAAAUGAGUCAGGCAAGGAAGUUCAACCAAACUUUCGCACCCCAUACAGCAAAGGCUUUUAAGGUUGAUUGCCCCGAGUAGACUAGGAAUCUUUCUUAAAUUCUUGCAAUCAAAAAGGUCAAUUUCCUUUAAACUAACAAGAUCCUGGCAAAGAAAGUAUAAAACAGCUAUGUUACUUCUAACCAUCGUCUACAUGCUUUGGGCAUAUUGAAAUUUAAAAGAAAAAUUAAUUAUUACACUGAAAAUAAAAACUAUAAAUAAUAAUAAUAAAAAAUAAGAUAUCAUUGUAUGGUUAUCUAAUACAUCAACUAUAAAUCCUUUUUUUUUUAAAUAAAUUCUUGGAUAAAGAAAGUAUGAAAGAAUAUACCUGAGGAUUAUUUCCAUUCCAAAGUUGUUCCAUAUCACCAUGUGGUAAUUUCAAUACAACAAGAUUUUUUGGGUUAAAACUUGAGGAUAAAGAUUUGAACGGGUAAUACUCCCAACAAAGAUACCUUAGCUCAUCAGGAAGAGAUACAAUAUCAACUUGGUCUGCAAGUAGCUUUUUAUUCCAACAUUCCCCAAAUUUUCGAGGAAGAUAAAAGUGGAUAAAUCUAAGAUUUAGCAUAUUCUCAAAAACAGUAGGAGAUAACUUUAAAUUAUCAAUUUGAGACAUGUCUAACUUUAUUCCUUUAAUUGCUUCAUUUCCCUGAUAACAAAAAAAAAAAUUUAUCAGCAUAAAGAAAUAUAUAGGAAUUCCAUUAAAUAGAAGUAAAUAGACUUAGACUAGUUGACCAUACCUUUCUAUUGCAAAAAUUUUGACAUAUAUUAAAAGUGUUUAAUUUUGUUUUUUUAAAAGCAAUGUAUUAUUAGAUAUCUAAUAAUCAAUAUUGAUUAUUAUGUGUAUGGUAGGUAAAUAGAUAUCUUCAUUUUUGAAAUAAUAAUUAAAAGAGUUAAUAUUUGACAUGAUGUUCGUGUAUAGAUUUAUAAAUAUACCAUUAAACUUACUUUAUUGUAUCUCAGCAUUUGAUGCACAUUAUUAGGACUCCAUAGUCUACUGCAAUUUCCAAUGCCUGUAGCUUCUUGGCGAAUAAUAUCCUUGCCCAUCUCUUCAAGAAUAUCAUGCAUAGAAAUAAUUAGAGGUCUUCCUGCAAAUGCUGAUUGACAUGUUGAUGCUGAGCGAGGCCGUCUGAGAUCUUGAAGUCUGAGAUCUUCCUCAAGCAUAUCUUGAAAAUGGAUGGUGUCAAGUAGGCAUUUAUCCACCAAAUUGCUUAUUCCACACACUGCACCAUUAUACAAGGAACAUAGAAUAUCUUCUACUUCUUUCUUAUAUUUCCCUUUGAAGAAACAUGCUAUGUCAAGAAAUAAAUUCUUCUCUAGUUCAUCUAGCUCAUCAAAGCUACUCUUUAAAAUUUGUGAUAUUUUUGGUUGGCCAUAUUCCUUUAGUCUAUCCACCUCGCUCUCCCACUCUUUUCUAGAUUUCGUAUAUAGUUUAGAACCCAAAACCUUAAGAGCAAGUGGAUUGCCUUGGGCAUAUCUUACAAAUUGGUUCGAUAGAUCUCGAAAAUUAGCAGUAGGAUUCAACUGCUUAAAUGCAAAUGUAGAAAAGAGUUGAAGAGAGCUUUUCUCAUUUAACUCAUUGACCUUGUGUAUUUUUUCAGCUCCUCCAUUCUUGAGAACUUGUCUAUCUCUAGAUAUUAGAAUGAUUUUACUUCCAUCACCAAAAUGUUUAACACCCAAGUAAUCUAUUAGGUCUGGGUCAUCAACAUCAUCAACAACAACAAUUACUUUUUUAUUGUUGAGCCUCUCUCGAAUAAAAGCGGACCCUAUGGAGGGGGUAAGUACAUCAAUUUCUUGGUUUAAUAUUUUAGAAAGAAAGUUAUUUCGUAAAGACUCCAUCCCUUGUUUGCGUAUUUUCUCUCCAACAUUUUGAAGAAACCAACAACUUUUAAACUUUGAAGAGAUUUCAUGAUAUACAACAUUAGCAAGAGUAGUUUUGCCUAUACCAGCCAUUCCCCAAAGCCCUAUUACACGACAAUCGUUUUGAUUAAUUAGCUUCAAGAUUGUCUUUUUCUGAUAAUCUAUUCCAACCAAUUCUUCAAAAGCAGUACUGGAUUUGUUAUUCAUCAGCUUUUUUGCAACAUAUUCAACGAUAUCAUUGAUGUACUUGGUUUCAGGUCUAGACAACAAGACAAAAUGAAAGUUAAAACUAAAAUAAGUCAAAUAUAAGAAGAUUAGAGAAAGAGAGUUACCUGUCGAACUUGCCACCUUCAAUAUGCCACCCUUUUAAUUUACCGACGUCAGCAAAGGCUUCUUUCCAUCGUUGUACUUGAUCUAAACUUUUUGAUUCAUGGUCAUUAAAGGAUGUUUUGAAACUGCCACCAAGGUUCCGCACAUCAGAAGGAUCAACAUGGUAAAAGAUGGGAAGAACAAUUUUUCGUCGAGUGAGCUUGCAGUACAUGAUGCAAGAAAUUUCAGCCAAGCAUGAUUUCGAAGAAGCAUAGUCUUUAGAUAAAAUGAUGAUCGAGAGAUUUGAGGCCAUAAUUGCAUUUGAAAGUGCUGGUGAAAUUUGCUCCCCUCUUUCCAAUGUUUCUUCAUCGAAGAAGACAUUCAGUCCCGUGUCUUUCAAAGCUUUGAGUAGAUGACUGGUGAAGUUAAGGCGCGUGUCUUCACCCCUGAAGCUCAAGAAAACUUGGUGCUUCGUUUGACGAGAAGAAGAUGAAGAAGACGCCAUGAAAGAUUAUGGAUAAUGUGAUUGAGGCAAAGAGAGAAAAUUAUAGCAAGGGAGCUUUGGUUUGCCUAUUGAAAAAGAAAAGUUUAAAAUAUGGAUCCAUCAUCAGUAGGAACCUUUUAUUAAAUGGAUAGGAGAUUUCUGACGAAUCAAAGGAGAUUCGUGCAUCGCAAGGGAGGGGCACAGUAGAUCGGAAAAUACCUUUUGGAUGGAGGACACUCCGGCGUUGGCGAGAGAGACGGUGGCUGCAGAGGAGAUGAGAAAUGUUCCCCGAACGACUGAAUGAUGUGUUUAGGGACGACCGGACUGGCCUGAUGGUUUACUGGCGGCCACGCUUCAGUCACCGGAGAAGUUUUUUGAUGGUGGGUCUGUUUUCUACCGGGUUUCCAAUUAAUUUUUACUUUGUCGGUUCCAGAUGUCCUUUGGAAUUCUCUAAACUGAUAAAUGUUGGUUGUUUUUUAUUCUUUGGAUUACUUUAAUGGAGAUAACGGUUUUACCCCUCAAAAAAAAAAAAAAGGAGAUUCGUGCUUAUCAAAAAAGUAACAUAUUUAAAAAAAAGUUAUUGUUGGUUGAAUUUUCAAACAUCUUGGGUCAAAACUUAGGUUUGAAUAGCGUUUAAUUUACCAAUUAAAAAUAAAAUAUUAAAAUUAAUUUAUGAGAAUAAAUUAUAUUAGAAUGACAAAAGUAUAAUUUGUAGGCACUAAUAAAAUCAUGCCACGGCAUUAAAAUUUAUAGAUAACAAAGAUUAUUUUACACUCAUUUAUAUCUAAUAUCUUCUCUAACUUAAUUUAACUUUAAUUAAAUUAUUUAAAAUAAUUAAUUUUUUAAAAUUAUAAACAAAUCUUUUCUUCUUUUACAAAAUUUAAUCAUUUUAUUUUUUUCCAUAAGUUAAUAUUUUUAUUUUUGUGCAACCAAUUUUUUUAAAAGAAAAGAUAAAUUUUGUGCAAUUUUUUUCAUGACAUUGACACAUAAUUUUAGUAAUUAUUUUACCUUAAACCUCGAGAUUUAGGAUUUGGGUUUGAGAUUUAAGGUUUAAGUUUAGUGUUGAGGUUUAAAGUUUAGGUUUAGAGUUCAAGGAUUUAGAGUUUAGGGUUUAUGGUUCAGGUUUGAAGAUUUAGGGUUGUAAGUUACAAGUUUAGGAUUUAGGGUUUGGGUUUAAGGGUACGAGUUUGGGGUUCGAGAUUAUCAAAAUUAUGUGUCAAUGACAUGAAAGAAAUUGUCUAAAUGUAAUUAAAUAAUUGGAAAAGGACUAUAAAUAAUGUGGUGGGAAGGGUCCAUAAAAUAAUUUCUCUGUAGAUGGGUGUAUAAUAAUAAUUUUAUGUCUUUAAAUUUUAACAAUGUGUCAAAAUUUUAUUGGUGCCUAAAAAUCUUAAUUUUUAGAAUAUCCUUAUGUAAGUUAUUCCCUUAAUUUAUAUAUUCUUAUAAUUAAAAUUUAUUUAUUUUUUAUACAAAGUCUACACAUAAUCCCUCCCUAUCAAAAGAAAAAACAUAUUUAAGCAUACUCAAAUUUACAUCUUUCUAAUUGUUACAAUAACAACAUAAUCAAUUUGAACAUCCGUGUGAUGCUAUCCUUUUUCUUGUUUGCUGUUAACUUCUAUCACUAGGAGUAUUUCGUUACUUUUUGUGCAUCGCUUAAAUAGUAGCUUUAAUUAUACCUAAAUUAUUAGGUAUUCAUUAUACGGGUGAAAAAUCAAAAUUAUAUAAUAAAUAUAUUUAUAAAAAAUUAAUUAGCUUUUAUUAAAGUAGUGCAAAUGUUAAAAACUGUUAAAAGUUUUUUUUUUCUCCGCCAAAAUAAAAAAAAAAUUUAUUAAAGAGAAGUAAUGGUCAAAACAAACCAAAUGGUUAGAAACUAAAAACAAAACAGCUCAACAUUCAAAAACACCAACUUCAUUCUUGAAACUCAAGCCCUUGCAACAUUCAAAAAUCAAGAUAGCAAAGAUCCCAAAUAGUAUUCCAAAACCUCUCAAGACACACCUAUGCGUUACGCCAAGUGUUAAGUAUGACUCCGAUUUCAAUCAAAUUUGAGAAAUAAUUUUCUAGUUAAACUCUGUUUAUUUGUUUCAAUCAAACACUGAUUAGUUUAGAUUAUUUUAUUAUUAUUUGAAAUAUGAAUUUAGCUUAUAAAUAGGUUCUUUUAUAACCAAAUCUAGUUGAUGGAUAUUAAGUAAAUUUCAAAGCACAAAAUAUUGGUGCCCAAAUUAGUUUGGAUUAUUAUAAUAAUAUAAAAUUAGGCCAUAUUUAGAAACAAAUUAAAAAGGUAAUCCUCUUUUAAUAAAUGUGAGAAAUAGGUCGUACGGCAGCAUUAGUAGUGGAGCUUUUAUUUUAAUGCCACGAUCGAGUGAGAUUAAAAAAUUGUCUUAUUUUAAUUAAGGUUUGGCUCAUUGUAUAUUUUUUAUUUAAACUUUCGUAUUUUAGACAAAACUUUUCAAAUUUCAACAAAUAGUUUGUCCCUUCAAUAAAUCUACUAUCAAUGGAACUCUUUUCCUUGCCUAGUCUCUGAAAGAACUGAUUAAUUGUACGAUUUGAUUCCCACACCCCCAAAGUAUUGAUUCGUUGAUUGCAAAAAAUUUGCUACAAAGAUGCCAAGAAUCUUCUCCUUUUUCCAGGAAGCAACAUAAUUAGGAAUUUCGCUGAAUUUACAAAGAAAAUCUGCAUAUCACAGUCAUACAUAUUGUUCCAAAAUGCAUAAGGAAAAGUAAAAGUUGAUAAUGCACCAAAGCAUGGAAACUCACUUUUUUUUUUGUUUUUGGUGAGGUGAUAAAGACGAUACAUUAAACUUAUUAAUAAAAUAUUUGUAUUGGCUGAGAAAAAGAAAAGGUUGCUUUUGCUUUUGACAUCAAUUUCAAAAUGACUAAUAAACAGCACUUCAAAAUAUCAUCCAACCUUCUUUCUUUCCUCGAAGCUACAUAUGUAGGAAUUUGGAUAAAUCAAACCAGAACCACCCCUGGGCUGAAUUUUCAUGGAAGUUCCACAAAAAUUGGCACAUCACAACCAUACAUAUAGCUUGUAAAAUGCAAAAGGAAAAAGGUAAGUUGAUAAUGCACCAAAGAAUGAAAAUUCUAAAUCACAAGCUAUUUGUACAGCAUGUGAUUCUGGUUGGUUUUAAUUAAUUAAAGCACUUCAUAUUUCUAUCAUUGGCAAUUAAUUUAAAAGCUGGAAAAUAAUAGUUUAUGUGUUAGAACGUAAAUGUUGAGUAAAAUAUUAUUCAACGUGCCAAUAUUGGCACAUUUGCUAAAUAGGUCGGGUCUUGGGCAAGACAUUUUAGCCUUGCUCGAAUUUGACCAUUUCUUUUUUGUUGUUAUUUACUGCUGUUAUAUUGUUGUUUUGCUACAAGCUCAUUUGACGAGAAGAAGAUGAAUAAGAUGCUAUGAAAGUGUAUAGAUUGUGAGAUUGAGGAAGAAGAGAGGAAAGUACACAAAGGGAGCUUUGGUAUCCUAGUAUUAAAUGACAAAUGAGAAUAUGAGAUUUAACAAAGGCAACGAGUGGAGGAGAUCAGCUAAAUUAUCUGAGUCAAGAAAAUUGUCACUCUCACACUUUCCAGGAAAUGACAGUCUUCUUUAUUUGUAUAUUUUACCCACAAAAGUCAAGGUCUUCCAAUGGCACAAUGUUCAGCAAAUGGUUAAAAUCUUAAAAGAGUCCUUGAACUAGUUUACUUUUGUUGUACCCAAAUAAACCCCUAUGUUUUUAUCUGUGUUUAAAUUAGCCCUUAUUUCAAGUGACAUGUUAAUUUUAUUGUAUAAAGCAAUACAUUAGAUAUUUAAUUAAUUUAAUAAAACCCUUAGUAGAUCCAUGUAAUAACUUAAGAUUAGGGUUAGCAUUUGAUAAAAAUAAUUGAAAAGAAAAUUUUAAUUAAUCAAAUUGGUGAGUUUUAUUAUUUAACUAAAUUUUAAACUACAACAUAUAAAUUUGAGUGUAUAUAAAGAUGUAAAAUUGUCUAAUGAUCGAACUUAGAAUUAGUGCCGACUAAAGACUUAAUUUGCCACUCUACUCAUUUUCCGAUUGAAAAUUUCCCUUUUUUUCUUUUUUUUCUGUCAUAGAUAUGAAACAUCGAUAAAAGAAUAUAUUGGAAGAGUAUAGGGUAAGAAAUACUUAUUUCAGUUGUUCUUAUUUAUUCAUUUUCAAAAAGUAUAGGGACUCAAAUGACAAUAAAUAUAAAUAGUGAGGGCUAAUUUUGAUAAAAAAAUCAUCAACAGAAUAAUGAUGUGUCUUUUUUUUUAAAUUAGAAUAAGAAUAAAUUAGUCCUCAACGUAUAUACGUUUUAUAAAAUUAAUAAAAUAUAAACAUUGAGAGUUAAAUUUAUUAUUAUUUUAAUUAAAAAAAAAAGACCUAUCAUGCUUCCGUUAAUGCUUCCGUUAAUAAUUAAUAAUGGAGGAAUGAUUAAAACAAAAACAAAAAAAACUUGAUGUUAAUAACGUUGGUGAUGAAGUUAAAUUUUUGUAUAGUUAUAUGGUUAAAACAAAAGCACUCUAAUACUUAGGUGACCAAUAGUGCUGUUUAAUUACCAUAUAGAUUUAUAAAUUUACUGUGACAAAUGUUAAUUCUAUUACAAAUUAUUUAAAAUCUUUAUUUACAUACCAUACACAUAAUGGUAGGUUGAGUAAAAUUCAAUUUUCUCCUUGAAAAAAUAAAAAAGAAAUUAAAUUUUUGGUUCGAUAUAUUCCCUUAACUUAUCCAUCUCGCUUUAUUAGCUGUAUAUCACAGCCAUGUUGCAAGCCUAUUAGCUGUGUGAUGCAGCCACGUCGCAAGUCUGCUGCAACGUUCUUUGUCUCUAUUCUCCAUUCUGUUGCAUUUUUGACCAUCAAGUCUCCCAAAAACAACAAUCUAUUGCAGUUUCUUGUAAAUCUUAAAAAAGAAAAAAUGUUAUUUGGGAGCUCUCCUUGAGACUACGGCAUUUGUGAAGAUUAAGUGAACCUAGAGAUGCCAAAUGAUUCAAGCAAUAUACAUUCAAUGUCUUCAAGGUUGAUGGCUCCUAAUAGUUUCGAGAUCUUCCUUAAAUUCUUGCAACCAGAAACGACAAAGAGGCUCAAAUUAACAUUAGUAAUAUAAAUUAGCUAUAUAUUAUUUCUAAGCACCAUCCACAUACAAUGGGCUAAAUAAAAAUGAAAAGGAAAAAAAAAACAUUAAUCAUAAAAAAGUUUAUAUUUGAUGUAUUGUCUGUAUAAUCCCACCUACCAUUAAUAGAUCAACUUGUUUCUUUCAGAAAUAAUAUAUAUAUUUUUAUUUUUAGUGGCAAAUGUUUUAAUAAGAUGUCAUACAAUAUAAUUUACUGGCACAUCAAUUAGAAUCAUUUUUAUCUUUUAAAAAAAAUUAUUGGAUGAGCAAAGUAUGAAAGAAUAUACCUAAUGAUCAUCAUCAUCCCAAAGUUGUUCCAUGUUGCCAUUUGAUAACUCCAACGUAAUAAGAUUCUUUAGAUUAAAACUUGAUAAAUUUUUGAAGGGACAAUAACUCCACCGAAGAAGCCUUAAUUCAUUAGGAAGAGAUACAUUAUCAUGCUCCUUUGCAAGUAGCUCUUGUCAGAGUUACUUGAAUAGAAGUAGAGAUAUUUAAGAUUAACCAUGUUCUCAAAAGUAGAAAGAUGUAAUCGUAGCUCAACUUUGAUUUGAGAUAUGUUUAGCUCUAUUCCUUCAAUUGAUUCAAUCCCCUAAUAUAUAUAUAUUAUCAAGCAUCCGUAUAGAUAAAUUUAUGGUUGUAUUAAAUCACUCAUAAAAAAAUAAUUAUGUUAAGAAAGGCUUAGACUAAUUUAGCAUACUUUUUAUUUACAUGAACUUUCAGCCAUAUGAAGUGUUUAACUUUAUUUUGUUUUUUUAAGGCAAUGCAUUAGAUAUUUAAUUAACCCAACAGAAUGAUAGAUACUUGAGUGGAUCCUAUGUUAUACCUUAACUCAUUAGGAAAUAUCUUUUUACGUACCCCAUGUUCAAACCUUUCCAUAAGUACAUAGAAGAAAAAAAAUAUCUAUAGUUAUAUAUGUAUGCUCUAGAAAAUAAUAGGAUAUAAUUGUAUGUUAUCAAUUUAAGACAUGUCUACGUUUAUUCUUUAAAUUGGUUCAGUCCCAUAAUAACAAUAUAUAUCAAGUCAUAAAGAUAUUAAAAAAAUAUGUUUUUUCAAAGCGAUGAAUUAGAUAUUUAACUAACAUUUAUACCGUAAAACAUUGGCCAUAUCAUAUGAAGACAUCUUAUUAAAAAUUCUUAUUUGAAGUAUAGAUUUGCAUUUGAUAAACUGACAUAAUACGAUUCAUAUACUAUCAAUGAAGAAAAUGAUGACACAUAAUUAAAAAUAAACUUGGAUCUUUUUAAAAUCUGAUUAUCUUAUCAUAUGAUUUAUUGAUAGUGCAUUGUGCGUCAGAUUAAACUCUAAUUGCAGUAACAGACAAAGAAAUUUCAGCCUAAACUGAUAUGAUAAUCAAAAUUCAAGAUAAGAAGCUAUCAACUCCAAUGGCUCUACCAUGGAACUAAUCCAAUCUAGCUUGAGAAUGAAAACUGUCGAAGGUUGCAUCUAGCUCCACGAGUUCAUCCCGCAAGUUUUGAGAUCUGUUGCAAAUUCUGGAUUUAUAUAAUCCCAAUGCUAAAUAUGGGAAAAAAUGGUGAGGAUGCUGAAGAUCAUUAUAUGAACCUAAAAUCAUAAUUAAUAAUAAGUCAAAGUCAAAGGUAACUUACUUCUUCACCAAGACUGAAUUGCCAGAACCCAGAAAGGGCCUCAAAGAUUACCUUGAAGUUGUGUUCACAAAUCUGUUGACAACUUGCAUUGUCACCAAAUAUCAGUUCAAGCACUUGUAAAAAGCAAGCAUUCAGCAAAACAAAUUGAAGAUCUUACAGUUCAGGUUCUCCUCCUUGAAACCAUUUGGAAUGUUUGAGAAUCUCUUUGUGUCCCAUUUGACACCAAAAUAUUCGUAUUGUUUAUUUAAGAUUGUUGGGCGUUAGUUUUCUAGUAUUCAAUAAAAACCCAGAAUUUAGAAAUGCCUUUAUGUAUGGGAAAACCCAAAUGGCAACAAUUUUAUUGAAACAAACCAACAUAUCACAAUUGAUGUAAUACAAUAUAUAUAUCUCGUACAUUUAUUCCAAUCAAGUAGAACAGAAUUAUAUAAUUUUUGCAGAAUUUAAAACAAUUAAGUCUAAAAAUAUAAUCCUAGUAAUGAAUUACAGUCACGUUACAUUCAUUAAUGACAUUAGUGGAAUUUAUAAAGUAUGCCUUAAGUAGUGCAAACCCUGUUGCCAUCUUGAAUUGUCCUCUUCCUCCAAUCACCGCAACCUCACGUUCUACCUCUCGUAUCGGAUUCCUUGAAAAUAUGCUUAAAGAGCUGCCAUUAAACUUUCCGGUAGUAAAUGCGAAAUCUACAUACAUCACCGCAUCGGUUGUAUUUGUUCCGGCAAAGACCGCAAGUCCCUGAGCAUUUCCAAUCACCUCAGAGUCAUGCUCAGGACCUAUCUUGAGGGGAUCAUCAAGGGCAUAUAGGGUAGCAAAUGGCACUGAUGAAUUAUUGUCGUUGCUUGGGAUGUUAGCUUGGGCUAUCACCACUGCUGUUGGGUUUUCUCUGCCGAGAGUUUCAUGAAAAAAGAAGUGAAGAUGGGUGACCUUAACUGGCUUGGGAUGAUACGGUCGGCUCUUCGAGUAGUAUUGGCACUGCACUGCUACUAGGGAGAGGCAGACGAUCAGAAUCCAAAUCAACAUCAAUGUUCCUCUCAUUGUCUCCGCUUUACUAUAAUUUCUUGUAGAUGAAAGCUAAUAGAAUGAUCACGUAACAGAAGCUUGGUCUAAUUAGCUGCUUGAUUACUUAUGAUCCACACCAUUCUGUCUAUAAAUAAGAAUCUCUCCACUUCAUAAUUAGAAUCGUCAACUAUUCUGUUAUUAAUUUUCAAUUGGAAGACUUUUCUUAAUAAGAUUUUUCAAUAGCUAAUGUUGAAUUUUUUAGAAUUUGAAUAAAAUUGAUAGAAGUGCAAGCAUAGAAAACCUAAAUUUGUUAUUAGACCGAAAAAAAGUUCACAAUAAACUUCGGUUUUAAAAAGCUGCCUGAUUAAAUCCAAAAAGAAUUAAUAAUUAGAUAACUAAAAUAGAGCGAACUGAAUGAUUAAGUGUAUUAUUGUAGAAAAAAUAACAAGGAAAAAAAUGUGGGGCAUUGUAAAGCAAGUUAACAAUUGUUAUCUUCAAUCCAAAUAGUUGAUUCGCAAGACUGAAAGCUUGGUUGGCUUUUUGUUUUUUUUUUUUUUUCAAUUUUGUCUGCAUUGGGUUUUUUCGUUAAAAAGUAAAAACAAGUUAGGAUGGCAUUAAUUCAAUAAAAAUAUUUAAUAUUAAUAAAUAUUAAAAAUAAUUUUAUUUAUUCAAAUUCAAAGCAUAUUUAGCAAAAAAUAAAAUAGGUAAUUCUUAAAAAAAAAUGUAUAGUCUUUUAUCAACCGCACAACUCAAACCCAAACCACAUCUGAGAUGGUUAACACCCUUGACCAUCAAGCCAUCACAUGAGGCUCACUAAGCAUUUCGUUUUAUACAAUAUCAAAGGUGGAGAUGGAGUAACACAAUUUUAAUCCGUGCUAAACUAAUAUUUAAUAAAAGUCUUAAUCACUACUUCAUACAAGUUUUAAAAUAAAAAUCCUAGACAUUUCAUUAAUAUCAUUAUUUGAUUUUAGUUUUAAAUAUUUUGCUUAAAUUAGCAUGAGACCAACUCUGAAAUUUCAUAAGUUUGUGAACAAUAAUGUUGACUUCUGCACAAUUUGGCAUUUAGGUCAAUUGAAGUGAGUUUUCUUAUAAUUUUCCAAAGAAUAUUAUUUACUCUUACGCAUUUUUGGGUGAAUUGAAGCCGAAAAUGAAGAAAAAAAAACUAAAAUUUCCUACAAUUUCUAAACAAUAAUAUUCACUUUUACACAAUUAAGUUAAUUAAAUUGAAAUUUCAUUCUUAAUAUUGAUUUUUCUUUGAGAAGUCAAAAAAAUUUAUAGAUGGUCAAAAGCAAAGACUAGUAAAACAUCAAUUAAGACUCAAUGCAAAAUAAAAGUGUCACUAAGUCUUUAACCAACGUUGAAAUUAUUGUCAUUGUUUGGAAUUAGGACAAGAUUGAAACAUUAUGAGUUUAAGAAGAUUGAAACUUUGAAAGGUCACAUGUUAUGAUAAUUUCUACCAAAACGUUGAACAUUAUAAUCAAAUGUUUUCCCUUUCCUGAAAAAGAAUUUUAAAAAAUAGUAUAUUGUAUUAUUCUGUUAUUUGUGUGAAUUUUGCAAAUGAAAGGAUUGUUAUUUGUAUUUUUUUUAAUAUAAUGCCUAAGCCAGUAAAAUUCCUCCUAGUUAUUGUAAAAGCUAAUUGAGUUUAGAUUUAAUCACAAUUGAGUUUAAACUUUCCAAAGGGAAAUUUAGACAUGCAUUUAUGUAUGGGAACAAUUUCAUUGAAACAAACCAACAUAUCUCGUACAUUGAUUCCAAUCAAGUCGAACAGAAUUAUAUAAAGAUGUAAUCUUAGUAAUGAAUUACAGUCACGUUGUAUUCAAUAACGACAUUAGUGGCAUUUAUAAAGUAUGACUUAAGUAGUGCAAACCCUGUUGCCAUCUUGAAUUGUCCUCUUCCUCCAAUCACCGCAACCUCACGUUCUAUCUCUCCUGUCGGAUUCCUCGAAAAUAUGCUUAUAGAGCUGCCUUUAAACUUACCGGUCGUAAAUCCGAAAUCUGCGUAAAUCACUGCAUCGGUUGUAUUUGUUCCGGCAUAGACCGCAAGUCCCUGAGCAUUUCCAAUCACCUCAGAGUCAUGCUCAGGAGCUAUCUUGAGGGGAUCAUCAAAGGCAUAUAGGGUAGCAAAUGGCACUGAUGAAUUAUUGUCAUUGCUUGGGAUGUUAGCUUCGGCUAUCACCACUGCUGUUGGGUUUUCAUUGCCGAGAGUUUCGUGUAAAAAGAAGUGAAGAUUGGUGACCUUAACUGGCUUGGGAUGAUAUGGUAGGCUCUUCGAGUAGUAUUGGCUCUGCACUGCUACUUGGGAGAGGCAGAUGAUCAGAAUCCAAAUCAACAUAUAUGUUCCUCUCAUUGUCUCUCUGCUUUACUAUAAUUUCAUGUAGAUGAAAGCUAAUAAAAUGAUCACGCAACAAAAGCUUGGUCUAAUUAGCUGCUUGAUUACUAUGAUCCACACCAUUCUGUCUAUAAAUAAGAAAUUCCCCAAUUCAUAAUUAGACCCGUCAACUAUCUCCUUCGACGAAUACGGAACGAGAAUACAUGUUGCAAGUUCCGUAUUCUAAUGCAGUGGGUAGCUUGAUGUAUGCAAUGGUGUGUACAAGACCCGACAUUUCACAGGCAGUUAGUAUAGUGAGCAGGUAUAUGCAUAAUCCUGGAAAAGGACAUUGGCAAGCUGUGAAAUGGAUUCUACGGUAUAUUCAGAAGACCGUGGAUGUUGGAUUACUGUUCAAGCAGGAUAAUACACUUGGUAAAGGUGUUAUUGGGUACGUUGAUUCUGACUAUGCCGGUGAUUUGGACAAGCGAAGAUCAACCACCGGUUAUGUGUUUACACUUGCUGGAGGACCAAUAAGUUGGAAGUCUACACUACAGUCUACAGUUGCAUUGUCAACCACAGAAGCCGAGUACAUGGCUGUAACAGAGGCUGUAAAGGAGGCUAUUUGGUUACAAGGUAUGGCUAAAACCUUGGGGUUGGUUCAGGAGCAAAUUAACGUGUAUUGUGAUAGUCAAAGUGCUAUUCAUUUAGCAAAGAAUCAAGUCUAUCAUGCACGUACAAAACAUAUCGACGUACGAUUCCAUUUUGUGCGGGAAAUUAUUGAAGAGGGGAAAAUUUGUCUUCAGAAGAUCAAGACUGCAGAUAAUCCCGCAGAUAUGAUGACCAAGGUGGUAACAGCAACCAAGUUCGAACAUUGUUUGAACUUGAUUAAUAUCCUGCAAGUUUAACAGUUGAAGAAGGCACUAUCAAGUAUUGUUGUCAAAGGCAGAAAGAAUUGUGUGAAGAUAAGAUUAUCCUAAUCAAAUCUUCAAGGUGGAGAUUAUUGGAACCCACCCACAUUGUUUGAAAAGUCAAAAAGGGUGGGCACCGAAAGUAGAAAGUAAGAUUGGUUGGCAAGUUGGGUUAAAAGUUGGCAUGGGAUAAUUGCAAUUUUGGUCCCUAAUUGUAUAGGGACAUUGCAAGUUGAUCCUUAAACCUCAACUAUAAAUAGGCCUAACCAUUUCUUACUUUCUUCAUCCCACACUUGCCAUUCUCUACUUAAGGCAAUUGUUCUCCCUCCCUAUUUGUAAACUUUCACUUGUAUUUUUGGAGUGAAAUAUAUUUGGUAGUGCCCAAGGACGUAGGCAAAAUUUGCUGAACCUCGUUAAAAUUCUAGUGUUCUUUAUUUUUUGUUCUGCAUAUUUUGCAAGUGUCAUUGUAGUGAUUUAUUGUGCUAUUAAAUUACGAUAGAGGGAUAUUUUGGCUAGGAAAGAUCUGGUAUGUAAGCGAUCCUCGUGAUCCACCUCUCUUUCCUGGGAAUUGAACUUAGUGUGAUUUUUCAGUACAAUAAUUUUACUCUUUCACACGCUUCCGCGCAACAAUUAUACUGAUGAAGAGAUGCCAAAUGAUUGAGGCAAGGAAGUUCAACCAAACUUUCACAUUUAUAGCAACCAAGGAAUUCAAGGUUGAUGGCUCCUAAUAAACUAGGAAUCUUCCUUAAAUUCUCGCAAUAUGAAAUGUCAAUUUUCCUUAAAUUAACAAGAUCCUGUGCAGAAAAAAUAACUAUAUUACUUUUAAGCAUCAUCUACUUACUUUAGGUAGUAAAAAAAUGAAAAUGAAAUAAAUUAUAAUACUAAGAAAAAUAAAAAUUUGCAUAUGAUGUAUUACAAUUAAUAGAUCAAAUAAUGUCACUUAUUUAAAUAAAAUAAAAUAUUUUUAUAUUUAUUUUUAAAAAAAUUAAAUAAGAUACCAUAAGAAUAUUUUAUACAUCAAAUUAUAAUUUUUUUUUGUUCAAAGAAAGUAUGAAAGUACAUACCAUAUGAUCAUCUUCAUUCCCAAGUUGAACCAAACUUCUACAUUUAUAGCAAUUAAGGAGUUCAAGGUUGAUGGCUCCUGAAAGAUUAGGCAUCUUCCUUAAAUUCUUGCAAUUUGAAACGUUAAUUUCCCUUAAAUUAACAAGGUCCUGUGCAAAAGAAAGAAUAAUUAUAUUACUUUUAAGCAUCAUCUACUUACUUUAGGCAGUAAAAAUUGAAAAAUGAAAUAAAAUAAUUAUAAUACUAAGAAAAAGAAAAGAAAAUAUUUUAUAUUUAUUUUUAAAAAAAUUUUAAAUAAAAUGUCUUCGUAUGAAUAUUUCAUACAUCAAAUUAUAUAAAUCCUUUUUUCUUCGAAGAAAGUAUAAAAGCACAGACCAUAAGAUUAUCUUCGUCCCAAAAUUGAACCAAACUUUCACAGUCAGAGCAAUGAAGGAGUUCAAGGUUGAUGGCUCCUGAAAGAUUAGGUAUCUUCCUUAAAUUUUUGCAAUUUGAAACGUUAAUUUCCCUCAAAUUAACAAGGUCCUGUAUAGAAAAAUAUUUGUAUUACUUUUAUGAAAUGAAAAGAAAAUAAAUAUUUAUAAUACUAAGAUAAUAAAAAUUUAUAUUUGAUGUAUUCAGUGUGAAAAUUCACCCACAAUUAAUAGAUUAAAUGAUGUCACUUUUUUUAUAUAAAAUAAAAAAAAUAUUUCAUGUUUAUUUUUAAAGAACUUUAAAUGAGAUUUCAUUAUACGAUUAUUUGAUAUAUCAGAUUAUAAAUUGUUUUUCCAUAAAAAAAAAUUUAGAUGAAGAAAAUAUAAAAGCACGUACCAUAUGAUCAUCUUCAUUCCAAAGUUUUUCCAUCUUGCCAUAUCGUAAUUUCAACACGAUAAGAUUCUUUGAAUUAAAACUUGAUAAAGAUUUGAAGGGGAAAUAAUCCCAACAAAGAUACCUUAGCUUAUUAGGAAGAGAUACACUAUCAACUUGGUUUGCAAGUAGCUUCGGGUUCCAAUCCUCUUUCUCAAUCUCAGGUUUAUAGAAGUAAAUAUAUCUAAGAUUAAACAUGUUCUCAAAAACAGAUGGACAUAACUGCAGCUUAUCAAUUUGAGACAUGUCUAACUUCAUUCCUUCAAUUGAUACAGUCCCCUAAUCAUGAAAAACAAUUUAUCAAGUAUCAGUAUGUAUAGAUAUAAAAGUGUUCAAUUUUAUUUUUCUUUUUUUAAAAGCAAUCCAUUAAAUAUUUAACCAACCCAAUGAACAAUUGAGUAGAUCCCAUGUUAUACCCUAACACACUUGUCAUUACUUGUAUGGUAAGUAAACAAAUAUUUUAUUUUUUGAAAUAAUAAUUAAAAUGAUUAUCAUUUCAUACAAUGUAAAUACAAACAAUUAAACUUUUAACAUAUUAAAAUAUAUAAUUAAUUGAAUUUAUAUAUUUACAAGAUAUCAAAAAUAACAAAAAAAAUAAAAAAAUAAUGGAAGCGGAUUGAGUUUUAGCUCGAUUGACAUGGAGUUUAAGAGUGCACUAUCAUCCUAUUUAAGGGUUGGAGAGAGGCUAUGGGUAAUUUUAGCCAUUGUAUCAAAAAGAGGAGAUAUGAUCCGUAUCUAUAAUGAGAUUGUUAAAAAAAGACAACGAAAAAAAAUGUAAAUACAAUUAGCGCUUACUUGAUUAUAUCUAAGCACUUGAUCCACGUCUUUAGGAAACCAUAUCCUGCUGCACUUUCCCGGGUUUUCUUUACAUUUUUGGCGAACAAUGUCUUUGCCAAUCUCUUCAAGCAUAUCAUGCAUACAAAUAUGAUAACCAUCUAUACUAUCAAGUAAGCACUUGUCGACUAAGUUUCUUAUUCCACACAUUGCACCCAUAUAAUAAUUACUUAGAAUUUUUUCUACAAUAUCCAUUUUUUCCCCUUUCAAAAAGCAUGCUACGUCAAGAAAUAUAUUCUUCUCUAGCUCACCCAACCCAUCUAAGCUGCUCUUCAAAAUCUGUGAAAUUUUUGGUUCGACAUAUUGCUUUAGUUUAUCCACUUCGCUCUCCCACUCUUUUUUAGACUUUGUAUAUAGAUUAGAACCCAAAACUUUAAGAGCAAGUGGGCUACCUUGAGCAUAUUCUACAAACUUGCAUGAUAGAUCUUGAAAAUCAGCAACAGGAUUCAACAACUUAAAAGCAAAUGUAGAAAAAAGUUGAAGGGAAUCGUUCUUAUUCAACUUCUUUACCUCAUGUAUGUGGUUAGCUCUUCCAUUUCUAAGUACUUGUCUAUCUCUAGAUGUUACAAUAAUUUUACUUCCAGGACCAAAAUAUUUGACACCCAUAAAAUCUAUUUGGUCUGGGUCACUAACAUCAUCAAGGACAAGAAGUACUUUUAUAUUAUUCAGCCUGUCUUGGUAAGGGUAGCUUAUAGAAGGGGUGUCAAUACAAAUUUCUUUUUCGUCUAGUAGUUUGGAAAGAAGUUCAUUUCGUAAAGACUCAUCCCCCUGUUUUUUUAUUUUCUCACUAACAUCUUUAAGAAACAAACGACAUUCAAACUUUGGAGAGACUUCCUCAAAUACAGCAUUAGCAAGGAUAGUUUUGCCAAUACCACCCAUUCCCCAAAAUCCUAUUACACGGAUGUCCGCUUGCUCAAUCAACCCCAAAAGCAUCUUUUUUUGAUCAUCUAUUCCGACCAAUUUUUCAGAAGUGAUUCUAGGCGCACUAUUCAUCAAUUUUCUUGUAACAUCAUCAACUAUAUCCUGGAUAUACUCGGUUUCAGAUCUAUCAAAGAAUCAAAAAGUAAGUAUAAUUAUAUAUGAAAUCUAAAACAAAGAUAAGUCAAAUAUAAGAAGAUGAGAAAAAUAUAGUUACUUGUUGUCUUGUAUAUGAAUUCCUUUUAAUUUCCCGACUUUAGCGAAGGCAUCUGUCCAUCGUUUCACUUCAUCUGUGGGCCUCCUUGAUUCAUGGUCUUCAAAGGACGUUUUGAAACUCCCACCAAGAUUCCGCACAUUGGAAGGAUCGACAUGGUAAAAGAUGGGAAGAACAAUAUGUCCUUCAGAGCGAUUACGGUCCAUGAUGUCAGAAACUUCAGCUAAGCAUGACUUCGAAGAAGCAAAGUCUUUAGAUAAAACGAUGAUUGAGAGAUUUGAGGCUGCAAUUCCUUGCGAAAGUGCUGGUAAAAGUUGCUCCCCUGUUUCCAGUGUAUCUUCAUCGAAGAAGACAUUCAGUGCCUUGUCUUUCAAAGCUUUGAGCAGAUGCGCGGUGAAGUUAAAGCGGGUCUCACCUCUGAAGCUCAAGAAAACUUGAUGCUUCGUUGAACAAGAAGAUGAAGAAGAAGCCAUGAAAGUGUGCUUGGUUUAAUUAGGACUGAUUUUACCGCUUUGUUUACAAGUAGUUACUAAAUGCUUUCAACCCUUGUUAUUUCAGCCCUUGUGUGAUAUUUAGUAAGCCUUGACUGUGUUAUGCUGGGGUUUGGUGAUUGGUUUCUAAUCUCAAAGUCACAAAUUUGUGAUGCAAAUAAUGUGUUUUUUUAUUGACUAAAUUAGUUGGGAUUAUUAUAAAUAUAAAGAGUAUUGUCUAGUUUGCUUGCUUGACUACCCUUCCUCUUUUUUUAAUGUACAUUUGAUUCCAAGAAGAAAGGUUUAGAAAAACAGAGAAAUAUAAAAACAAUCCGAAGGUUGCGUACUCAAUUAUGCUUCUCUAUUUUUUUUUCUCAAUCAAUUUUAGGAAUUUUAUUAAUAAGGAAGAUCACAUACUCAUGCUAAGUUAACCAAUUAAGACCAACCAAUAACUUGUCAACUACCAAUUAAAACAUCAAUUAUUUUGAAAACGUGAAAAUAUCCAACUUCAACUUUUUUUCCUAAGUUAAAUCUAAAUUCUUUUUUUUUUUUAUCAAAAGUCGUAUUUCCCUGUUACUUAUUUUACAUCAAAAUGUUAUAUCCGAUAAAAAAUUUCUACCAAUAAUAAAUUGUCACAUCGUAUAAACAUAAAAAAAUAUUUUUUUAGUUAUUUUUUUCUUUUACAUUAUUUCUCUCUCUAUUUUGUUUCUAUUUUUUCUCUUUUCUUAUCCUUUAUAAUGUCUAGCAAUAUCAAUGCUCAAAAUGUUUUUUUUUUAUCAUUUUCAUUCCACAGUUGUUCCAUGUCACUAGAUUGGAGAUUGAGUUAGAGAAUUUGCAUAAUUGCCAUGUUAAAUUCAUUAGCAAUAUAGGCUCGCCCUACGGUUGUUUGAGUGCAGCCGCUCAGGGUUCAAGGUUGAAAGAAGCUCAAAAAAUAUUUUUUUUUUAACUUUUAAUGUGAAAAAAAAUGUAGGCUAAAAUAAAUUAAUUAAAUGUUUAGAACUUUCAAUUUUUCACCAUAAAUGUUUCAUCUCCUAAGACCUCAAUAAUUUUUCAGCUUUUAUCGUAUUACAUUUUAUAAUUUUUCUUAAAAUAAGACCCCAAUUUAUUGUUUCACCUACCUGGAGUUCAAAACAUGUCAAGAACAAGCAUGUGAAACAAUGUUUUGCAUUUUUCAACCUCAAAAUUUGAAUAUUGAAUUUGGACAGUGAAGAAUAUAUGUUAGAGCAUGGAUUUUUGGAGAAUUUAGAAGCUAAAUAAAGCCUCACGCUUAGCUAGUUCAUACAAUUACUUUUUAAAGGUAUAAUUAGUCUGUCAAAAGUUUUCUACUAAAUUAAGCAUUCACAAAUUGUCUAACAUGUGGUUUAUCCUCAAUUAAUCUUCUUCUAUAGUCAACAUCCAUAAUUGAAUUACGAGGUAUGUUAUUAUUUUAGAAAGAUUAUUCAUAGAGAAAUUUUAUUUCUUGGAAAUAAUAAUUCAUUACAAUGCAGCAUAUAAGUGUAAUCCGUCUUAGCAAUUCAGUUUGGCUUCCGAUAGUUCUUUGACAGGGGAUUGGGUACAUCUUUAUACUGAUGGGUUGUUAGGUUGGAGUCUGGCUUUGCUGCUUCAGGGGGUCAUCUGUGGGGAAAGAGGAGAAUAGAUUCUUGGUUAUAACCAUUAUUUGGGGAGUUAAUGUUCAGCUUUUGAGGCUGAACUUUGGAGUAUUCUUAAAGGUUUGGCACUUAUUAUGGAACGGGGGUAUAAGAAUAUUUUGGUCCACUCGUAUAGUUUGGAAAUUAUUACAGCUAUACCGACUAGUUGCUUAGAAAGUUCGCCAUCAGUUUUGGUAAGAUGAAUUCACUUGAACUUACAAACUGUUAAACAGUGGAACUUCACACAUAUUCCAAGGGAGAGGAAUAGACUUGCAGAUAGUCUCGCUAAAAUGACUUCAGGAAGCAAUUCACAAGAACAACUAUUUGUUAGGAUCCUAGAGGAGUUCUUCGAUGAAUUUGGGUUUGAUAGAGUAGUUGAGUUUUCCGUUGUAAUUACUUAGGUUAGGAUUUAGGCUAUUUUUUGCACCAAAAAAAGAGUUAGUAAUGUCAUGCACUUGUAUGUUGAUCAAGCACUCAUUUCUUAUCAAGAUAUGCUUCAACAACUACCCAAUAAUUUUGAUGUUAUGACUCCUUUUCUCUUUUGGGUCGAUAGGGGAUUACUUUGUUGAUGUGAUAAUAAUUCCUAAUUAUCGUAUAAUCCAACCACAAUAAAAUUUAGGAUGCUUCCUAAAUGUCCCCAAAAUAUCCCACCGAAGACAUAUAUUUGUUUUUCUACUCUUGGAUUUGGGUUGGAUCAUUUCCCCCAAAAUAUUAUAUUUUAAUGCUACGUUCGUUUGAAUCAGUUAUAUGAAUAUAAAUUAAUCAAGGAGUCAACUAUAAUUUCCGGACAGAAAUUCACCCCAACUCUUGAAUAAAAUUCUUUUUUUAUGUUAAAUUUUAAUAAAUAAAAGAAAUCGAUAAUAUAUGAAAUUUAAGUUGUAUAAUUCUACAUAUAAAAUUUUGAUUUUGAUUCAAUUAUACAAAUUAAUAAAAAUAAAUUAAUCAAAUAAUUUUCGUAUAUGGGAUAGAUAAUGCUGAAUUUUGAUAAUUAAGAUUUGUGUUUCUUCGUCACUUUUAAAAGGAUGGUUUACCAAGUAAACUUGACAAUUCUCUUAAAUUAUAAUAAUCCCAUCUGAUUUGACAAUAAUAUCUAUUUAAUCACCAUACCCAACUAAUGAAAUUUCAUUCCGGUCCAUAAAAAUAUAUGAUUUGCAUCACAAUUUUGUCCUACUGGAAGACCUUAACUUUGAUAUUACACACCAAUCACCAUUUCUCAAACAAAUGUUGUGUGUACCUAAACUUUGAAUUUUUAUCAAAUUUUUUCUUGGAAUCAAGUUUUUUUAUAAAAAACAAAAAUUAAAUACGCUUGAUGAUUACACUAAUGUUGAAUCUUGAUAAUUAAGAAUUAUGUACCUAUCAUUUCUAAAUAUUUUUUUAGAAAAAUAUACGUGAAGCAUAGUUUAGCAAGUAAACUUGACAAUGCACUUAUGCUUAUAAUAUCCCAACUAAUUUGAUCCAUCAUUAUUUUUAGGUUAAACUACACAAGUAAUCAUUAAACUAUUAAUGUGUUUCCACUUUGAUCACCCAAGUUUAAAAAUAAUUCUAUCUUAACCACUAACAUGGCUAAAGAUCCAAUUCAACAGUGGCACAAAUAACCAAUCUUUCUAAUGGAUCUAGAUAUCAUUGAAGGAAAAUGCAGCAAGUAUUGAGAUACCAGAUGACACCAAUGCUGGAAACUAAACAAUGAAGCUGAAUCGAGUCCACCACUGGUCCUAUGAAUUAAAAAAACCAACCAAUAACAACUCAGCUGUCAAUAAGAAUUAAGCAUGAAUUUUAAUAUCUGAAUUUUAAGAACACAGACGCAAGAGGGGAAUGAAGAUGAGAAAAUAAUAAUAAUAAGCAACAAUCACAAACUUUUGAACAAAUUUCCAAUUUUUAUGUUCAUAAAUUAUGCUUUUAACAUUUACAAUGUAGAACUACAAGGUUUCAGUAUGGUAAAGCACCUUAUAAAACACAAGUAAUUUAUAAAGCAGAGCAAGUUAGAUUCAUCCUGGUCGGUUUUAAUUAAUUAAAGCACUUCAUUUGCUGUCAUUAAUUUAUAAGUUGAAAAUUUACUAUUAACAAUGGUGGAAAACAAAACUAUGGCAAUAUGAAAAAUGAAAUGAAAAAAUUGAAAAAUGUAUGAUAAUAUGAAAAAAAUGAGAUGAAAAUGAAACCCUUACCUAUGCAUUUGGAUGAAACUCCUCAAAAGCAGAGCCAAAAAUGGAAAGAAAUACAAACUAUUUCAAUCUUUUAAGUCCUCAAUCCCCUUCUUCACCAUCAUGGCUAGAGCUUCUAUUGUUCCCAGCAACUCUCUUUUCAGUAGCAUCUGAAUCACUCUUUUUAUCCACGUAAAAUACAUGAACACCACAUCUCUCCACCUUGAUAUACUCUUCUCCUCCUCUUCCUAAAUCCAGAAGUCUGACGUAGAAUUUGAAUGAUGCCUCCUCAUAAUUCUUGUCUUCUAUAACCAUGUCGAUGCUAGAUAGAAUGAACACGUGAUAAUCCAUGUACUUAUCUGGCUCAUGAAGACUGAAGUGAGAUAUCUCACUUCUGAAAUUUUCACAACCAUCUCCACCAUUGCCGCCACCGGCAGCUGUAAGUUGGUACUCACCAAUAUAUCGAAGUAAAACGUCAUGGCGGUGAGCGAGGUUAGCCACAAGGCAGAUAGCAAAAACCAAAAAUCUGCUCCCACUACCCCCAUUUUUGGAUAUCUUCAAACUUAAGGAAGAAUUCAAGCUCCGAUACUUGAACUUAUUUGCUGAAAUUUCGUUUCCUGGGAAACAGCAAAUCAAACUUCGAAGGUUAUCACGAAAGUCUUUCCUACCAUAUGUCGCUGCCCAUUCCUUAGCUAGGGAACCAAUUUUGAGCAUGGCAUUUGCCUCAAUGUUUUUAGUUGACUCUUGAUUCAAGUUGAAGCAAUUACAGAAUCGCAUCAAUAAGUUAUGAUCUCUGCAAAACUCAUCAACCAAAGAAUCAAACUGAUAUAAAUUUUGAUCUGCAAAGGAUACUUUUUCUAAUGAUGUGCAGUCAUUUGCACUAAAGACUUUCAGAUACGGUGGAAGCUCUGAGAGUACUUCGACCUUUGGGCAACCAUUAAGAUUCAGUUUGCGAAGGGAUUCCAACUUGAUCGAUACAUUUUUGACCGCUGAGCCACUCAUAUUUAAGUGCUGAAGAUUACAUAGGGGAUCGAAAGGCAACGACACUUCUUCAAUUGGGCAAUCACUAAGAUCCAAUUUACGAAGGAAUUCCAGCUUUAAAAUAUUGAUGGAUACAUUUUUUACCUUUGACUUCCCCAACCACAAAGUUUCAAGUUUGUGGACAUCCUUGAUUGAAUCAGGCACUUCUUCUAUUUCGGUUUCUGACAAAUCUAAAGAACAAAAGUGACGUGGGACCUGAGGAAACUUCUUGAGACUAUGACAUCCGUUAAGAUGAAGACACCACCCACUAAGAGAUGCCAACUGAUCGAGGCAAGGAAGUUCAACCAGACUUUUACAGUUAGUGCAAUCAAGGAAUUCAAGGUUGAUGGCUCUUGAAAGAUCAGGCAUCUUUCUUAAAUUACUACAAUUUGAAACGUUA